CUCUUCCAGUGAGCACUCAGGGCUGAUUUCCUUCAGAAUGGAUACGUUUGAUCUUCUUGCAGUCCAUGGGACUCUCAAGAGUCUCCUCCAGCACCAUAAUUCAAAAGCAUCAAUUCUUCGGCGAACAGCCUUCUUUAUGGUCCAGCUCUCACUUCCAUACAUCACUAGUGGGAAAACCAUAGCUUUUACUUUGUUGGCAAGGUGAUGUCUCUACUUUUUAAGAUGCUGUCUAGGUUUGUCAUUGCUUUUCUCCCAAGAAGCAGGGAGUUAAAGACCACCAAAAAAAGAUCCUGUAAUACAUGGAUCAGUAUGGGGAGAAGACUUAGGGAUCCUAAUUGCAGACCACAGAUGGCAAUCAAUUUGGCACAACCCAUCCCUAUGAACAAUCUCUGCUCAUUUGCAGGAGGCUUCUCUCUAAAUUAUCUUUCGUUGCCCUGGACUCCAUUACAUUUAGCCAAAAAACAAAAACAAAACAAAGUAGCAGCAUCUCUCCCCUAUGCUGGAAAGUCUGUGGAGAGUAAGGCGAAUAUUUUCAUGCAUGGAGGUGUUGCAUGUUGGUAUACUCUUUAGGGAAAAGGUGUUCCACAUUUUUUCCAAAAUUACACAGUAACCCCUCCCACCCAGCUCCUGCCUUAUUAUCAUUACAUUAUCAUUAAACAAUAACCUUAAGUGCAGAGAAUUAGUAUUUUUUCUGUUGUCAACAACCCGAUUAACACUGGGCCAAUACUGGAAACAAUCUAUAGGAAUCCCUAUUGAAAUCUGGUUAAAUAAUAUUUGGAAUGUAGCUCUAUUGGAAUGCCUUACUCACCACUGAAGGGUAAUUAAAGGCACUUCAAGGGUAGACGCUUUUGGUGAGACUUGGCUUCCUUUCUUUUCCUUUAUAAAUGAUACUUUUAUUCCAUCCUCAACCCAAGAAACUACUUGAACUGAUAGUACACAAGCAAUACGUUUAUUUAUGUAUUAUGUACAACUUAUGCAUCUUAAUAAGAAUGUACCACUGGACAAGUUAUGGGGGGAGUAGAAUUUUGUAAUAGCCUUCCUCAAAAGUCAUUUGUUUGAAAUAAGUAACUGUGAAUUACUUAUUUCCAUGUAAAUUCACCCCUGCCAGCAGUAUAAAUGACAAGGCAUAUAAAAAACAGUAGUGCCAGCCAGCAACCAAUUGCACUUGCCAAAUUUAAUGUACCCCUGGAAAUUAUCAUACCUAUGGUACUUAAAUGUUGACCCUUUCUUUUCUCCCAUCUACAAAAAAUCUUCAGGUCGGGUCGUGUUUCCACUGUUCAAACAGGGCUUUUUUAGUUAUAGCUCCAAGGCUUUGGAACAGUCUUAAAUAAGACAUCUAUAAAUAUUCCUUCCCUUUGGUUGUAUAGAAACAGUGCAAGUCCCAUUUAUCUGGCAGCUAAGAGAGAAAUCAAAUUUGAUCUCUUUUCCUAGUGGCUGUUCUAGUAUCUUCUAAAGCAUUUUUCUUUUAAAAAAGUUUUAUUGGUGCUUUUGUUUUUGUCAAGGUGCCUCAAACAGCAGAAGUGGUGGAAAAAUAUGUAUUUUCUACUUUCUUAAAAGUCAGAACAGUACAGAAUCUUCAUUGCUGAAUGCUAAGCCUAUAGAUGAACAAGAAAAUUGGGGAGGUGGAACAGAAUCAAUUCCUCCAUGUUAAACAUGUAUAUAGUUAUGAAAUGACAGAUUCAGUCUGGAGACAUUUCUCCUGUGAAUUAGAUAGUAAUCAUCUAAAUCCCUUUAUCAAAAUUGGUGAAUAUCUUACAGUGACCUAGACAGAAGUCACAAGCCAUUUCUUGCAUGAUAUUGUUUAAAAGGAUUUUGUAAUAUGAAGAUGCAUGAAAAAAGGCUUUGUCCAGUUAUUGCAACAAUUAGAAUGGAUGGGGGGUUUUUUGGGGGGAGGGGGUUGGAAUUUGUGUGUGUAUUUAAAUCCAAGCCAGUAGGUUACAACUUUGCAUGUCCACAGGGUGCUAAAAUAAUACUCUUUACAGAACAGCAGGUGGACUAUUUUAGGCUUCAGCUUUCUAAUUCUAAGCAGGCGUUUUUUUUUAAGAAUUAAAGAUGCUAAUCACAAUCUCAAAUUGUGCAUUGCUGAGUGGGAAAAAAUAUGAGACCACAAACUGACAUGACAGCAAAGCAUUGUGCUGCUAAGAAGGGGACAUAAAUAGGUGGAAAACUCAAGAUGUGAGGUCUGGCUGGGCUUGAUGGAUCACAAAGGUCAACAUAAUUGGCCACAUACAGCAGAAUCAGCCCCCACCUUCUCUCCUCAGCAACUUGGCCACAGGGGGAGCCCUGUUUUCCUACAGGGCUAAGUGAUGCCCUGAAGCAGGAGAAAUGGGGGGAUUCGAAAUAUUAGAUGUAAAAAUUAAGAAACACUGAAGGUGCCAUCAAAUUCAGCCUUUAAGAUGCCUUGUAACCAGCUGAGCUGCUGGGGCUGCAAUCCACCACCUAUUUACUCUAGAGGAAUCCCAUUGCUCUUGGAGAUUGUUUGGGAGAGGAGAAGGUCUGGAUUUGCUUUGUUUUACAGGGAACAGUACAAGGGAAGCAUGUUUAUUAAAAGCGUAUUUUUUAAAAAAAUUAUAAAUGCUUUAAUAGAUAGCAUGUGUUUAAUUAACCAUGCCAGGCUUUCAUUCAAAACAAUGUAUAAUGGCAAUAUUUAACAACUGUAAAUAGUAAAUACUGAUAAUGCUUUUAAAAACCCAACCUUAAAUAUACAGAUAUUUUUGCUUCAGGAGUGUUCUGCAGAAUUGUAAGCAGUCUAGGGUGGUUUUAUCUACUCCAAAAGGUGGGUGUUUAAGGCCAGCCCACUAUUGACAACCACACAUGUGAAUACAGCACACAUGUAGUGUCAUCUUUCCUUUCUCCCUUUUGUUUGUGCCUGGACAACUCAUCUAAAUGAAGUAUCUAAGUUGGCCAUUGAUUUAAUCAUCCCCAACAAGAUCAUUUGCUUCUCGCUUUCUGCGUCGUGUCAUUUAAGAACCUCUGUGAAGUAACAAACUGUUCACCUUGACCUCUGGUAUUAGGAUAACAUAUUAAGAUGCUUAUGAUUUUCCUGUAUGGGGGAGGGCUGUUGCUGAGUGGUAGUACAUCUGUUUGGGAGCCACCCAGAGUGGCUGGGGCUAAUAAUAGUAGUAGUGGUAGUAGUAAUAAUAAUAAUAAUAAUAAUAAUAUACAUUUCUAAACCUGAACAAAACCAAACAUCCAAUUUUAUAUCCUGUAAGUUAAGGUGGUGCCCUUUAGGCUUUUCAGAUGGACAACCUACUUUUAGCUCUAACCUGCAACAUAGGACCAACUUUUACACUUUAUAUUAUUAUUAUUGCUACCUAUUUUAAUGUCUUUCCAGCGAUCUUGAUCUACUCUCUCUUCUUCCUAUUCACUCUUCUCAGCCUUUCUCGCCUUUCUUUUGUCCCAGAAAAGAUUGUUGUGCUUCAGUUUGCAUAAUUCACCUUAGGUCAGGUUGCAGCACAGCCGUGGGUUUUUAUUCACCAGUUGAAAAUGGGUUAAAAUCAACUGUGGCUAGAUCUUCAUGACAAAAUUAAGAUGCUUUAAGUGUAAUUUUAACUGGUGGGAAAUGAUGCAACCAGGGCAUUUUCUGCUAGGAGAUGUACCACUGAGCUCCAACUCCAUCAAAUAACAUGGGAAGGCUUUUGCCUUCAUGCCCAGCUAUAGGCUUCCCAGAAGCAACUGGUUGGCUACCACUGGAAUUAGGGAGCUUGCUAGAGGGUCAGUUAGUCUUGUUUUAUGUUCAUCUAAUGUUCAAGAGGGGGACGUGGGUGGUGCUGUGGGUUAAACCACAGAGCCUAGGUCUUGCUGAUCAGAAGGUCGGCGGUUUGAAUCCCCGUGACGGGGUGAGCUCCCGUUGCUCGGUCCCUGCUCCUGCCAACCUAGCAGUUUGAAAACACGUCAAAGUGCAAGGAGAUAAAUAGGUACCGCUCCAGCGGGAAGGUAAACGGCAUUUCCGUGUGCUGCUCUGGUUCGCCAGAAGCGGCUUAGUCAUGUUGGCCACAUGACCCGGAAGAUGAACACUGGCUCCCUCGGCCAAUAAAGCGAGAUGAGCGCCGCAACCCCAGAGUCAGCCACGACUGGACCUAAUGGUCAGGGGUCUCUUUACCUUUACCUUUAAUGUUCAAGAGAGAGAAAUGGUGGCACAACUUCAGAGAUUCUUGGAAGCUAGCAGGCACUGCAACCUUCCAACAGCUUGACCAAAGGCGCACUCCUCCAUUGUCUCCCGAGACAUACAGCUGCCAGCAGUGCUAAUCUUGACCAUUUCAAUGUGGCUUCAUGUCUUGUUUCAGGCCCAAAUUCACUUUGGUGUCCCUGUUGGGUUACUUUUAUCAGAAAACAGACAGGGGGGCUACAACCCAGUUAGAUUUUACUCUUUUUCACACCAACUCUUGAUACCACUGACAAUGAUAUCCUCCCAUGCUGACUCUGUGGUAUGGAAACUGGUGGCACUGGAUUUCAGUGGUUUCCUUUCAAUAGGCAGGACCAUUUACUGAGACUGGCCUUGGGUGACUGUCUGUCAGCCCCCUGCAUUUGUGCUGUGGGGUCUCACAGGAUAUCAUUUUGCCCCAAUGCUUUUUAAUGUCUACAUUGCAAGUGGUUCUUUGAAUGUUUAGAACAAGGUGUCACUAGUAUGUUGAUGGCACUUACCUCUGUAACAUCUGAAUCAGGUGAAGCCAGUGCUGCCCUUUCAAAUAUUCAAUUUCAAAACAAUUCUCCAAAAUGCUAAAUAAACUGACGUCACAUGACCUCUUAGUGCUAUCAAGUCAUCUGGUGCAUUACAGAGACGUUACAGUGUUUAUAGCUCAUGCUUAAGGUGACUAUGGCAUUAAUUGCACUAUUUGAUACAAUAGAUUUUGGAUAACAAUCUUAUUCAAGUUAUUCAUUAUUUAACUGAAGACUGUUUUAAUGAUGCUGUAAGUAAAAUGCAAAAUAACUAGGAAGGUGUUUGUCUUCCCUGUCAUGAAUGAAGGAUACUAGCUCUUUUUUUCUGGAAAAAAGGAUUACAUCAUCAUCAUUAUUGUCAUUGUCCUGUUUUAAUUUUGAGGAACUUGGAAUUCAAAAUGCAGUGUUUGCUGCUCAUGUGAAGUGAGAAGCAAAGCGACUGUGUUCUGGUGCAAUAUGCUUGUCCGCAUCUCAACUUGCUGAGAAAUGGUGCACCAAGUACAGGCAUUAUCUGGUUUUUCUCCGUAAGAAUGAAGACCAGAAACUUGGUUCUAUUUAAAAUGUGAGUUCAACUACAAUAUCCUGUUAGAAACAUUAUUCUAUACUUCUCUGCUACAUAGAUUUAUCUGAAUAUACACUUUCAGAAAGAGAAAUAAUGGUGGAUGGACAGACAAGAACUUCCAAGGACAUGAAAGAAUCCCCAUCUUGUUUGACACUUCCGAGAAAAAUAAUAAAUGUCUUUUAAAAAUUAGUGUGCCGAUUCCCUUUUCUCCCCGUUUUCAUAUUCUUUUUAAUCAGGAUCUCUUUUUUCCUUAAAGCUAAGAGAAAUACAAAUGCAAGAGACAAAAAAGUACUUCGCCCUGCAGGAAUACAAAAAUUGUGAAAGCCCAGGCAGCACUACAGAGGAGCAGUGCCAUUCACUCACAAAGAAUUUUGUGCAUGUAGAUGGCUGAUUAAUUGUUGGCCUGCCUAGACGAAGCUGCAACGAGCCAGAUACUGUCAGCAUGCCAUCUGUUACCAUGGAAAUGCACAAUGUUCCUGUUUCCGACAGGCCCUUGAAUGCUGGAUAGACUGUGCCAUAUGUAAAUAAGGCAAAUUAGUUUUCCUAUAUCUUCCAGACAAGGUUAGACUAAAAGAAAAUAGAUCGGUUUUAAACAUCCUCUAUCCUCCAAGGUGCUAUGAACCUGGUGAACCUUGCUUCUUUCUUGUAAAAAAGAAAAGUAAGAGUACAGAUUAUUGUUAAUCUUGAAAGACAAAAUUAAUUCUUAGCCACUGGCAAGUCUUACAAAACCCAGUAUUAAAAAAGGGCACACAGCACGUUCUUUCACUACCAUGAUUACUGUGGUCAUUUGUUAUUUAAUCAAGGUGCUGAUUACUUAAUGACUCUUCCAGUGUAAGAGUACUAGCUAUGUAGUAGGAAACACCAAUUUGUCUUUAGACUUUUUCCAUUUGGAAAUACUGUUAAUGAAAUGGAAAGAAAUAAAGGUUUAUGGGCAAAACCCAGAGUAGCCUACCAAUUAAGGCUCUAUCAUCCAGUUACCUGCCUGCCUGCCACAUCUGUGUUUAUAUCUUUCAGCCCUUGCUCUUGUUAUCUAUGGGCAAGAAGGGAAUUUUUCACAUCACUUCCAGGAAGCAUUGGGCAAGGGGGAUAUACAGGCAAGAACACUAGAAUUGAAGUGGGCAGGCAUAAGCAACAAGAAAGAGAAGUGAACCACACAAGAAUUAUUUGCUGUUACUCUAGCAAAAGCUUAGCUAUGACCUGGAAGCAUUUACAGCCUGAGCGGGUUGGAGAUAACCAAUGGGCUGUAUGUGUGGCCAGGCCAGAUAAGAGGAGGAAGUCACUAGUAAUUCCACUUUAGUCUGAAGACUUGAGUGACUCGUGUCCAUAUGCGGAUCAGAAAACUCAAGUUUAGUGUUGGUUAAUCCGAACAUUAGGAGCCUCAAAAUUGAUGCUUGCCACAUUUACCUCACUGCUAUUCUAGUGAAAUACACAUUUAGCCAACUGGCACCUGAACUUAUUUCAAGCUUGUGCCUUAGCAAUAAAUUGGACACAUUUUGUAAAGGAUCUUUUAAAUGUAUAGAUUUAUUUGGAGCACAACUCUUUCCCCUAAAUGAUAACUGCAUAAAAAUACAUAGGUCUUAAGAUGCAUAUUAAAAUAUAAAAAGCAGAAUCACUGCAUUCUCAAUAUCAUUUCAGUGCUGUAGCAUAGCCCUCCAUAUGACGACACACACUACAAGAGAGGUAAAAUUAUGGAUGCUUCCAUUUUAUGGAUUGGGUCCAGAGAAACAUCCAUUGAAGCAGGGGGGCGGAUUUCCUCCUCCCUCCAGUACCCGCUGAGAUCUCUGAUUUCACAAGGGUUGGGGAACCCUGCUGAAUGGGGUGGGCUAUAGUAACAGGAGCUGGGGGCUCACAUAAGGUACCCAUGCCCAAUUUUUGGCAACCCCCUUUCCCCAAGCAACAGCCACCCAUUCAGUACAUUUCCCUGAUUCCCAGGAAAGGCUUUUCAGGGCGCUUGGGAGCCUGCCAGAGGAAGGAGGGUAAAGCCACCAUCUGCUCCUGCCUUUCUACAGGCAUUCUCUGGACCCAACGCAAAGUACUUCGCGUGGAAUUGCAACACUUCAUUCACUCACUUUUUACCAAGCAUCUCAGUCAGUAGAGCAUGAGACUCUUAAUCUCACAGUUGUGGCUUUGAGACCCAUGUUAUGCAAAAAUAUUCCUGCAUUGCAGGGGGUUGGACUAGAUGAACCUCAUGGUUCCUUCCAGCUCUACAAUUCUAUGACUCUAUCAUAUUUUGAUACUGUAUUGUUAUCCCAUGCUUUUUUCCUGUGUUGUAUUCUGUACUUCCAUACUUUCCCAAACAUCAGAAAAUACUCCUCCCCCCCCACAAAAGAUGGAACAGUAGCACUGCCUUUCCAGGUGUGGGUUCAGGUAGGUAGCCAUGUUGGUCUGAUGCAGUCGAAAUAAAUAAAAAAUUGUCCAGUAGCACCUUAGAGACCAACUAAGUUUGUUCUGGGUAUAAGCUUUCGUGUGUAUGCACACUUCUUCAGGUGUGGUUCAUUUUAGUACAAUUCUUCUGUCUUCUUUAAGGGGUUAGGCAUUGACAUGUAUUUGAUAUAUCAGGAAAUGUAAACUAUUUUCAAUUUGAUACACUUUCACUCUUACUCUUCUGGAGGCUACCAUUUAAAUUAAUGUUUAAAAAUUUGUGCCAUAAUGCUUUUGCAAGAAUAUUUUUAAAAUAGAAAAAUAUUUAUGCAAUAUGGCUUAAAUGAAAUGUGACUGUGUUGCUAAUUAAAUAAAAUGUUUUUUAAAAACACUGCCAUUCCAUUCGCCAUAAUUUUAGCAACUUUUUAAUUUGUGUUCUUAAAACACUUUUCUGAUGUUUUAAAAUAUAUUUUUUUCAAGUCCUGAAAACAUAGUACAACCAUAUCUUAUGUGCAUUUAACUCGCAUGUUUUCAACUAUACAUGGUUGAAGGCUGGCUGGAAGAAAUGCAGAGUCAGUCUUGCUUUGGAUGGAGCACUGUGCUCUUUUUGUGCUGGAUUUUUCCAGUGCAAAAAUAGCUUUUAAGUUCUCUGCCUUGCUUUCCAAGCAAUGCUCUCUCCACACGCUGGGUCUGGGAUGCUUUUGUGGGAGCAUCCCAGGGCUUCUGGAGCUGGCGUGCCAGUUCCAGAACCUCUGGGCUGCUUGUGCCAGGGUUCGGUUUCAAAGGUUUGAGUAUACAUAUUUCUGCACAUAUACAGAACCCUUGGAAUGGAAAACCAGCAUAAGACACAAUCAUACUGUACUUGCACAAUUUCAGUAAUUUUACUAGGUGCUUUAGUACAAUUAUUAAUCAAUAAACCAUUGGCUGAAAAAAAUGGGAGGAAAGAACUGAAUCCUAUGUUUUUCACUCACACAACUAUAUCACACCGACUAGCAUAGAGUGUGUUUCAUGUCUUUGGUGUGGUAAGUCAAUUUUAAUUCUGUUUAUAGCUCACAGGAGAAAUGCAGCAAUUGAGUAGUACUAGUCACUAAUAAUAAGAUGCCCAGGACUUCCCAGUACGCUUCCAUGAAUGUGCUGAACCAGUCUUCAGUGCACUGUGCCGCACUUGCUCUUUGAGAUAUUUGCAAAGCUUUCUGUUACCUUUGCAACAGUCCUCUAAGGUAGGUCAUUAAUAUUUUGAUUUCAUAACACAUGCUGGGUGAAAUUGAAUAUUUGUGAAGCAAUCCAUUGCUCAGUGGUAGUCAACAUGGUGCCUUCCAGAUGCUAUUGGGCUAUACCUCCCACAGCCCUCUUUCACUGGCCAUGCUGGCUGGGGGUUAUUAUGUGAGUUGUAGUCCCAUAACAACUGGAGAGCACAACGUUGACUACCCUUGGGCUUAACUACUAUUCCUGUCCAGAUGUCUCUGAUUAAAUACAAACAGAUCUAAUACUGUAAAUAGGAUUGCCUGGCCUCUCUUGAGCUCCUUAGCAGUUACAGCAAGUUAUAAAUGUUAUUUAUUAUACGAUCUUAUCAUAAAACUGCUUCUGUACAGUCAGUUUUCAUACCCACAUUGCUAAACGUGCCAAUCAGGGGGCUUACUGUGCUCACACAAGUUCUUUUCACAACACCAUUUCUCCAUCAGGUCUGCUAGCACUGUCAUGGGAAGGAGCUAUAUGAUUCAGCUGAUCCAUAUGGUCAACACUUUUAUAUGUUAAUAAUAAUGUUUAGCAUUUACAUAGGGCACUAUGAGUGUUCAAAACACUUCAGAUAUAUUAUCUUUGUAAUCUAUUACUAAGAUGUGGAAGCCCAUUGUGGGGAAGUUGUUACGAGGCAGCACCAUGCCGCUAAGGUAACGUGCAAAUGGUACCACCACUAUGAUAUAUUUCCCCCUCAGCAGUACUUCCCGCCUAAAUUUUCAAAGUGCUUGCACCAUUGAGAAUAUCAUUGAACUGUAUAAUUGUAGUCAGAGCAUAGCACUCAACAAAAUCAGCAGGUAGCUGCUGAUGUAUAUUUUUGCUGCUGAUGAAUCAUAGCCUUAGUAGCUAUAGUAACAGUAGGCUUAUGCUCUUGGUAAAUAUAGUAUACCGGUAUAUUUUAAUGCAUUCUUUACACAGAGUUUUUGUUAAAAAAAAUAUUGCUGAUGCAUAACAUUUUUCUCUUACAAACUAUAUGAUAACUCAAAAUCAUUAUACUGCAGGGACAGAAGUCUCAUCUACUGGAACAUCUGGCCAGAGCAUGUGGCCUGAACUUCAUGCAGCUAGUAUUGCAGGCCGCAUCUUGUGAUUACUAGACCAAGCUCACAUGCAGUUUGACCUGGAAAAAUGGCUGGCCAGCUGAAAGUGGCUGUUUUGUUUUGUUCCUCAGAGCAGGUUCCCGGCACCUCUACCAUUUAUAAUUAAAGUUUGGUAUAAGUUUGGUGCCAACUUUACUUGCAAGGAGAAGAAAAACAUUUUCAUAUUGUGAAAAAGAGAAAACUCCACACUUUGCUUAAAUGUCUUUUUUUAGUUUGCAAAACUACAUACUGUACAGAGUUCUGAUCUGAGAGUAUAUACUGUAUUCCUGAACUGCAAAGCUUUUCUGUUAGAUCAUAGUGACUUUAUGAUGGAGCCUGAUGAGUUUGGGUUCUGGACCACAGUACAGAAAACUGAAUGAUCACUGAAAAUACAGAAGUUAGCUUUUCCUGUUCUAAGUUAUUCUGCCUUAGAGCAAGGGGUAGAAACAUCACCCCCACCCCCAAUAAACCUAAAUGUGCCUUGGAGCUGAACUGGUUAUUAGGCUUUAUUGGUUUCUUCUCUGGCACCAGCCACAGAACAUCAAACAGCAAGUCUAAAACACGGCAUGUUCUCUUCCUCCCCCGGCAGGUUAACUCAAAGAUUUAUAGGGGCUGGGGAAUGCUGGCAAGCAGCCAGCCCUAUCACAUGCUCCCACUUUGUGGACUAAUUGUUACCACUUGCCUGAGGGGCCCCACCCAGCGAUACUUGCUCACAGGAUCACUCCUUCAUGACAGUGCCAUGCAUGGAAGUUGUUAAUACAGAUGAAAUAUUAAAGAUCAUUCACAUACAUAUUCUAACCAAUUUAUGUUUUACAGACUCAGCUGAGCACAAACAUUUUCAAGGUUCACAUGUAAAAGUGUCUUAAAGCUGAAAUCUUAUGCAUAUCCUUAAAAUGAAGUGCAUUCCAUCAACACAGAGGGACCAGUUUCUAAAGAAAAAAAUUGAGAUCAGGCUAAGGAUGAAUGAAUCAGUCACUUACACACAUGUUCACCAGUAAGGCAUAUUAGCUUAGCAUCCUGUUUCCCACAGUGAUCAACCAGAAGCCCACAAACAGGACAUGAGUUGUUCCCCAGCAACUGGCAUUCAGAGGAUACUGCUUCUGGUCCCAGAUAUUUUUUUUGUUCCACUGUUUAACACUUUACCGCUUACAUCCACUGAACCACAUUUGCAAUUUUAUUGCCCAUUCACACAGUUUGUAUUUGGUGUCACCAGCAAACUAGGCCACCUUACUACUUUCCCCUACCUCUACAACAUUUAUUAACACGCGUAAAGGCACAAGUCCCAGAAAAAUGGAACCCCACUUCUUACAUUCCUCCAGGUAUUUUGAAACAUAGUUUGUCUCAAACCAUGCCUUUUAAAGCAUAUUUUUAAUUAUACAUUUUGGAAACAUAAACUGAGUCAGGAAAUUUAGGACACAUGAAAACCAAUGGAUAACUACAUCCCAAUCCACCUAUUAGGUGAAGAACAAGUAUGUGCAAACAUUGAAUUUAUCAAGCUUCCUUACCAUCAGGCUGCAAGACUCAUCAAUUUACAAAGUGUGCAGUACAAACUGAUGAACUCAGAAGUUCAAUUAUAUUUAACUCCCAAGAAAGUUUCUGCAGCAUUGCAGCCCAAAUCCAGUUUACUUUGGAGAAUUAAACCUCCAUGACUAAACUUUUUAAAUUCUGAUUUUUCAGCUCAGAUACUUUGAUUAAAAAAAACAAAAGAUAUGUUCCCUUUCCCCCUGCAGAAUGUUUUAACAUGAAUUCCAUCUACAAACAAUUUAUGGAUACAUCAUUCUAAUGACAGUGAACUACCAGCACAGCUGUAAUUGAAGAAUAGCAAAUCAAACCUCUGAGGCAAGAUAUCCCAAUUCUGUAGGGAGACCUGCAUGCUUCUUCAUUUGUCUUGCUAGUCAAUAAUUUAUUAUCCAUGACAUUAGCCAUAUAACAAUUGCCCCCAUAUCAGAUGUGGAAUAUGGAACCAGCAAGUCUGACCACCGUACUGUACAAUCUAAACCCUUCUAGCAUAGUCAUAGUUUCAUAAUAUCCUGUGGUUCUCCCAAUCUAAUAUAAGUGACUAUCAAAUGCAUUCUUUGAACAGCAAUCCUGAUAUGGUACUAUCCACACACACACAAGAGGGAGGUAUUAGUAGACUUGCAGAAUCCCAAGGUCUGGUGAAGUUCGAACAAUAUUUGGGAGGGGGACAUCUUAAGCAGGGAGAGAAUAAUACAAAAAUAGCUUAAUGAGGACUGUGCAAAUUCAUUGGGCCUGAAAAGCUGAUGAAGUGUUGUUGGGUAGGGUUGGGGAAUCAGACAAACAGAUGGCUGGAAAUGGAAAUGGAAUGAAGUAUCCCAGAAAGAGCAUGGCUGGCUGACUGGAAUCCUGAACAAGAGCACUCCACAUAACUCUGUUUUGUUGCUGGUCCCACUUGUUUCUACAUGAAAUCAGCAACUAGCCUUAACAUUUUGUCUAUGUGCCAUGUACAUGCUGUCUAUUAUUCUCUCUUAAACCGGCUGGAUAAUAAGUCUUUUGUUAACAGAUUUGUAUUUCUGAGAUCCUCAACCACAAAUGCUCAUUAGUCUUAAUUAAUAAAUGGAAAAUAAGGCAAACCUAACAAGAGCAACAAAUCCAAUGAAGGAAAACCUAACAACAGCAACGAAUCCAUAACAAAAAGAAACCUUUAUUUAAUAUUUAACCCAAAAAAGCCUAUCUGCAUGAUUUCCCAUCGUUGAAGUUCUUACAAAAACCAGUUGAGCACCCAUCUACCUACACCCACACUCAGACAGUGUUCUUCAAUAAAAAUUUCAGGCCAGCCCUAGCAGUUAUGGCACCCAGGGUCAGUGCUUGUGGUCUUUUACCUAUACACCGCACUCAGCCUAGAUUUGAGUUUGCACAUAUGUUCAAAUACCUCUAUUAUGGUGCCCACAGGCAUUUCUUGCUCCCUACUCAUAGCACACUAAUCUAGAUAUCAGGCUUAUUUUUCUAUUAGGCAUAUUCACAUGAACAAAAUGCAAGACUAAGGUGGGAUCGGGUGUCUGAAGCGUUCAGAUGGAGCUUUUUGAAAUAAAUUCCUCUAUUACAAGUAUUUAUUGAAUUAAUGUACCUCUGUGUACCACCUCCACUGUUGGAGGCAGUAUGCCUAUGAAUUCCAGUUGCUGGGAAUCACAAGUAGGUAGAGUGCUGCUGUGCUUAGGUCCCACUUUUUGGCUUCUGUCAUUGUGGAAACAGGAUGUUGGACUGUUGUUGUUGUUGUUGUUGUUGUUGUUGUUAUACCACCCUAUGCCCGCAGGUCUUAGGGUGGUUCACAAGCCUGAUCCAGUACCCUGAUUCACAUAACAGAAAAAUGAAAUUUGGUACACUCCUAGUCCAAUGCACUUUGCUUACUAGAAAAAUCCGAAGACUUUCAUCUUUCUCAGUAAAAACAGCAAAGAGUAUUGUGUCACCUUAAAGACUAACACAUUUAGGGUGCAAUUGAAACCCCCCAAUCCAUUACUUGUCAUGGGAGGAACUGGAUGGGACAGAGUUCUCCUUCCACCUAGCCCAGAAAAAGCUUGCAGAGUGACUCUAGAAUCACGCCACUGGUACAAAGCUCUCCAUUCCGGGGCAUUCUGGGGUCAGGGUGGGGCUGACUCACUUGACAGCACUGGUCCCAAUUUGGCCCAAACUCUACACCAGGCUUUAAACACACACACACACACACACACCAACUUCUGCCCUGGCCAGAAUGGACUGCAGAUGCGACAUUUGCUGCUAUGCUCUAUCAUGCGCCACUGCUAUCCAACCAGGGUUUGGAUUGCUCUGUUAGUCCUUCAUCAACUGGAGACCACUUCUUCAGAUGGGAAAAAACCUUAGAAGCAAAAGUUAAAUGGCAAUGGAAUGCGAAGAGUACAGUUGGUCACAGUCCAAAUAGAGAUUGGAUGUAUGCAAUAUAAGUACGGUCUGUCUCUCAGUCUUAUCUCAGUACAUGAAAACUGCUUCUGAACAGAAGCCAGAAUGCCAGCACAAAGAAGCAAAGCCUGACAUGGGACAGAAUGUUGGACUGUGCCAUUUUCUCUUCUCACAUCUGGAGUGAUUUCAGAGAAGUGAAUUCGCAGGUGCCAGUGGGAUAUACGUCUAAAAAGGGGAUCAGGUUGCAGAAGAAGAUGUGUUCCCUUUCAUGCAGUAUAAACCUCUGUUAAGGAGUAGGAUGGGGAUUUCCGAUGGCAGUCAUGUAACAAAAAGUUUUGUAACUUUAAAAAGUGCAAGCAGACUCUUUACUUUUCCCCCUACAAACUAACAUGGUUACACUUAUCAUUAUGGUUACAGGUAGGUAGCCGUGUUGGUCUGCCAUUCACAGCAAAAUUGUGAAGGGUUCUGGAGGAUGCCAUGGAAAUGAUAAAUAAUAGCAAAAUGCCACAACAGAGUACUGUAGCUGCUAUAAAUGUAAUUCCAUAAUGAUAAGUCGAAACAAAAUAAAAAAAUUCCUUCCAGUAGCACCUUAGAGAUCAACUAAGUUUGUUAUUGGUAUGAGCUUUCAUGUGCAUGCAAACAAAAGCUCAUACCAAUAACAAACUUAGUUGGUCUCUAAGGUGCUACUGGAAGGAAUUUUUAUUUUGUUUCGACUUAUCAUUAUGGAAUUACAGUGGUGCCCCGCAAGACGAACGCCUCGCAAGACGGAAAACCCGCUAGACGAAAGGGUUUUCCGUUUUGAGGCGCUCAUAAAGCAAUUUCCCUAUGGGCUUGCUUCGCAAGACGAAAGCCCAUAGGGAAAUCUCCGAGGACCUCUUUUAAAUGCUAGCGGUGGGGAGCAAAGCCUUCCCCCCUCCGGCCUUCAGAAGAGGUCCAGGAAGGCUGGCGGGGGCCGAAGGCUUUGCUCCCCACCGCCAGCUUUUUAAAAGCCGUCCGGGAUAGCAGGGAAGCGCUUCCCGCUAUCCCGGACGGCUUUGAAGGCAGGAGAGGUCCGCGAGCCUGGGCGCGCUGAUCUCCAGCGCGCGCAGGCUCCGGCAUGCCGGCAACUCUCCGCAAGCAGCGGCAGCGCUGCCGCUGCUCGCGGAGAGGUCCGCGAAGCCUGGGCGCGCUGAUCUCAGCGCGCGCAGGCUUCGGCAUGCCGGCAACUCUCCGCAAGCAGCGGCAGCGCUGCCGCUGCUCGCGGAGAGGUCCGCGAAGCCUGGGCGCGCUGAUCUCAGCGCGCGCAGGCUUCGGCAUGCCGGCAACUCUCCGCAAGCAGCGGCAGCGCUGCCGCUGCUCGCGGAGAGGUCCGCGAAGCCUGGGCGCGCUGAUCUCAGCGCGCGCAGGCUCGGCAUGCCGGCAACUCUCCGCAAGCAGCGGCAGCGCUGCCGCUGCUCGCGGAGAGGUCCGCGAAGCCUGGGCGCGCUGAUCUCAGCGCGCGCAGGCUCGGCAUGCCGGCAACUCUCCGCAAGCAGCGGCAGCGCUGCCGCUGCUCGCGGAGAGGUCCGCGAAGCCUGGGCGCGCUGAUCUCAGCGCGCGCAGGCUUCGGCAUGCCGGCAACUCUCCGCAAGCAGCGGCAGCGCUGCCGCUGCUCGCGGAGAGGUCCGCGAAGCCUGGGCGCGCUGAUCUCAGCGCGCGCAGGCUCGGCAUGCCGGCAACUCUCCGCAAGCAGCGGCAGUGCUGCCGCUGCUUGCGGAGAGGUCCGCGAGCCUUGGCUGGACAGCUUUUGAAGGCAGGUGGGGGGACAAGACUUUGCCCCCGCCAGCCUUCAGAAGAGGUCCAGGACCUCUUCUGAAGGCUGGCGGGGGCAAAGUCUUUGUCCCCCUGCCUGCCUUCCCAGGGGCUUUAAAUUGCCCCGGACAGCGGAGAAGUCCUCCGCUGUCCCGGGGCAAUUUUAAAAUGCCGCCCGCCAGCAUUUUAAGAUCGCCCCGGACAGCGGAGAAGCCCUCCGCUGUCCCGGGAGUUUUAAAAUGCUGGGGUGGGUGGGAAGAAAAGCCCUUGUCCCCCCAGCAUUCAGAAGAGGUCGGGGGACAGACUGUCCCCGGACCUGGUCUGAAGUCGGUUUCCCUAGGAACGCAUUAAUUGAUUUUCAAUGCAUUCCUAUGGGAAACCGUGCAUCGCAAGACGAAAAACUCGCAAGAAGAAAAAACUUGCGGAACGAAUUAAUUUCGUCUUGCGAGGCACCACUGUACAUUUAUAGCAGCUACAGUACUCUGUUGUGGCAUUUUGCUAUUAUUUAUCAUUUCCAUGGCAUCCUCCAGAACCCUUCACAAUUUUGGUGUCAGCAUCUACUUGUCUAGGCACCUCAGAGAAGUCUUUGUAGGAUCAGACUCUCCAUUAGAUUUGUAGGAAGAUCAGCUAAGUAAGGAUGAUGCAGAAAGCGCAAGUUGGUUAUGCUUCUCUUUCCUCCACAUCCCUUUCUUGUGGAAAAUGGAUAUUUCACAUUUCUCUCUGUGGGGAGAUCUGUAAACUGUCUUUAUUUAUAAUUGGCCUGUUUUAUGAGUGAAGGGGGGAAUCUACUUGUUGUGUGUUUGACUUAUCCUUCCCUAUAUCAGUAUUGCUGCAUCAUAAUUAGAUCACAGUGACCUCUCUUUCAUUAUAAGAUUUUUUGCAUGAAAAUCAAGAAUGACUUCCACCCAUCAUCAUCAGCUCAGAUACAAAACUGACAUCACAAUCUGUUAUUGGGCAGCAAAUUCCAUGAUAUUCAGCUAAGCUGCCUGCAGUUAAGAAAUCGUUUUUAAUUACGACGCAUCACCUGUUUGCACUCACUGUGGAAAGGAGAUGUAGAAAAUCAUAUCUGAUUGCAGGCUUUAACGAGCUGUUUAUUGGAUGCGGCAUAUUACUUUCUGGACUUUUCAAAAGAUACAAAAGUAAUACUUUAGAAACAAAAGGGGGAAUUUUGCAAACAAGUGCUGUCUGCCAUCCAAAACAUUUCACAGAUCAUCACAAAAAGGACAUGAAAAUGUUUGCUUUUUCAAGAAGUGCUAUCCUCACUCUAAAACAAGGCAGAAGAAACUUAGGUCCAGAGAUCUUCAUGCCUCUACUAGGUCAUGCUACUACCCAAGCAACGCCCCCUCCCCCCGAAUACGUAUCUCAUUGGCUGUCCUCCGAAGCCCUCCUCAAGUGCUUUCGUGUGUCUAGAAUUGUGUCCUUGAACUAUGAUAAUACCUCUUGCUUCCCCAGAUGGAGGAUAAGCUAGAUUUACUAAAUGUUUACAUUUCUCCCACAACAAAAAGUCCCAAAGCGAUUUACAACAAGAAUAAGAUGCAAUAAUAAAAAUACAAAGAUGUAUUAAAAACACAGUCAGAAAAAGAAGUAUUCAAUCACUGGUGCUGCUCAAGUGCCUGAGAAAAUAAAAACACCUUUGUUUGGCACCAAAAUGAUGACAGCAGCAGAUGGGCCUCCCAAUGGAAAUGUAUUCCAUAGCCAGGGAGCUACUACAGAAAAGGCCCUAUAUGUCAAUCACCACCCUUUGGACCACAGGUUCAUAUGGGGAAAGAUAGUUCUUUAGGUAUAGGAGUUCCAAGCCAUAAUAUAUUCUAUAUAUAUAUGUUUGUGUGCGAGAGCGUAUACUGCUUGAUUGUAAUAACAAUAGCCAACUCUUAAGUGGUUCACAACAAUAUAAAACAUUAAAAAUUAUCAAUAAAAACAGUUAAAAAUCAGUAUAUUCAAAAAAUUAUUAAAAUCAAUGGUAGCUAAAAAUAAGAAAAACAUAUAUAUCUUCUACAUGUCUGCAUACACUUGUCUUCACAAAAAUGUUUAAGCAAGCGCCGAAAAGCAAUAUAAGACUUUAACGGUCAAAACCAGCACGUUGAAUUGGGCCCACAAACAAAUCGGCAGCCAGUGCAGUCAGCCCAGAACCAGGGUUAAAUGUUCCUGUCUUAGAACCAUAGAAUCACAGGGUUGGAAGGGACCACGAAGGUCAUCGAGUCCAACCCCCUGCAACACAGGACACUAUUGCCCUUGUCCCAGUUAACAUUCAAAAUAACACAUCCUGCACUGGUUGCAGUUUCCAAACCACCCCCAAAGGUGCACAACGAAUUGCAGUGAUCUAACCCAGAGGUUACCACAGCCUGGACAGCCAAACCCUGGCUAUCCUCCAGGCUGCCCACCUGCUCCUUCAAGGACAGUGUAACUCUCUCCAGUAAGAGGAAGGCAAGGGAGGAGAGGCACUGCUGCGAGCGGGAGAGAUGAAGAAGAGGAGCAGCAGCAGUACAGGGGACAGUGGGCAGUGGCAGCUCAGGCAGCGCAAUCUCUUGCAAUGGCCCUGCAUGGUGGUAAUAUAUCAAUCAACUAACUUUUGUGAAUUUGACUUUUCUGAUGAUACAGUGAUCCUUUUAAUCACUGUAAUCACAGAAGGAAAGGUCUAACAGUAAUGAUCACCACAGGGGAAAGACUACCUUUUGGAUGUCCUGCCUGCAACAAUAGGUUUUGAUGACAAAAUGAAAAGCUGCAAGACUACAGUGCUGGAUUCCCACACUGUAGGGAAUGGGAAAGCCAAAAAAUAAAAGACAAGCCUCAGGUUGGUGCUCAGAAAUUUAAAUGCACAGGUGGGAACACCAGAUUGGCUCUGCUGGUGCACCCAUAAAGCCCCAACUUUAGCACUGCCCUGCUCCAACCCAUUCAAACAAACCAUGGCAGCCCCGGUGUUGGUGAUCACUCUGUCGAAGGGAAACUCCCCUCCGGAGUAGAAAUCAUAUAUCUAACAGAUGGAAGGCUCUUUAAUCUGAGUAGGCUGAAAGCAAAGAGUAAGGUUACCGUAACUUCCAUCACAGAGCUUCAGUAUGCUGAUGACAACAUAUUGUGCACUCACUCAGAGGAUGACCUCCAAACCAUCCUAAAUAUCUUCGUAGAAGCUUACGAAAAGCUUGGCCUAUUGCUCAACAUCCAAAAACCUAAAGUGCUGCACCAACAAGCACAAAACAACCCCUGUGCAGUGUCACAAAUCCCACUCAAUAGUGUAAAGUUGGAAAAUGUUGAUCACUUCUCCUACCUGGGCUGUUAUCUUUCCACAAGGGCCAACAUUGAUACCAAAAUCCAGCACUGCCUGAGCUCUGCGAGUGCAGCUUUCUCCCGAUUGAAGUGCAGAGUGUUUGAGGACCAGGACAUUUGAAGGAAACCAAAAUGCUUGUUUCCAAAGCUAUUGUGCUACCAACUUUACUGUAUGCUUGUGAAACAUGGACCACUUAAAAACACUAUCUCCAGCUCCUCAAAAGAUUCCAUCAAUGGUGUCUCCAAAAAAUUCUACACAUCACUUGGGAAGACAGGAGAACUAAUGCCAGUGUAUUGGAAGAAGCAAAGAUCACCAGUGUCGAAGCAAUGAUUCCUCAACAUCAACUUCAUUGGACUGGUAAUGUUGUGCAGAUGCCUGAUUAUCAUCUUCCAAAGAAGGGGUCAGCAACCUUUUUCAGCCGUGGGCCGGUCCACCGUCCCUCAGACCAUAGGGGGGAGCCUGGACUAUUUUUUCGGGGGGGGGGGGAGAACAAAUUCCUAUGCCCCACAAAUAACCCAGAGAUUAAUUUUAAUUAAAAGCACACAUUCUACUCAUGUAAAAACACCAGGCAGGCCCCACAAAUAACCCAGAGAUGCAUUUUAAAUAAAAGGAAACAUUCUACUCAUGUAAAAACACGCUGAUUCCUGGACCAUCUGCAGGCCGGAUUGAGAAGGCAAUUGGGCCGCAUCCGGCCCACGGGCCUUAGGUUCCCUGUUCCAAAGCAACUACUCUAUUCCGAACUUAAAAAUGGUGCAUGCACAUGAAAGCUCAUACCAAUGACGAACUUAGUUGGUCUCUAAGGUGCUACUGGAAGGAAUUUUUUUUAUUAAAAAUGGUGGUCAACAAAAGAGGUUUAAAGACUCUCUCAAGGCAAUUCUUUAAAAAAUGUAGUAUAAACACCAACAACUGGGAAACACUGGCCUGCGAGUGCUCCAAUUGGAAAACAGCCUUUACCAAAGGUGUCAUUGGCUUUGAAGACUCUCAAACUCAGGACGAAAGGGAGAAACAUGCUAAGAGGAAGGCACACUUGGCAAACCCUCACCGUGAUCAACUCCUGCCUGGAAACCUAUGUCCCCACUAUGGAAGGAUGUGUAGAUCCAGAAUUGGCCUCCACAGUCACUUACAGACUCACUGUUAAAACCAUGUUUAUGGAAUACACUCUUACUUGGCUACAAGUGAUCACCAAAGAAGGUAGGGCAGCUCGGCGGCUCUAUCUAAACACAACGGCCCCUUUGUUGGGUGUUCACUGUUUGCUCAAAAUACCCCCUGAGUAAAGUCCCCAUGUGUGUGCUUAGUUCCAAAAACAUGGGAAACAAUGAUGUAGCCCAAUGCCACAUUUCUUAAUAUAGAAAAAUCUGUAUUUUCUCGAUAAAUUCUGUAUGCCCAUCAUAGUGUGGAGUUACUCAGUAGUUAAGUCUCCAUUGAGGUUGGGUUGAUGGUGGAAAUAUGGAGGUGGUUGUCUAGGGCUCUCCACCUGAGUGUUUGAACUUAUCUCACUUCUUUUAUUAUUGUAGCAUUUCACCCUCACAGGUGGCAGGAAUUAGUCAAAGAGGCACUGGAUUCUCCAUGUCAGCAUAAAUCCAUGGGAAGCAGUUUGACAUAAGGCAAGUACAAGCAUCUUUUGGAUGAAGCCAGUAGUUGGGACUGAAAAGUAAGGCAUGACCAGAGGACAAUCCCGGAGGCAGGUUCAAGGAACAACCCAGAAAUUAGGAAUGGAAGGACUAUCAAAAGAUAUUGGAACACACCAGCGCUCAGGAAGACCUCUUAUAAAGCUUAAUGGAACAGAAAGCCCUAUUAUAGUCCUUCAUGUCCUCCACAAGGAACCAAUAACAGACCUGAGUAGGCGCCAGGCAAAAACAUUCCUUUUCCAUCAGGCCUUUGGCUUUUAAUUAUCUAUGGCCUUUUUGCUUGGGUGGGAUGUUUUAAUUUGUUUGUUUUUUUAAAAAAGAAAGAAACAGAAUUGUCUUUUAGAUUUUUUAAAAUGCUGGUUUUAAUGUAUGUUUUUUGCUUAAGCCACUUCGAGUUACUGUGACAAAAAGCAACCAAUAAAUUUAAUAAAUAAUAAUAAUUUGCACAAAGUGGACAUAUAAAAGACACCCCAGAUGGCAAAACUUGAGAAGUAAGCAUAUGGCCAAUGAAAUGUAGGGCCUUGCAUAACUGUUCAGGUUAGGGACCCACAAGUUCUUUAAUUCAGUAUUGCAUUUAAACAUUCUUUCUCCAGUUGUUGUAUGCUUUUGCUAGAAUACCGUGGACAGUGACACAUAGGUGCCCUCUAACGCCACCUAGUGAUCUCCUAAGUCAACUUAUCCUCACAUCUGUCAAGACUCCUAACAAAGACAGCUGAGCAGUAAUGAAAUCAGCAAGAGUGAUUCUUUCACACCUCAGGGAGAAAGCAGGGAGGGACUCCAAGCCAUAUGCUUAUGGAUAACAAUGGGACUGAAUUCUAAUUGAUUUUAUAAGCUAAAGUUAGUGGUUGCAUGUUUUCCCUCACACAGCUGAAGUAAAAAGUUAUAAAGACAAAGUUACAAGAAUAAUCUAAUAUAAGGCAACUAUUUUAAUAUUUUAGUAACAUUUUUGAAUUAUUUUUGCAAUUACAGAACACCCUGAACAUGGAUACAGUGGUACCUCAGGUUAAGUACUUAAUUCAUUCCGGAGGUCCGUUCUUAACCUGAAGCACCACUUUAGCUAAUGGGGCCUCCUGCUGCCGCUGCGCCACCAGAGCACAAUUUCUGUUCUCAUCCUGAAGCAAAGUUCUUAACCUGAAGCACUAUUUAUGAGUUAGCAGAGUGUGUAACCUGAAGCGUGUGUAACCUGAAGCGUAUGUAACCCGAGGUACAACUGUACUGAAUACCAAAAUGAGUUAAAUCUGCAGAUGUAUCAAUUUUGACAUCUCUCUGUCUUGAGAGUUAAUGGAGUACACCUCUGGGGGUGAAGUCAAGCCACUGCAUUAGCACCGAAAUGACCUCCUUGGGACACAAGCCUGAGCAGUGUGUAUGGAGGUCCUGGGCUGACCAGAUGACAAGACUCUUAGCCUCACUAAUGUGGUCCAAAGGAAAACAGAGCAAUACAUUUGGCACCAGCUUGGCUGCAGGAGCUGCAAUACAAGGCGCCAUCUUUCGGAACUCCAGAUUUGUGUAGGGUUUACUCCUUAAGUCUUUUCUCCUCCCAAAGAUAUCCUACAAGGCAGCGGAGGUUUAGGAACAUAGUUUUCCUUCUCUUACAAAUCUAGUUGUACCAGAGUUUUAUUCACAGUAAGGUGAACUAUUACUUCUGUUAGAGGAACAGGGAUUCCAUUGCUGAAUAGGGAGCAGCUUUCUCAAACAUAUUUCAUUGUAACUGAUAUCCGAUAUUUAAAUCCAUUGUUUUUCAUACACUCCCCACUUUCUCUCACUGGUUUCUUUGGUUCUUUCAAAGUGCAAAACUUUGCCAAACAAGGGUAAUCUGUCAAUGCAGGACUGCUGAGAAUUAUAGUUUAUGCUGGGGUUUCUCAAAAUUCCAACCAUGAGGCUGAAAUUUACUUUUUAAAAUAUGUAAUUUGUCCCUAAGACAAAUUACUGGAAACAAAGGACUAGAAAGUGGUCAGAAUAAAACCCAUUUUUUAAAAGGGGCAAAAUCCUGACAAUUACUUUGUUGGUUAGUUUAACAGUUAUUCAUAAUGCUUAAUAACUUGUUAACAAAUGACCUGGAGUUAGGGGUAAGAAGCAAAGUGAGUAAGUUUGCUUAUACAGCUAAGUUGUUCAGGAUGGUAUGCACAAAAAAAGAUUGCCAGGAGCUCCAAAAGGAUCUCAUCAAACUGGGAGAAUGGGCAUUAAAAUAGCAAAUGUGAUUCACUGUAAACUAGCCUGAAAUGAUGCACAUAGGAGCAACAAAGAUGUCAUAAGACCACAAUAUUUUAAGGACUGCCUCUCAACCAAACUGGACCCUGCAAUCAUCAAAGGUCCUUUCUCAUGUUCCUCCUCUGUGAAAUGUCCAGGCAGUAGCAACACAAGAACAAGCUUUUCCUGCUGUGCCUCCCAGUUUGUAGAACGCUCUCACCAGGGAGGCUUGCCUGGCACAACCUUUAUAUAUAUUUAGCUGCCAGGCAAAAACCUUCCUCUAUAACCAAGUUUUUGGCUUUUAACUAUCUGUGGCCUUUUAGAAGUGGGUGGGAUGUUUUUAAUGUAUUGCUCUUUCAUCUUGGUUUUAAUGUAUCUAUGUGGGGUUUAUUGUCUAUUUGGCUGUCAGUCGCUUUGCGUUGCCCUGAAGAUAAAGCAACUGACAAAUUAAAUACAUACAUACAUAAAUGAACCCCUAACUUCACAUCUAAGCUUACAGAGUCUGAACUGGCCAGGAAAUGGACCUUGAGGUCAUGGCAGGUAGAUCAAUUAAAAUGUCACGGUGAUGUGAAAAAGGUGAAUCCACAUCCAUAUUGUACCACAAUCAGAGCUUAUGCUAGCAGGGUUAUCUAAAUUCUGGGUUAGCCAGAAUUUAUCUAGGAUUCUUCAAGAGUAAGGCUACAGCAGUUUCUUCUUUAAUAUUCUGGACAUGCUCAGAUGCAACUUGAUCAUGUUACCUGACAUGUAUGAGCCUUGGUGCACAUUAUACUCACCAUGUGAACAGUCAGUUAUUCUUGAAAACUCUGAAAGCUGCCUCAUCAACAAACACAUUAAAAUGAAAGAGACAGAAAGCUGCAAGUGACAGUGAAAGAGAAGCCAUUCCCUGUCUUUCUCUAUCCACUAUUUGUCUCCCCUUUUCGUCAUCACAGCUACUUUCCCUUGCUCUUACCCGUUCCAAUUCUUAGGGAAAAUAAGCCAAGAGAAAGAGAUUAUCCAAAAAUGAGAUUAACAACUGACAAAGAAAGACAUCCAGUGGAUCAUCCUUCCUUCCUUAUUUAUUUAUUCAUUUAUUUAUUAGUUUAUUUCGUAAAAUAUAUAUACUGCUUGCUUGUAGAAAGGCGCAAAGCACUUUGCAAAACCUUGUGUAUCUGAUGUCUCUCUCUUCCAGGUUUUAGUGCUUUUUGCUAAAGGAGGCACAAAUGAAAGUGGUGGUACAAAUGAAAAACCACUCUGGCCCAUGCUGUCUAGGCACAGGACAAGCGGAAGUGUGGAUGAGCCCUCAGAUCAACAGAUGCUCACAUACAUGAGUCAAAUAAAUGGUUGGUGCUAUGAAUUGUGGUGUUCUCCUUCCAGAUGACAGAAUGGGAAUGAUCUAGAUUUCAUCCUCACCCACUUAAAUAUGAAUGCCAGUGUUAAAGCAAAUAAUGCUAUGUUUCACUUUGAUAGGUACACAUCCAGCCAUGGAGCACCCUUUUAUAAGUAAAGGAAUCUGUAUGUGGAUUGUUGCAUUUAGACAUGGAUUGCCCAUGAAGGAUUGGCACGCUUGCCAUUAAACUGUAAUGUAGGAAGCUGCUCUCUGCAAUCUAUUUAAAUUCCAUAUUCUCUUCCUCUAAGCACAUUCAGACAACCUAGAGAAAGGUGUUAACGUUGUAAUAAAUUAAUUGUUCCACCAUCUUUCUAUAACUGGCUGCAUCACAUACCCAGAAUUUUCAUAACCUCCAAACAUUGAAGUAAUUUAGUUCCUUAUGCAAAACAGAGUUGCCCAGAAUAGACACAUUGCCUAGAAUAGAUAGUCUAUGCUGAAAAUAGUCUGGUCUGUCAAGAUACUAAUCCUUUCAAUUGGCAAUUACUCUGAUUUAAAAUGCAUAUUAUUAUAAUCUUUGAGAAGUGUUUUGAUGUCCUACACAUCAGCACAUAUAGCAGAAGUAUUUUUUUUUUAAGUACAGAAUUACAAUUAUAUUAAAAUUAGAGCUUCCAAAAGAUAGGGAUUUUUUAAUCUCUCAGAAAAUGUAGUACAGGCUAUAGAGAGUCUAUAGUUGUAAAGCCACAUGCAGGUCAUAGAUCAAAACUAUGUGGAGGUCCGCAACAUGCAGAGCUUAAAGGAGGGGGGGGAUGUCACAUUCUUUCAUUUUCAGCAUAAGAAAUGGCCAACUUGUUCAGGGCAAAUAAUUGUUUGAACUGAGGAUUUUAUUAUUAAUCUCUGAAGACUGCUGAAUUUAGGGUCACAGUAAGGGUUGAUUAGGUACAAGGUGCACAAAGCUCUCCUCUGUCGAUGCUAUUGAAAGAAGCAAGUAAUUUAGAUUCAGAAUUGGUCUUGGAUUGAAGCUCACUCCAUUACCGACCAUUUUCAAUUUCAGCUAUACAAUAAACAUCAAGCUCAGCAAGGAAAUUAGUACAUUUGGUAAUGCAUUGGGGGAGAUGGGUGGGUCUUUCACAAGAUGACACUUAUCACCAAAGCUUCAGUUAAUGAAACCCUUGAGUGGUAUCUGCGUUUGACAUAUUUUGACAUUUUUUGAAAUCACAUCCAGCAUUUUCUCUCUCCCACCCCCCCAGCUCCAACUGCACAAUGUUCUGCUUGGGGAGGGGGGGUGCUCCAUCUAUCUUUAAAAUAAGUGCUGAAGAGCUGAAAUAUUAUUGGGGAGGGAGGAAUAAGAAGAAUCUGACUGCACCAGGAGACACAGAGAGAGCAGUAGACUUUCUCAACAGGUAAGGUAUUUCUGGAUAAAUAUUAUUCAGAUUGAGAAUGUGCCCAGAUAUAUGUGUCUACACAAUGAAUUUUCAGGUAUCUAACAUGGAUGUUUAUGUUUGCUUUACAAACUAAUGCAGGGGUCUUCAAACUAUGGUCCGUGGGGCAGAUCUGGCCCACUAGGCUCGUAAAUCUGGCCUGCGGACCCUGCCACCCACUGAGUCAGUCCCCGUGCACUGAGGUAAACCCGGAGUGGUAAGGCAUUUCCUUGAAAAGCAGCCACAGAAGCCUCACCGCGCGGGGACCGACUGGCAGGCAGCGGCACUUUCGCAGCUUCCGAUUGGCUGCAGGAUGGAGUCCCCGUGCCCCAAAGUGUAACGGGAGCGCAGCGGUGGCUCUACCAAUGAAAGGCCGCAUUGGCGUAUACCUCAUCGCAGCGUGGGGCCUUUCAUUGGUAGAGCUGCCGUCGAUGCGCUGAGGUAAACGCUGACAUGGCCUUUCAUUGGUAGAGCUGCCACCGAUGCCCUGAGCCCGGGAUCCCUCAGUGAGUGCGGAGCUGGCCCAGAAAGGAGAGGCGCAGCCACCGCUGCCAGCUCCCAACCGCAGACAGAGCUACAUGGGCAGCGGCAGCCACUGUGCCAAGGUGAAGCAGUAUGAUCGCCCAGGCAGAAACAUGGAGUCCAUGCCGGCAACUGCCGAGCCUGCCGCUGCUGCCGAGCCAGGCUCCAAAGCUGCCGUGGCCACAGCUAGCACUGCAGUCUGGGAUCUCUCAGCAAGAGCGGAGUUGGCCUGGAAAGGAGAGGCACCACCACUGCAGCCAGCUCCAAAUUGCAUGCAGAGCUACUCGGGCAGCAGCAGCAGAGGAGGUAGGAAAGCAGGGGAAGGGGGAGGGGCUGGGGAGAGGGAAGAGAGAAAAAGCCCCCCUCAGCCGGAAUCCUCACCGCCCAGGGCUGGGGUCGACCCCCGAUUGUGUCUCCUUUCAGUCUCCAGCUAUGUAUAUAAGUAUGUGUAUGUGUGCACAUGUGUGUAUACGGGUGUCUGUAUAUAUUUCAUAUGAAUGAAAAUACAGCAUGAGCUCGGACCAUUUGCAUUAUUGCUGAGCGCUGGCUAGCAGUGACAAAUAUAGAACCGGAUAUUGACCAUCUCAUUAGCCAAAAGUAGGCCCAUACUUCCCACUGAAAUACAGUGGUACCUCGGGUUACAAACCCUUCGGGUUACAAACUCCGCUAACCCGGAAGUAGUACCUCGGGUUGAGAACUUUGCCUGAGGAUGAGAACAGAAAUCGCAUGGGAGGUCCCAUUAGUGAAAGCGCACCUCAGGAUAACAACGGUUUCGGGUUAAGAACGGACCUUCGGAACAAAUUACCGUAUUUUUCGCCCUAUAGGGCGCACCGGCCCAUAGGGCGCACUUAUUUGGGGGGGGGAAUAAAGAAAAAAAAAUAUUUCCCCCCCCCAAGCCCCAAAGAGCAAAGAAGCCAUGACAGCGAGAGGGAUGGAUCCCGCUAGCUGUCUUGGCUUCGUUUUCAGCCUCAGGGCUGGGGGUCCGGGAGCGAAGGCGAGGUUGCGCUCAACCUCGCCAUCGCUCCCGGAGCUGGGGGCGGGGGAAGCCCGGGCUUCCACCCCAGCAAAAGAACACCAAUAGCUUUUCAAAAGAUCACCAAAGGAUCAGUGGGGGGACAUGUCCACACUGCAGGGGCAACAAAGCUGCACCAAUGUUCCUCAAAUUGGGAUGUGCAUCCCAAUGAAAGUUAUGCUGAGCCAAAAAUGUUCCCCUUUUUGCAGAGCUACUUGUCUCAUGUGAAAGUAUGUUGGAGAGUUUUCGGACUUUCAUUGGGAGGGGAUUGGGAGAUGGGCCAUUGGCAUGAUCCAGCCAGCUGUUCUUAUGUUUGUAUGCCCUUAAUGAAAGACCAGUGAGCACUGGGAGAGAGGUUAAGAGCUUAGAGUACCACUUUUUGCAUAAAAAUUCAAAAUGUGAGGUACUACAAUUUUGAUUAUCAUGGUGGUGAUCAUGAUGCAUCAUAAUGGAAUAAAUAAUUUCUAAAUUAUAUAGGGCAGAAACUAUCUGAGGGCAAGAUAAUGAAUAAAGAGUGAAAGGAUUUUAAUUUUAGUUCAUCUAUCUAUCCAGUGCUAUUUUUCUAGAAAAAGAGGUGCUGGAACUCACAAUGAACGCCUCUCUGGUUCUCUUAGAAUGGCAAUUGCCCCAACUGAGAGGUGCUGGAACUGAGUUUCCCCCAGUUGGGGGAAAAGCCCUGUAGCCAUCUAUCCAUCCUUUCCUUUUUAUUUACCAGCAGCUGGUAAAAUGAAAUUCUGGUUGACACUUGUAUUUAACACAAAUUCUCUAAAUGCCUAUUUGACUGGUAAAUUAAAGCCUAAGUCAGAUUCCUCCACAUGAUCAUGUAGAAAAGGAUGAGUGUGAAGUGAACUUAACAGUAAACAGUGUGAACCAGCAACUAUGAUCACAUUAUCAUGAUCUCACAGGUACUGUAAAAAGUACAACUGUACACCCAGGCUGUGUACACACAUUUUAUUGUUUUUUCUCCAUUGUUCAAACAUGGUCUAGACCUAUACUGCAUAUUUUUGCCCCUGAAAAGAGUUUAUUGAGAAACUGGUUUCAUUCCAAAAAUAAAAGCACGCUGUAGAUUGAUUCUGCAUCACUCUGCAGUGUGUCCAUUUGAAAAAAGAUAUGAGCAGUCUUGGCAAUUGGUCACACCUGAUCAAUGACAUUGUUGGUGGGAAUAUGCAAGAUCACAACCACAACUUCCUUCUUCAUUUACCUGGCACAUGUGAAAGGAGGAAAAGGUGUGUGUGACCUAAUCACAGGGAGGGUUUUCAAAUGUGCAUCAAGUAACUAUGUCUACCCUUGUGGAUGGCAGGAUCUGGAAUCAAUCUAGAUUGAAAGUAGUGGAGUACAAGCAUGAAUGAUUUCAAAUUGAGAAAAACUACAAAUGGGUCAGUGUGUAUGUGGCCUCAGUGUCUACACUUCCCACUUUAUACUAUGUGGUUGUGCGCAUGUACAAAUUCUGUUAGCCAUCUCUGAAAUUAAAAAGAAAAACAUAGCUUAACCUUUGCACUCUGUGGAAGAAGCUUGCUAAUGGUACAUGUUCUCAUUACCAAUGGUCCUUUUCCACAUCCUCUUUGCCUUAAACAGACCCCUCCGUGUUGCAUUGUAAUUAAUUUUUAAACUUGGGCCAGUUUUCAAAGCAGUUUGUAAUGUAGAUGAGAGAUCUGCUUCAAGAUAAAUAAUAAAUGGAUGGCUUUUGUUUUCAUAGCAUCAGUCCCACAGAUGCCCAAAGUCACUGGUUAUGUUCUGGCAGUCGUGCUAUUAUAGCAUUAAGGCUGCAGUCCUACACAUACUUACCAGGGAAUAAGCCCCACUGAACACAGAGGAGCUUACUUAUUUCUGUGUAAAAAUGCAUAGGAUUGCACUAUUCUAUAUUGUUGCUGUCUGAAGUGUUUUUUUUAAUUUUGAUUUGUUCCUCUUUGCAACAUUUGGAAGAGGAGAGAAAGAAGGGAGGGGAAACACGCUGCUUUCUUCUCUAUUUUAAACAUAACAAGAGUGAAUGAAAUGACAGCAUGGAAUCUCAUAACCUUGGAAUCUCGUAACCUUGAGCACACAAAAGAAAGUUAAAUAUGUAUAAAAAUGAAAGGAGGGUAGCCAGAAACUAGCUGGGAGGGAAUAAAUAAUUGCCUGCCUAAAACUAGUUCUGACUAGUUCAUGACCCAAGCACACUACUGUCGGCUCUCAGAUCACUUUAAAUGCUGCAUUGUGGCCGCUAGGAUGCAAGACCAAAUUUUUAAAAAGAGGUCUGUGUGGAUGAGGCAGAAGAUUUAAAGUUCACUCAUUCUAAGGGAUUUGAUAUUUACUCUUUAGCUCCCAUGAAAGCCGAGGGAAAUUAUUAUAGAUUCAUAUAUUUCAAAAUCCCACACAGCUCUAUUAUUGUUCACUUUUUCUUUAGUUUGCCCUAUUCAGAAGAGAGAGAGAACAAUUAAAACAAAAAUACAAAGCGACCUAAAUAGGCCAUUUCUGAACUUGACUGGUCCUACUGAGAUAACACUUACCGCUUGAGUUCCAAGCCGGGUGGUCCCUCCCAAAGAUAUUUCCCCCUGUUACAUGUGGGAGGUCAUCUUGAAGAUUUCAGGAAUGGGAACUGCAUUGCAGAGGAUACCUCCUCCUGAAGAGUUGCAUUGUGCUGAAUGGCAAUUUUUUAAUUUAAAACUUGCCCUCACAUGACACUGCUCUGUGCAUUUUCUGUGAUUCCUUCAGGCAAGGUUUAAGGUGCUGGAGCAAGAACCCUGUGUAUGUCUGCUCUUGUGAAGGCUCAGAGAAGAAAUAAUAGAAGCUGGAUAUCUUCUAAACCAAAAAUAAAUCCUAUAUCACAAAAGGAGUUAAUACUUCUUUCUUUCUUUCUUUCUUUCUUUCUUUCUUUCUUUCUUUCUUUCUUUCUUUCUUUCUCAAUGCAAUUUCCCACAACCGACCAGUCAUGUUAUUCCACAUGCUACUCAGUUUUGUAUUAAGAAUACUUUGUGAAUUUAACAGAGUUUUCAUUCCCCCCCCCAGUAGCAAUUGGUGAAGGAGGGUACAGUAUCUUGCGAUAUAGGUAUCAUACACACCAAAUAAUAAAUGUGAGCAAUCAAUUGAUUUUUCAGAAUAAUUAAAUAAUCUUAGUUUGGAUACACAUUUUAAUCACAAGAUUUCAAUUUCUACCAAAAGUUUUAUUCCACAAAUAGCUCUUUUUACAAUGCUUCUUAGACAAUUCUGCAAAUUGGUAGAGUAAAAGCACACAGAUCCCACCAGGCUCCCAUCUGGUCCAGGGUGGAAACAUGAAGCUCUACUACUUACCCCUACUACUACUUACCCCUGGAAAAUGAGGAGGGGAAGAAAUAUAAAAUCUGGGUGUCAUUUGCAUACUGGUGGAACCUUACACCAAAUCUCUGAAUGACCUCAAGCUUCAGGAAGAUGCUCAACAGAAUGAAAUAAAGAAUAAUUAAGUGUGGCACCCCAAAAUAUUAUUGUUAAGGGAUCAGUUAAUGGUUCCUCAGCACUAUUUUCUGGUAUCAGCCCCGCUCCACCAAGUAGGAGCGGAAUCACAGACAAGCAGUGCCUCCCACACUCAACUUGGAGAACUCAUCUAGAAAGAUACCCUGAUCAAAGGAUAGCUGUCAAGAAUUCCAAGAAAAUCAACAAGGUCACACUUUCCUAUUUCUCUCUCAGCAAAGGUGACCAAGACAGUUUCUGUCCCCAAACCAAACCAAAAUCAGUUUCAUCAUAGAGUGACUUGGAAAGUGCUUCUUCAUGCAGCACAUAGUUAAACUAUGGCGCUCCCUCCCACAGGUGGCUUUAAAAGAGGAUAGGAGAAAUUCAUGGAGAAGAGUGCUAUUGUGGCUACUAGUCACAAUUAUUAUUAUUUAUUAAAUUUCUAUACCGCCCUUCAUCCAAGGAUCACAGGGCCGUUUACAAUAUAUAUAAAGAAACAAAGAAAGUAACAUAGUAACAAACAAAAACAACAAUUAGACAAAGACCUGGGAGAAGAGGGAUGUUUUUGCCUGGUGCCUAAAGAAAAACCUGAAAGAGCAUCUCCAUCACCACCCUUCAGCCCAGACAUCAUCCAGCUCCAAGGGCUAUUAUAUUUGGGCCACCCAAGGUCUCCUAGCCCAGGGCGAGUAGGGGAGAAGGGAAGUCAGUGAUGCAUUGCAAAUACAGCUUAUGGGUAUAUUGGGUGGGGGGAAAUUCCUUAUCUCCUUCUAAGGACCCAGAGACCAUGAAUAAUUUGUCAUUAAAGAAGAUAUAAUAAUAAUAAUAAUAAUAAUAAUAAUAAUAAUAAUAAUAAUAAAACUUUUAUUUAUAUCCCGCCCUCCCCAGCUGAAGUCAGGCUCAGGGCAGCUAACAUCAGAUAUAUACCAUUAUUAUAAAAUCAAACAAUAAUUAAAUUACCUCCUAAAAACAGGUCAAAAACAAAUUAAAGUCUAAUUAGAUGGCUUUCCGCAGGGUUAGGGUUGGGAACAGUAGGUUUAUUAAUGUCAGACAGGGCCUUUUCUGUUGUGGAACCCCAGUUAUGGAAUUCCGCUUCUCUGGAGGUGCAGUUAUCGUUUCCAGUGAGAGCUUUCUAAUGUCAACUGAAGAAGCAUCUUUUUCUUUGGGACUUUGGGAAUUAAGUGAUAUGAAAAGCCCAAUAAUUAUUCUGUUUUCUGGUGCAUUAAUAUUGCAAUGAUUACAAUGGUGUUUUUUUUUACUUCUAGGGUUCUAGUAUUAUAUAAUUUCAUCAUUGCUUGAUGCAUUUGAUUUGACUAUUUUGUAAACUGCUUUGGGAUCCUUCAGGAUAAAGAGCAGUUUAAAAAUGAUUGUUAUGAUAAUGAUGAGAGGAUGGGGGGGACACUUGGCUCUGCUUCUUGCUCCACCUGUAGUGAUACUACAUUUGUUUAGAAAUACUCCCGUUAGAGGCCACUAGUCAAUAAUAUUAAAUAAAUGGUAAUUUGAAGACAUGCUGGUCACACUGAGACUGUUUGAACAGAUGUAGGCUUAGACAGCUAAAUAAAUUGUUGCAGCACUCUACAGAUUACAGUUGUGUUUUAAGCCAGUACUCAUUCUUGUUGUCUACAUUAUGGUCCCUGAAAUAUUACAGUAUUAACGGCUAUGGAUUCAAUUAUAAGGGAGGCAAGGAGGGUAUAGCUGAAAGAACCUCCUCACCAUCCCAUCUGCCAUUAAAGUUGAAGCAAACAUAUACAUGAAUGGGGCAGGCUUGUUUUCUCUGCUUCACGGACUAAGGAUGAUGACUGGCACUGAGGAGGGGACAGGAACCCUCCCCCACCCACUGAAAAUUGAUGGGCUUCUAGCUACAACCUCCUAUAAAAGUAUGCAAGUAGUAAAUAUGUCUUUCCAAGUUCUUCUUUGUUUUCUUCUAGUUAAAUUAAUCUUAGCUGCGCUUUGAGAAUCUGUAUUCUCCAUUCCAGUAUAUGUGAAAUUUUGUUACUGCUGUGCCUCUGAAAGUAGCCAGGGAGGGAUUAAAAAAUUACACCCUAAUUACAAGUAUCUGCUCAUUGCUCACAUGUUGGUGUGGAUAAAUUAGUGUAAUUAGCUUUCUAGUUGAAACCAAUGCCCAAUGCAUAUACAGUAGAAAGGGAAAUAAGACUGCAAGGCUAAGGAACUUUAUUAUUAAAGCUAGUGAUGUUUCUCAAUUUCACAGCUUCAGUAAAACUGAGAUACCUUUGCAUUAUUUCCUGACAUUCCAAUGUUUCCAUUUAUGCUAUAUAUUUUUCCAUUCACUAAAUUAGGCUGCAAAACAAACCCGCUUUGCAUUGAGCUCGGAGGGUUGGACUGGGUUGGGCAGCCAUGCUGACCUUCCCUCUGCCAUAAUGGAACUUCUUGUUUGGCCCACCAGACAGGUGGACAGAGGAAGCACGCCACUAAUGGAAGCCUACAAAAUGCCCCAAACUUGGUGCUCCUGGGUCGGAAAAGGGCUGAGCCUGUCCAGAGCCCACUGGCUUCUGAGAUAGCUUCACUAACAUUUCAUGCCAGUUCCAGGCUGAGAUAGCAGUUCGCCUGUCUUUUACCCAGCUAGUAUGAGCAGCAGGGCUGCAAAUAAAAAAGCACACUUGCUGACCUGUUAUGGUCUGCCAUUACCCAGGAAGGAUUUGCAUUGCCCUUUACUGUAGAAGCAGUGGCAAAUAUGUAGUUCCUUUGAGUAAGUCGUAUUCAUGAAUGAGUGAGGUACCUUGCCAAGUUAGGGAUUGUAAAUCCAGAGUCACACAGGGUUCUUCCUGUGUAGAACCAUAUAUGUGAUGAAGAGUAGGAUGAGAAUCACAUGACCUGCUCCAGAAGGUCCCAGCAUCCAUGCAUAAGACAUAACACUGGAAUUGAGGUCUAAGCCUACGAAGUUCAGUGUGUGCAGGUCUUUAGUCCAAGAUGGACAGAAAUAUUGUCUUGGCUCUCGCUCGUGGACACAGUACUUGGCCUCUAGCCUUGAUUAAUCCUGAAGGCUUUAUUCCAAAAAUCACUAAACAGCUUAAACAUAGAUCACGUUACAGCUUACAUGGUUCAAGAAUUCAAAGAAGAGCUCAAAGGUACAUGGCUAGGUACAAGCUAAGAUGCCAUUUCAACACUUGACAGGGGUGGGCACAGUCAUUUGUGUGUUUUGGUCCCAAGCAACAGGUUGGGAAUGCAAGCAGCCACUCCUGUGAGUACGCUGGCUCUCUUCAUGCUAGAACAUCCUUAGAGACAGAGGCAGGGUAUGCCCAAGCAGCUCAGUGUCUGAUCCACCCCCAGGUGCUUCCUCAGUUGCCAAUAAAAUAAUAUGGAUGCCGUAGCUAGGAGUACCUUCAAUCUAACUUUGGUGCACAUGCUGAGCAUCAUUCUGGAGAAAGCAGAUUUGGCCAUUGUUAUACCUGCCUCCCUCACACUCUAUUAGUGCAAAAUGCAAUGGCCAGAAUGUUUUCUGGUGUCUGCAAUUCAGCUCAUAUUACGCUGAUCCUGUUUUAUAUGCACUAGGUCCCUGUUUCUCUGGGCCCAAUUGAAGGGAACAUGCCUCUUCUAUAACAUAUCCUCAUCUAUUAGUCUUUGACCUCCCACACCAUCCUUGCCCUGUCAUUUUAAUUUGUACUAAAAGCCUUCACUUUUCUAUUUUGUACAGCACAUUUUAAGCAGCAACUGCAGCAGGGUUUCCAGAGCUCAUUCAAAAACCUCAAAGUCAGAUUCUAUCAUUUGGAAAAUAAGUCUUUUUCUAGGCUUGUGCAGCCUUGGUCUCUCUUCAUGUAAAUUAGGCUAACUAUAUCCAAAAUUAAAACAAAUAGAAAUAUACUAUUACUGAAAAAAAUAUCAGGCAUGUGUGCAUUCAGAUUUCUCUAACCAUAUAUGUAUCUAUAUAUCAGAGUAAAGUAGAAACAAACAAAAUAUAGUGCUUCAAACAGGUGGACCCUCCCCAGCUUCCCCCCUCCCCAGUAGAGGCAGGAUUCCUAAUUAUUCUUAUGCUGUUGAAAUUAUUUUAAUUUUGCAUCUCAGCAGAUCCACAUUUGUAUGCUGAAAACAGGUGUUCAUCAAAAGGAGAUGAUAAAGAGAUGCCGCAGUCAAGGCUUGGAACCUCGCCGGCAUGGUGUGAUGACAGAUAAAUUAGAAAAAAUAUCCUGCUCAACAUCUCCCUUCUUCAGAAGGAGAUUACACCUUUUUAAAAAGGCAAAACAUGCAGUUCAAUUACUUAUUGUCUUGGCAUGUGGUUGUGAUGAAAGAGGCAGUCUUAAACAUCAAUAGAGCUAAACUAACAUCCCCAGAUGGGCUUCAGAAGAGGGAAACCUAAAGCAAGAUCCACCUGCACAUGAAGCAAUGUUUUGUUGCCAAUGCUUUUUUUAAAGGGUAGAAAUGUUUCUUCAUCCUCCCAUUUACAGUGCCCCUUCAUCUAAAAUGACCAUUUCACAGGGAACUUAGGGUGGAAAUCCUUAGCAGACAAAAGAGGAAUAAGUGUUCCCACCUCCAGCAUUAGAGCUUUCGUUCCUUAAUGCUUCUAUUACAGAGGCAUUUGUACAUGUGCAUAAGAAAAAAAGAAACUGAGCAUGCAAGUUUUCAAUGCAUCUAUAAUGAAGUCAAUGGCCCCAAUUCAACAGCUGCAAGGCACUGCUGGGGACAGAGAGCUUUGAUGCACAUUGAGAGCAGAGUGUUCCAAGUCAUUGAAGAACAUAAGAGGCAAACUGACUCAUGUAGAUCUCUGUGUGUAAACUGUCCUGCAAAAUUGUAAUGAAUGACCAAUCAUUUGGUAAUCGGUAACCAUUUCCUAAACUAACUUAUCUUUCCUUAAAUAUUGGUAUGAUUUCAAAACUUGAGAACUUUAUAAAAAAUAAACAUGGCCUGGUUGGGAUAGGAAAUGAAAAGAAAAAAUGACAACCCAUAGCAAGGUCAGGAGUUCUUGACUCACUGGUCUUUCACGCCAAGUAAGGAACCUUAUAAGCAACAGCAGAGUUGUUAUAGAUCAGGGUCGGCACAACAGGUUUUGGUGGCUGAAGAGCAGAAGCAAAUGCCAUUCCCCCAGCCCUGACUAGUUCCUUCCGUAAGUCAGGGUGCACAGCACCCAUGGUUUGUCAAGUUAUAUUGGCACCUAAGACAGGAAAGCCCACAAGUACCAUUCCCCCUCCCUCACAGUAAAAAAUAUAAUCUAUUAGAUAUUUUGGGAAAUGUUUUGUCAAUUUGUUCUCUGUGUGUGCGCAUGCCUCUCGAGAUAUCAUCGCCAACCUCUGCACAAGGUUUCCUGAAGUGUGAAAAAUGCAAAGGUGAAAGAAUCUAAAGGAGACAAAUAGUGAGGGAGGUGCUACUACGCCAGGGGUUCAUAGGAUCAUAGAACUGUAGAGUUGGGAGGGUCCCCGGGGGUGAUCUAGUCCAACCUGCUGCAAUGCAGUAAUCUCAACAGGGUCUCCCAUCCAAAUUGAAACCAUACCAGACCCUGCAUAGCUUUGCAAAUGUGCUAGCAGUUUUAUUGCUGCAGCAGGUUUAUCGCUGUAUUGCCUUUUCGAGCCUGAAGCUCUGUUACUAGUGCUGCACCCCCAUUUGUUCAAUUUAUAUGCCCUUUCCAACUCAACAUAACUCACCAUGAUUCUGUAAGGUGGAUUCCUGCUUGUGGAAGUCCAUACAAGGAUUUCCUAGGGCAUUUUCUCCCACUCAUCUCUCUGCACUCCUAAAUAAUAAUAAUAAUAAUAAUAAUAAUAAUAAUAAUAAUAAAUUGCUCAGUGAGGUCAGAAGAGCCUCCAGAACAGUGGAGGGUGGGAGAGGAGAGGGGAGGAUCAUUCGGUCUAGUUAACUGAAAUGCUUGUGCUGACAGAACGAUUUCCAUAGCACUGUACAAAAUUCUUCCUUAAGUGUCAAACUACACAAGGCAUCACACAGUGUAUGUGAUUCUCCUAUUCUUUUAUGUAUUUAUGUAUUUAUUUAAAUGCAUUUCUAAACUACUUAAUAUUUAAAAUAGCUAAGCAGUGUACAAAAAUCCAAACAUAAAAACGGUAAAGCAGUGUCAUAAAGGCAGAGAUAAAAACAGAAAUCUGGGGAGUAAGUCCCAUUGAACUUAACUGAGUAUUGAGUAGGAGUGUAUAGGUUAGCAUUGCCUGUCAAACAACACCUAAAAAGCAAACUUUAAAAAGCUGGCCAGAAUUCCCCCCCCUCAUACGCCUUUACAGCUUGGUUUAAUAAACAUAUGGCAAAUGACUUUGUAAUAUCAUUUGACCACAGUACUUUCUAAUUUCUUGCAUCUAAUAGCUGUGCAUACUUUUCAGCAUUUCUAGCAGUUUAACAAGGAAACCAAGUUUGAAUUGCAGAAUUCAGAAUUCUUGUUUAAAUGAUCAAAUUACAGGUUGUAAUUACAAAUUAGUUUCAUGUCAGGAUUGACAUAAACAAGAAAAAGGUUAGGUUAAAGUAUAUAUCUUCAUCAGUUUUUUUCUGCAUUUGGGCUCGUUAUUAUUGCAGAUUUUGUUUGAAUCUAUGUCAUUCAGUAAUUCAGUUUCAGUUAUGUUUCCUCCUCUUGUUCACUGUGAGGGCAAAUGCGCACUGGCAAGGAAAUUAUCUCAUUAUAAAAUGGGGGGAAAGGUAGCUUCAGUUUAAAGAAAUGUCUCUUUGUACAAAAGGCUUUGAUACAAAAGUAUCAAGUGUACAUUACAUGUGGAAUACUUCUGCCAAAAUAUGGCCCCUGUGGCUAUUUUAUUAAAAAAUAAAAUAAGAAAAAUGCAUUGGGGCAGAAAAUACUAGGAAAAUAUUGGAAAGGUUUUGAUUUGUUUGUGGAGAUCAUCCAAGAGAGGUGCAUGAAUUUCUAAGUACUCUUUUUCUGUCCUCGGUUCCAAAAUGGUCAGCCAUUACUACAGAAGCAUUGGGCUAACUACAAUUCCAGUGAGGAUUUCAUACCAGCAGAAAACAAACAACACAGAGACCAUAAUCCAGCACAAAAAUAGGCAACCAAGCUAUUAAGGCUUUAUUUGGAAAGGGCCAACUCCAGCAUGGCAAUAGAGCACCUGCCUUGCAUGUGAAAGGUCUUGGAUUCAAUCGACAGCAUCUCUGGGGACUGGAAACAUCCCGUCUGAAAUCUUUGGUAAGCCACUGCCAGUAAGUGUAGAGUAGACAAUACUGAGUUGGAAGGCCAAUGGUAGACAAACUAUUGCUAUCCGUCUGGCUUGAGAAACAACAGUGUGUGCCUCUGGGAGUGAAGUCAAACUGCUGUAUUAGCAGCACCCUGGGGAACAAGCCUGGGCAGUGUGCAUGGAGGUCCAGGAUUGCCCCAGGUGACAAGACCCCCCCUCUUGGCCUCGCAGUCCAAAGGAAAGCAGAGCAAUAUGUUUGGCAUCAGCUUGGAUGCAGGAGCUGUUGGAAGGAGGCUUAUAAGGUGCCACCCAACAAUCUUAGGGGCUCCACUCCAGAUUUGUGUAGGGUUUACUCCUUAGCCUUUUCUUCUCCCAAAGAUGUCCUGCAAGGCAGCAAAGGCUUCAGAUCACAGUAUUCCUUCUCCUAGACGGGCUACCUUCCCAGGUUGACAAGCCACAUCUCUCCCUCACUUCCCUCUACAGCACAUGCAGAAACCACUUUCUCAAUCGUUGGACCCACUAAAUGCACCAAUGAUCUGAUAUAGUGUAAGGCAACAUGUUUAUAUGUUCCUAAGGCAGGAUCAUGUCCUCAGCCUCCCACAGUGAGUUCAGGUCAUGGUGAAACUUUAUAAAUCUUUUUUCUACCUUGAGAAUAUAUCAUUAUUAUUGAUUUUUAAUUUUUGUAUCAGAAGGAGAACAGGUAAAAUCCUGAAUUCUUCUGGCAUUAGUAAUGGCCUUAAAAAAAUUCUGAAAAGUAUUAUAUUAAAACACAGCUGCAACUGGGGAGCCUGCAGCCACCAAAAGCAGCAGGCAUGAACAAAAUGUGUUAGUUCCAGCAAGUUAAGCUAUAAUAAUAAUAAUAAUAAUAAUUUAUUAUUUAUACCCCGCCCAUCUGGCUGGGCUUCCCCGGCCACUCUGGGCGGCUUCCAAAAGAAUAUUAAAAUACUAUAAUACAUCAAACAUUAAAAGCUUCCCAAAACAGGGCUGCCUUCAGAUGUCUUCUAAAAGCCUGGUAGUUGUUGUUCUCUUUGACAUCUGGUGGGAGGGUGUUCCACAGGGAAGGCGCCACUACCGAGAAGGCCCUCUGCCUGGUUCCCUGUAACUUGGCUUCUCGCAGUGAGGGAACCGCCAGAAGGCCCUCGGUGCUGGACCUCAGUGUCCGGGUAGAACGAUGGGGGUGGAGACGCUCCUUCAGAUAUACUGGACCAAGGCCGUUUAGGGCUUUAAAGGUCAGCACCAACACUUUGAAUUGUGCUCAGAAAUGUACUGGGAGCCAAUGUAGGUCUUUCAAGACCGGUGUUAUGUGGUCUCUGCGGCCGCUCCCAGUCACCAGUCUAGCUGCCGCGUUCUGGAUUAGUUGUAGUUUCCGGGUCACCUUCAAAGGUAGCCCCACGUAGAGCGCAUUGCAGUAAUCCAAGCGGGAGAUAACCAGAGCAUGCACCACUCUGGCAAGGCAGUCCGCAGGCAGAUAGGGUCUCAGCCUGUGUACCAGAUGGAGCUGGUAAACAGCUGCCCUGGACACAGAUUUGACCUGUGCCUCCAUGGACAGCUGUGAGUCCAAAAUGACUCCCAGGCUGCGCACCUGGUCCUUCAGGGGCACAGUUACCCCAUUCAGGACCAGGGAAUCCUCCACACCUGCCCGCCUCCUGUCCCCCCAAAACAGUACUUCUGUCUUGUCAGGAUUCAACCUCAAUCUGUUAGCCGCCAUCCAACCUCCAACCGCCUCCAGGCACUCACUAUGAAGGUGCACCUAAUGAUUUUAUGAUCACCAUCCUGUAUCAACGGAAGUAUAUAUAUUGCACAGUCAUGCAAUGCAAUUACACCAACAAAUUCUGGGUACUCUUGUCCAAAGCAUUUGAUGGACUGAUAUAACAAAUUAUGUUUGUAGUGUAAUGCUGAUUUUUUUAUUUAAUUGAUUUAUUAUAGUAUAAUAUUUAUUGCUAACCCCUGACUCUCCAGAUGUUGCUAUACUUACACUGUAACAUCCACCAUCCCUGACUAUUGGCCAUGCUGACUGGGACUGGUGGAAAUUGUAGUCCAACAACUUCUAAAGAGCCACACAUUAGUCACCCCUGCCCUGUAACCAUGUUAUCUGAGUGACAAGCAAAUAAAAAUGCUUGUUAAAACCAUAGAAUAUAAACAAAUAAAUACUAAAAACAAUGUUCAGUAGCAAGUUAAAUAGUCCAUUACACAGAAAGGGGGAAAGAAAAAUGAAAGGAUGGCCAAUUGAAAAAAGCUAGGAUGAACUGAAGAGAAAGGUUAAAUGCCGAGACUAGGCAAUAGUUAUUAAAGUCUAAAAGGUCAAAUGCCAUUUUCUAAGAGUGGCAUUGACCACCUCUGUGACCCAUAUACUCAAUCCAUCUCGGGCAGCUUUAAUUAGCCAUGAAGAGCACAGAUCAAGGACACAUGUGUAGGUUGCAAACCUUCAAGUUGCCUGCCUAAAUCCAAGUGCAGAACAAGUGGCAAACUAUCCCUAAUAAAUGGACCAGUGGUAGCUGUAAUCACCUUUGAUUCUGCUACUACUAUAGCAUCCAGAUUGGCACGGAUUUGAGUAGUUUUAUCUGCAAAAUCUAUUGCAAAUUGGCCACAGUGGGCUAUUGAGUGCUUGGCGGGGAAGAACUGCAGUGAGGGAUGGAGAAGCAAUUCAAUUCACUUGCUGAAACAAUAUAUGAACUGAAAGACAUACCGUAAUUUGAAUUUCACAUUUAGCAAUUAAAUUUUCCAUCCUAGUACAUGUACUAAAUGCAUAUACUGGGGGCAAAAUAUGCAUAACAAUUUAUAUAUUAGUGAAAAUACCAUGCAAAAUAGGGACGCGGGUGGCACUGUGGGUUAACCCACAGAGCCUAGGACUUGCCAAUCAGAAGGUCAGCGGUUUGAAUCCCCGGGACAUUGCUCUGUCCCAGCUCCUGCCAACCUAGCAGUUCGAAAGCACGUCAAAGUGCAAGUAGAUAAACAGAUACCGCUCCGGCAGGAAGGUAAACAGCGUUUCCGUGUGCUGCUCUGGUUCGCCAGAAGCGGCUUAGUCAUCUUGGCCACAUGACCCAGAAGCUGUACUCCCGCAGCCAAUAAAGCGAGAUGAGUGCCGCAACCCCAGAGUCGGUCACAACUAGACCUAAUGGUCAGGGGUCCCUUUACCUUUACCUACCAUGCAAAAUGCAUUAUAGUAGGCAAAGGGCCUUGCAAAAAUGUGUAUACUAGACAAAAUAGCAUACAAGAACGUGUAGAUUAUGAUAAAUUUGCACUAAAAUGCCAACUAAUUUACAUGAGGACUUUUAAAAACAAAAAUCACAAACUAAUGAGGGAAUGUGGAGAACUGAAGACUGAGAAAAAGAGAAAUGGGAGAAACUGAAAUUAAAAGGCACACCUAUCCCUAACUGAAGAUCAGUAGCAGAACAUCUGUCUUGCAUGCAAAAGGUUCCAGGUUCAGGCUUUGGUGUCUCCAGGUAGGAGUGGAAAAAGCUUCUGCCUGAAACCCUGGAGAGCUGCUUGAGUUAGCAUACCUGAGCCAGGGGGAUCGCUGGUCUGACUCAGCGUAAGGCAGCUUACUAGUUUCAGAACACAUUGCAUUCCUUACCACUCAAAAAAGCUCUGCUGCCUAACAUUGUGGCACAUGUAAAAGUGGCAGAAAAAUGUGCCUCCGUCACUCCCCCACACACAUAAUAGGUCCUCAAAUGACAAAUCAAAAUGGAAAAAAAAGAAAGAGAGAAAAAAGGAAAUGUGACUGUAAGUAUAUAGGAUCAAAGCAUGAGGAGGGCUAGGCAGGAAUACUCUUCCCAGAAGUUUUAUGUUUGUUUGUUUUUUAUUUUCAGGAAGCUUUUACAUAGAGGAAUAUUUUUUAAAAGGUAUGUUGUAUCUGUGGGAUAACCAGUCUCAUAUAGACUAUAAAAUCAUAGACUUGUAGAGUCACCACAAGGGUCAUCUAGUCCAACCCCCUGCAAUUGAUGAAUCUUCUGCUCAACAUGGGGCUAGAACCCAUGACUCCGAGGUUAAGAGCCUCAUGCUCUACUGACUGAGCUGCUUCAGUCUAAUUAAUGCAUGAAGGGGUUAAUACCAUAGAUUAAGUUGUCAUGUCAAGCUUAGCCUAGGUCAUUUCCCCUCACCUUUGGAAGAAGUGCGUAAUCAAGGCUAUUGGUCCCCGUCCCCUCGUCCCCCCGUCUACCUGAGAAGUUCAGUGUGUAAAGAGGCUUGAACUCCAUCUUAACUGUAUGGCUCUCACAACCCACUCUUGAGUUACUAUACUCAUAAUUUAGGAACUUUCGCCAAUUUUACAACCUGAAGCACAUAAAUCUGACCUUUGCAAGUAAGCAGUUUUUUAACUUACCAAACAGGUGGUCUUUUCCUAUGUUUGGAGAAGUGGAAAACUUUGAAAAGAAAUAUUUUAACAUUUUGGAACUCACUCAAAAGGGCAUAUUUAUUUUGGUCUAACAGCUUACGUUUUUGCUGCAUAUUUUGUGACUUUAAAUCUCUGCUGGGGUUCUCUCACCAAAGAGUACUUGCCCCAAACCUGAUCUUGGCACCCACAAAUUCUCCUUUCUCUCCCUUUCUUCCUGAACUAACACUACUCGCCUCUAGUUAUGGUACACCACAUUCUGCUACAUAUGAAGUCAAGGCCUAAUAGAAAGCAAAGGCCACACCCUGCAUUAAAUAAUUAAGACCCAGUAUCCAACCUUUUGUAAGGCUCUUCCUUUUCCUCUUGACUUACCAAGGUUGGCUUUGCAAGGUUAUAGAAGGAAAAGAAAAUGCUUGAAAAAAUAUGUGUUAAUAUUAGGUACAUAUUCAGUCCACACCAGUUACUUUUUCACAUAGAAAAACUGUCGCUGGAUCUGUUAAAUAGGUGAUGUUCCUGCCCUCAAGGUCUUCUUUUCCACCAAGACCUCCAGUCCCAUCUCCUCCCCCUGAUGUUAACAGGGAUUCUCAGAUAACACCUGCUAAGAUAGAAGCAGAGGCAGUUUGAGGGUAGCACGACCGUUUCAGGGGGCACUGCAACGGUGCUGUAGAACAGAGUACAAGAGGUGGAGGCACACAGGGCACCGCUGAAAUUUAAGAACCCAAAGUUUGCCACUGAUGGGAGACUGAAGCCUGUAGAUACACAGAAGACUUCACAUUUAUCUUGCUAUUAUGCUUAGUUGCUAGAAGCCAAUAAAGCAGACUAUUGCUACAAAAGUAGUUGCCAAGCAUAUCAAUCAAGCAGAAAAUGAAAACCAGUCAAUGUUUCCUCCCUAAACACUUGUGUACAUGUCAGAGUCAUGGAACACUGAGAGAAUAUGAACCCAUUUAAAAUAACACAAAUGGAACUGCUAAUCAGUAAAUUCACGUUAAUUGAAAAACUACAGUCACCUGAGAACCAAUUUACAAAACCUGUUGUACUGUCAAAUCCUGUGAUAAGAUAUAGGGUAGCAUGCACCAGGCCGAGCACUGUUCAGCAAACAGCUUCUGACUCACAAAAUAAGCAAGCAUAUUAUCAACUAAUUUGAAGUUGAAAUACUACCACCUAGACCUGUUAUUGGAAUAAAGUGAUUGAGAGUCAUCCAUUUAAAACUAAUAGGCAAACAGAUCCUAGCUCUCCUAAUUUGUUAAGGCUGAGAACACUGUUUCCUUGCAUUAUUCUUGCUCAGUGCGUAACAAAAAAUAAACACAGUAUUUUCCACAAGUUGAUGUAAAACAAUAUUUUUGCAUGCCUGGUUACUCUGAUAAAGCCCAACCACUGUCACUACCCAUUCACCGGAAUUUUUAUUUCUGAGGAAAAAAUAGUUUUUCUCAUGCUAUAAUCUUUAUUGAAAUGAGCACUGUGCUUUUAAAAAUAGUAAUAGAGCUUUCUCCAUAACAUUCAUUAGCAAAGCCCUGCAAGAUUCAUGACAUUUUGCAAGGAAGUUAACAGCAGCAGUACUGUUACAGGAUCAGCAUUCAGGGACCCUCAGCAGGGUAGAAUAAGCUUAUGCAUCUUCCACUUUCCCAGCAGGAAGCCAUGGCUACAACGAUGGGGCCAAAUUCCAAAUACCAGUGCUAACAAUCACAGUAUAAAACUUAAAAUGAAAUCUUCCUCCCAAAAAUGUUCAAGAAAAAAUGGUGCCAGACAUAUUUCAUUGCAAUUUUAUUUUAUUGCACUUAGCACCAAUUUCAGGUAAUUUUAGUCAAACUUUACAGAUGCAUUUGUCAAUGUGGUUUCCAGACCAUAUAUUUCUUCCUCCACAAGGCUGCUCUGUGUGUGUGAUUUUAGAGUGACCAAACCACGCCCGUGAGUCAUUUUUGCUACACUAAUUGUUUAGAAGUUUCUUUGGCUGGUACAGUCAACACCACUAAAAUUGAUCUUACCACUCUCAUAGAAAGUCGUCUACCUACGAGCACAGAUUAUGGGUAAAGAUAACAGGUAAAUAUUAUAGGUAAUCUUAGAGGAGGGAAGUGAGUGGCGCUGUGGUCUAAACCACUGGGCUUCUUGGGCUUGCUGAUCAGAAGAUCAGCAGUUCAAAUUUGCGUGACAGCGAGAGCUCCCGUUGCUCUGUCCCAGCUUCUGCCAACCUAGCAGUUUGAAAGCAUACCAGUGCACGUAGAUAAAUAGGUACCACUGGAGCAGGAAGGUAAACAGCAUUUCCGUGCGCUCUGGCACUCAUCAUGGUGUUCUGUUGUGCCAAAAGCAUUUUAGUCAUGCUGGCCACAGGACCCAGAAAGCUGUCUGCGGACAAACGCUGGCUCCUUUGGCCUGAACUGAGAUGAGCGCCGCACCCCAUAGUCAUCUUUGACUGAACUUAUCUGUCCAGGGAUCAUUUACCUUUACCAUUUACCUUACAUAUUAUAGACUACAUAUCAAGUAUAAUUCUGCAUUGGUUACUGGUAGACUUCCAGGCGCAAUUCAAAGUACUAGCUUUAAAAAGUAUAUCAUAAUGACACAUACUUUGCUAGCUAAGAACAUAACAGAAGCACUAUUAGAUCAGACCAAUGGCCCAUCUGGUCCAGCAUUAUGAUCUCACAUUUGCAACCAGAUACCUAUGGGAAGCCUGCAAGCAUAACAGGCGUGCACUCUCCUAAUUUGUACACCUUAGCAAAUGAUAUUGAGCAGCAUACCACCUCUGCUACUGGAGAUAGUUAUUUUCGUUCCCGCGGCCCUAAAACUAUAUAAGGCUAAAAUGUUGGCACAGCUCCUUUAUGGAUCCUUGUUGGGCCCGCUACCCUCUUCCUUCACUCCCCUUGAGAGAGUUCAAUCCAAACUCCUCAGAGCCCUCCUACAAGUCCCCAGAUGUGUUUCAAAUGCAUGGGUCAGAUUAGAAACAUGGAUGAUGAGAGUAGAGGCUUAUAUUAGUUUAACAUCAAUCUAUAAAUGGCUGGCGCUGAAACUGCUCCCCCGAGGAAUAACCCCACUGAUUCUAUGCGACCGGUUCAAGUCUGGCUGGCAGACAGCAGUUCUGAAUACUCUCCAGAAAUUGGGCUUUGCUCCUCAAGCCCUUCUAAACUUGGGCCUGGGCCAAGCAAGAUCUGUGGUCAGGCAAAGAAUCAUGGACACAGAGAGACAGCAGGACUGCUUGAGGUCCCCCGAUUAUAUAAUUAUAGAAAAUGAGAGAUAUGUUGUGGCCCCGUAUCAAGACACAUAAGAAGGGCCUUUACUCUAGCCAGAAGCUCGGCCUUGCCCUCACCGGUUCUGGAAGGAGCAUUUGGAAAAGUCCUGUAUUCUCAGAGACUUUGCGCAUGCCCAUUAGGGGAAAUAGGAGGCCCCGAACAUUUAUUUUUCAGCUGUCCCUUUUAUGACGAGGUACGCAGAGAUACCAUUGACCCCCAGCUGGUGAGGCUUGCAGGCCUUCCGGAUAAGUCUAAACUCAAUUUUCUUCUCUUAGGCAAAGACCAAAAGACGGCCUGGAUGGUCGCCAAAUUCUGCGCACAGAUUUGCAGGCGCAGACCACCCCCCAAAACAAAUUAGUUUGUUAGGAAAACAGUCGAAGUCGGCCUCCAGGGUAUCAGGGCCAAUUUGUAGCCCAAAUUUUUAGGUCCUUAUGUGUAUAUGCACUCAUCUUAGAUUUUAAUCUGUAAGCUGUUGUUGUACACUGUUUUACAUGUAUAUUUUAUUCUUGUGAAAGCUGUCCCAGUUGUGCUUUUCAAGCUGGUCUCUGACCGUAAUGAAUUAUUAUGGACUUACUGGAGAUAGUUACCAGCCAUCAUGGCUAACAGCCUCACUUUUGACCUUCAGGCAUCUUUUGAAGAACUUUUUAUGCUGACAGGACUCUGCAACAUUUUAAAUUGAUUAGCCUUGAUGGAUAGGUGUGUUAUUUUAGUGUUUUACAUUUUAUUGUUGCAUAGCACCCUAGAAAUACUUUUAAAAAUAAAUAAAUAAGCUUAUUAUCCAUAAAUUUAGCUAAUUCCUUUUAAAAGCCAACCUUGUUGGCUAUUACUACAUUUUUUGAUGUAGUGGUAUGGUAGUGAAUGCCAAGGUUUCCAUACACUGUGUGAAGAACUAUUUCAUUUUGUCUGUCCUGUAUUUUCACACAUACAGCUUCAUUGGAUGAUCCUGCCUUCUACUAUGAGAAAAGGAUAAAUACCUCUCUCUCUCUCUCUCUCUCUCUCUCUCUCUCUCUCUCUAAUUUCUCAGCAUCCUGCAUAAAUUUAUACACCUAUAAUGCCCCUGCUCAUCUUUUUUUUUCUAAACCAGAAAGCACCAAACCUUUCCUCAUUAUCAUUUUUGUUGUCGUUUUCUAAACCUUUUCUAGAUUUACAGCCAGCAAAACAGUACACAGUAUUCCAACUACAGUCACACAUUAUUUGCAUAAUGGCAUUAUGAUAUGGGCAGUUUUAUUUUCAGACUCUUUCCUACUGAUCCCCAACAUGGAAUUCAGCAGUCACACUGUCAACAUUUUCAUUAAGCAUCUGUCAUGACCCCAAUAUCUCUUUUCUGGUCAUUCACCACCAGUUCAGAUCCUAUAAGUGUAUAUGCAGUGCUAGGAUUUAUUUUAUUUUAUUUUAUUUUAUUUUAUUUUAUUUUAUUUUAUUUUACCUAUUGUGCAUUACUUUACUCUUGCUUACGCUGGAUUCCACUUCUCAUUUUAAUGCCCAUUCACUCACAGUCCUUUUCUUGCCCUUUCUUGGUCUUACCACCCUGAAGAAUUUGGUUUCAUCAGCAAACUCAGCCACCUCACUGCUCACCCAGAAUUCCACAUCAUUUAUGAACCAAUUAAAAAACUCAGGUCCCAAUACUGAUCCUUGGAAGGAUCUCCUUCUUCAUCCUACCUCUGCAACAACUGAUCUUUCAUUCCCACUUUCUGUUUUGUUUUUUAACCAGUUACAGAUUCAUGAGAUUCCCCAUCCUCUUAUUCCAUGACUAGCUAUAGUUAUUCAGGUGUCUUUGGGAAGAGGCUUUAUGGAAAGCUUUCUGAAAGUCUAAGUACAAUGUCUACUGAAUCACCCUUGUCCAUAUGCUAAUUAACACUCUCAAAUAACUCCAAAUUAAAAUGUUAGUGAAAGAGGACUGACCCUUGCAGAAGCCAUGCUGGUUCUUCUUCAGUAACACUUCUAUAUGCUUAGUAAUUCUAUCUAUAAUAAUGCUUUCCACCAGUUUCUUUAGGACACAUGUUAAGCUACAUGGCCUGUAGUUUCCUAGCUCUUCAUGGGAUCCCUUAAAAAAAAACAACUGGUGUUACAUUGAGCACAUUCUAGUCCUUAAGUUUGAAGGUGGAUCUUAAAGACAAGUUACAGGUUUGUUUGUUUUUUAGUUUAUCAAUAAGGCAAUUGCCACUACUUGCCCCAGUUUCUCAGACUAUCUUCCUGAGAAGUUAGUUCAGGCACAGGGAUCUGCAAUACAUCUUCUGUACUAAAGACAGAGGCAAACAAUUCAUUCAGGUUCUCUGCAAUCUCCUCACUUUCUUGGGGGGGGGGCGAGAUCUUAACGUGACAUCGUGCUAGAUCAUGACACCCAAAAUGGCUGCUAUGCUCUCAUGGGGGGAAAACAGAAGGUUCAGGUUUUUCUGGGACACUUGCAAGGUAUGAAAUCUCCUCCUUUCUGGAGAAAUUUCCUCUUUUGAAGUCAAAUGCAACUAUGCUGAAUUUUUUUCUGGCAAUUUCAUGGUAACUCUUAUAAAAAAUCAGAGUCUCACAAUAUUUGUCAUUUUUACCAAUUUAAUUUUUGAAAGAAAUACAAGAAAAUGUGACUUUAAAAUUCUGCAUAUGUUUGGUCUAAACCCCAAAACAAAAAACUCCAAGAAAAAUGAGCAUCUGAAUAUUUCCUCCAGCCAAACUAUAGGUGUUAAUGACAUUUAGGAAUCAAUGCUAACACCAAAUAAAGUUGCUUUUACUUCUACUGGACCUUAAGGUAAGGGGAAAAGACUACUUUUUCUUGAUAAUACUAUUUCUAGCUUAUCUAGUCCAUUUCAUUAAAUCUUGCUGGCCUUUUCAACCUCUUCAAAAUUCCUUCCCCCCCACCCCCCCACUCCAUUUCAAACAACAAAAAGGAGUUGGAAGCUGGCUAAAUUAACCCCUUUGCGAUGAGAAUUGUAUUGAUUGUUAUUGUUUGGUGUGCACAGCUGUCUGUGCCAAAAGGUCAAAUGUGUGCAUGUCGAAGGAAGGGGGGGAAGGGGUGACAGCAGUUUUCUGGCAAAAAUACCCUCACCAUGCAUACAAUUGAUACACCUCAGUACCUUUCAGGGCAAUAGUGAGCAGCUCCUUCCAGCGUGAUUGCUUAUUUACAAUGCUAAUGAUAUGAUGAAACUUUCUUACCAGAUGAAUCUCACACCCCUUUCAAUUUCAUGAAUUAAAAAUGAAUUAUCCUCUGCUAAUAUUAUAUCAAGCCUUGAUGCCAGUGGUGUUAUGAGGAACUGGACAAAACAUUUAAUUGGCAGAAGGAGAAGGGCUUACUCAAAGUUACCUGAAAACAAACAGGAAACACAAAUAGCACCUAAAAGUAAAAGCUCAAGAUAGGAGAACUGGUGAUAUUAGUUCCUACAUAAUAUCCAACACACUGAAGGAACUGAAGUGAGAUUAGCCAGGCUUAGAAGAUUCAUAACUGGUGUAUUCAGUUCGACCAAUUAGUAGGUGGUAUAACAGAAUUUGAUAUGGGACACAGGUGGCACUGUGGUCUAAACCACCAAGCCUCUUGGGCUUGCUGAUCAGAAGGUCAGCGGUUUGAAUCUCCAUGACGGGGUGAGCUCCAGUUGCUCUGUCCCAGCUUCUGCCAACCUAGCAGUUCGAAAGCACUCCAGUGCAAGUAGAUAAAUAGGUACUGCUACGGCGGGAAGAUAAAUGGCAUUUUCAUGUGCUCUGGCUUCUGUCAUGGUGUUCCGUUGUGCCAGAAGCAAUUUAGUCAUGCUGGCCACAUGACCCAGAAAGCUGUCUGUGCACAAACGCCGGUUCCCUUGGCCUGAAGUGAGAUGAGCGCUACACCCCAUAGUCGCCUUUGACUGGACUUAACCGUCCAGGGAUCUUUUACUUUUUUAUUCAGUUCUACCAAUUAAUAGGUGGUGUAAUAUAAUUUGAUAACUGAACUAUAAUUCAUUUAGCUACCAAGUUUGUAAUUCCAGAAACAGUACUGAAUAUUUAAAUCUAAAAAUCAGUCAAAAUUAUUGCCUUCUGGGCAUGCCAUUUGAUGGAGAGGAAAAGAAUGACAGAAGAUGACUGGCCGAUAGAGAAAAACAAAGUACUCAUGAUGAGGAACAGGGUGUGCUGCUAUAGCCCAUAAUAAGAAAAUAGGAAGGUCAUGACAUUCCAGGAAAGGAUUUGCAGGACAUAAGAGGCUUGAGGGGUCUUAGGAGGAAUUUGACGAAUAUAUGGAAAAUGCAUUGUAAAUUACUUCUUUUGUUGAGCUUUCGGUUCAGGAAGGAAUUAGGAAGGGAGGGGGGAGGAAUUAUUAAGGGAGUAAUUAUUAGCAUUGCAUAUGCUUUUGGGUUUCCUUCCUCACAAACUGCUGCUACAGAAGACAAGAUUUCAAGUGGCAUGUGGUAGUACCCAGCAGAUGUUCAUGGGAAACAACUCUGGCUCAACAUUGUAGAUGGCUUGCUCAAAGUUUUUUUUUUCCCUAGGAAGGGCAUAGAAUCAAAUAAUUGUAGAACUGGAAGGGAUCCCAAGGGUCAUCUAGUUCAACCCCUGCAAUGCAGGAAUCACAGCUAAAGAAUCUCUGACAGAUGGCCACCCAACCUUUCCUUUAAAACCUCCUGUGGAGUUCAUCACCUUCCAAGGUCCUCCAUUCUUUUUCCCCUGCAGGGUCCAUUUACAAGACACUAUAGCGCCAAAUACCCAAGGGACCAAGAAUGAAACCUUGCCAUGAGAACUUUCUUUGCUCUUACACAGGAUGUGCUUUGAAUGGCUCCAAGUAAAAAGAUAGUCUUUAAACGAUUCUCCAUUCUUUGUUCUGGAAGGACUAACAUUGCUACAAACAGAAUAAUUCUACAAGACUUCAAAUAUAAACAGUUUUAACCAAUAUACUACUAUGUCAAUCAAUGUUAUACUAAAGCUGGUAGAUCCUUGUAUUUUUAAAGAAAUACGGAAAGGGGAAAAGCCCCCUCAAUAGUAAUCACUUGGAAAAGGAAAUAACAUUACUGUCAUGUAGAGCCAAUAAAAUGACAUCUAAUCCUUUUGGGAAAUCCAAACAGCAAUGAAGUGAAAGUGAGUGCAGAUUAACACAUCGUAAAUCCAUUUACAGCCAGGCAUUGUUUACACAGUGAUUUGCCAGUGCCUGCUAGCCUUCGAUCAAUCUUUAAUUGAAACUGGCUUUCUUACCCAGGUCCCAUCCAAAAGGUUAUCUUUCCUUCUCUCAAGUAGAUAUUAACUGAUUACAUCCCAAAUACAUGGUUAAGUCAAGUGCACAUGUCAAAACCAAGAUGGUACAGAUAAAACUGGGCUGUGGUGGGCGGGCGUUUGAACAUAUUCUCAUUUAUUUCAAGGAGGGGUGCCUUCCACAAGAGACAUUCCCAGUAAACUGCACCCAUAGUAAAUUAAAAACAAAUAUUAAAAUUCUAUCAUAUGCUAUGCUAUAAAACCCAUUGCCUUGUAGUUGUGCUGGGAUUCCUAGCAUUUGAUCCUCAGCACCUCCCUGUGCUCUUUUCCAAACCCAUGUUAGGGUAUUGUGAAGAGUAGAUGAGUAUGCCACACCAGGGAGAUGCUAGGUGUUCAUUGUGACAGACCGAAACCUUAUUUGAGUGUCUAUAGAUGGUUCUAUUACAUCAACAAAAAGCUGUGCUCACUAUCUGCUUUUCCUGGUGCUCAGGAGAGUAGCUGGGUCAGCAGAUUAAAGUCUGAUGAAGUGAGCAAGCAGUGUGCUUCCUCACAAUGGGACAUCUACUGGCACUUGCACAUUCCAGCAUCUCAUGUGCAAGCUUCUAUAGGCAUGAAUGAAUGGAAGAUGUGCAAGGGAUUGUCAAGGAAAUAGGAACACCUACAAAUAUCCCUGCUGAAGUCAGUAGGUACUGAAUAAAUGCAAGGUGCACAAGAGCCCAUCAAUGCUCCUACACAUGCCCAGCUCAUUGAAAUGAGUUCUCAGUGGAUUGCGCCUUGGAAAACUGAAACUAGGAAUGGCCUUCUCUAACAGAAUGUUGCAUGUAUAUCGCUUUACACAAAUUUUAUGAAGCUGAAAAGCAGAGGUGAGCAAAUACUAUCUUGUGUAUUCUUUUAAAAGCUAUUUAUUGGAGUUGUCUUCCCCCUUACUGAUCAUUUGUAAUUAUACAAACUGCACUCACAUGGAGGCCAACAGCCAGCAAAAACACAUUGCCAUUUUAACGCCUUUAGAUGAUCAAAGCAUUAGCUUAAUAUAAUCAGCUCAAAUCCAUUUACCAGUGAGCCUACCACUGUGCCAAGGGACUGUUUUCCUUUCCAGCCCUAUCUAUUCAGGAACAGGUGCUAUAAUAGUAAAUUAAUUAGUCUGUGGAGGAGCACCUUGUUCUCCAUCUCUGCAGGCCUCGCUUGGGUCAAGGCCUUGAGGAAAAUGCCAUCUGGGCAGAGUUUCCCCCAGAGAAACAAUCAAAGCUUACAGAUUGCAAACUACAGAGGGAGGGUUCAUAUGACAAUUAACCUUAUUAGUCCUAAAAAAACACACCAACCCAACAGUUUAUAAUGUGUCAACAUGUUGGCUCAAAUAAACGAUCUGCUAUGCAAAAAUAAUCAACCAUUCAAAGAAAUUUUGUUUUAUUUCCUUCUGUCAUGCAAAAUAUACAAAAUCUUUUCAAGGGGAAAAAUACUCACAAAUGUUUAUGCAGUGACAAUAAGACUUGCAGGUAAUCAGGCUAUAAUUGUAAUUUAUGUGAAUAAAAUGAUACAACACAUAGCAGUUUCAAAAUACCAGUUCUAAAAAUAAAUUGUAAUGUGCCAUGUUUUACAUUGGCAAGAAGGACUAUAAUCUGUUCCUUCCUUCUCAGGUUUUGCAACUCCUCAUCAAAAUACUUAUAAACAUGUGGUAUCUAUCCAACCUAAAGAGGCUUUAUACAGGAGAAAUUAAUCUGACCUUGAUCAUGUUCUCUACCAUUGUUGUUGUUGAUAUACAGUGGAACCUCUGGUCAUGUACCGUCCUCCUUGCAAAUGCUUCGGGUAACGAGUUCCCCUAACCCGGAAGUAGAUGCUCCUGGUAGCGAACUUUGCCCCGGGAUGCGAGCGGAGGCCCCAUUAGCAAAAGUGCACCUCAGGUUAUGAACUGUUUCGGGUUAAGAACUGACCUCCGGAACUAAUUAAGUUUGUAACUGGAGGUACCACUGUGUCAGGAGGUUCUGUACCCACCUCACAGGGGAAUUCAGACUGAAACCAAUAAAGGAAUUCCUUAUAGGACCUACAUGGUCCAAUAUUAUGGACUAUUUAGCAGCCAGCCAGAUACCUCUGGAAGCUCACAAGGUCAUCAUGAAGCUGGCCAUCCCCUGUUCUUUGUCCCCAUCACAUGCUAAUCAGAAAUACACUACCUCUGAAUAUAAAGGUUUAAUUUGACAAACGUGCCUUUUAUUAAUUUCUAUAGUCCUUGAUUUAAGCUCUCCCCACCAGGAGUCAUCACCAUAAAAUCAUACAACUGUAGAGUUGGAAAGGACCACAAGGGUCAUCUAGUCCAACCCCCUGCAACGCAGGGAGCUUUUCGCCCAACGUGAGGCUUGAAUUCAUGACUCUGAGGAGUCUCAUGCUCUACUGACAGCUAUCCUGCAGACUCAUAUAGUAGUAAAUUCUAUAAGAGAGUUAAAUUUUACCUACCCACCCACAAAUAUUUAGAUGGGUUAGGAUGGUGCAUAAUGUCCUCUCCACCAGCAGAGGAGAACUGCUGUUGAUGGUGGUAGCUCCCCAACUUCACCCAAAUAGAUGAUCUGUUGGCAGGUCAGAGAGAGAACGCGGUGGGACUGCAAGGUCAGAUUCAACCUCACCGCACCCCCUGCAUCCACCCAUCCACUCUCCCUUCACUCAGCCAUGAGGAUGCAAAGUUAUUCCCUUUAUCCGGUUCCUGCAUAUGAUGCAAUUUGAAAUCAACUAAGUAUCCAGCCUCCACGUGGCCUGGAGCCCCUCCAGGACUCCUGAGAGACUUUGCAUCCCCUUUUGGGUAUCGACACUGCUGGCAGUAGGCAGGGGGAAACCCAAAUGCAGUGUUUGGAGGCAGGGCACCCAUGGAUACCCUGAGCAGCAUGGUCUUUAGGCUCUUCAGCUACAUUAGCGUGAAGCUGCCAAAAUGACAAAUUAAUGAAAACCACCACUACCACCUUCUGUCCAAGCCAGUACCAUCCAGGUUUGGAUUGCCCUGUGAAUUACACAUGCAAAGAGAAAGAGAGUGGUUGAAAGAGAGAAACUGCAUAUGCUAAUAUGUACAUAGAGAUGCAAAUAACUGCUAUAAUUUAAAUACAAUACAAUACAUCUCAGCAUCAUGGAGAAGGUUGUAGUAGUCAGGAUAUGUGUGUGUCUGCUUAGUCUGCUGUUCAGGUGCUAACUACUGAUAGGCAACUUCAGGUCCCAGAUCUCCUUUCUUAUUAUUCUAUUUUUCAAUCAGGCCUGGACUGAACAACCCUUCAAAUUUAGGAUGCUCUUCAAAGUCAGUGGGUUGGACUAGGAACUAGGAGACCAGGUUUCAAAUCCUCAGUCAUGAUGCUCACUGAGUGACCCUGGGCCAGUCACUGUCACACAACUGAACAAAGAGUAGUUGUGAGAAUAAAAUGGGAGAAUUACCUUAAACUCCUUAGAGGAAAGAUGGAAUAUGUAUUAGGACUGGGUGUGAUAUAUUGUCCAAAACAAGUUUAAAGUCCAUAUCGUGAUAUUGGUUUCAUAAUUUUUGACCUGGCAAUAUAUUGCAAAUCAUGGGUGGGUGGGUGGGUGUGAUGCAAAAAUCAGUGUGUGAAAACCCGUGAAGCCAGCUAAUACCUCUACACAGCUCCAUCCUUAUUUCAGACAUUGUGAUAUAUCAGUACAGUGGUACCUCGGGUUAAGAACUUAAUUCGUUCUGAAGGUCUGUUCUUAACCUGAAACUGUUCUUAAUCUGAAGCACCACUUUAGCUAAUGGGGCCUCCUGCUGCCGCUGCUGCACGAUUUCUGUUCUCAUCCUGAAGCAAAGUUCUUAAUCCGAGGUACCAUUUCUGGGUUAGCGGAGUCUGCAACCUGAAGUGUAUGUAACCUGAAGCAUAUGUAACCCGAGGUACCACUGUAUAUUGCAAUGCUUUGCUGGUGAUAUAUCACAAUGUUGAAAACCAGAUAUUGCCCAGUCCUAAUAUGUAUGUAAAAAAUAAUAUUUAGAAGGCUGUCCUUGGACAGCCCUUCAAUUAAAGAACUGCGCUCUAUAAAGUAGGACACAUGGCCACCCUACAUAAUUACAUCUUUUUCCCUUUUCUUCCCUGCCUACUCAUACACUAUUCCCUGAUGAGAAAGGUUUAAGAUUAAAAUAAACUUAUAUUAUUGUGAGGUUUUAUGCCAAAGACAGAAAGAGGAAUGCCAGGCUUGGCACCUUGCUAAAACAAUGAAGGGGGAAAGCCCAAUUACAACAGAUGACUUAAAGGAAGAACAAGAAAACACACAUUUCCGAGGUUUUAAAAUUUUUCUCUGCUUCCAACAGAAAAGUAAAGCACCCUGCAGACCACAUUGGCCUAAAAUAAAAAGAAAAAACUAAGUCUGGCUUUCAAACCUUGGGAAAUGCCCCCUCAUUGUCUGUUUCUAAAUCCUAUGAAGAAUCCUUAUACUCUUCACUGGUGACUCUGAUGUCCUUAUUAAGUUAAUAAUGUGUUUAGAUGCUUUGUCUUCCUAAACACUGCUUCCACUGACUUACAUUUGGGUAUAAAGUAUUUGCAAACUAUAACUGUAUGACAUUGAAGUCCAAUAAGCUAUCUCUAUGCAGCAGCCUGUUUGAUUAUGCAUUAAGGUAGUCCCUGUUGGCUAGAUGUGAGCUGGGUAAGGGAUUCUUUGCCUAAGUACCAAGAGCCUCAGUAAGAUAUAAUAUAUCUGCAAAAGUAUUAUAACGUUCAGAAGGCCAAAUUAUGCCUAAUGAUGCGGGUCUUGAGUGUGAACUUCCUACUGAAUUUAAAGAGAGUUGAAGGCGCAAAUGCUAUCUUAUAUGUAUAUGCAUUUCUAAUAUCUUGAGAGUGCAGGUAUUCAGUUGAGAUUUUCAUUAAAACUGAAUGUGGUAGUGAAAACUUAUCAAGGGUAAUGUUAUAAUCAAGUGGUUCCCCAGGGGUUUGUGAUUUUGUUCCUGGCAUUCUCUUUUCCUAAGAGUCUCUCCUUCUCUGCCUGAUAUGAUGAUUAAUUUUUUUUUUUAAAAAAUCUACUCCUUUGCUGUCAUGACAGUUUUGGACAACUCCUGUGGCAAAUAGUAACCAAUGAGAGAUAUAAAACACACAAGAAAUACAAGCAGCAUCUAUCAGUCUGGGAAUAUGCACGUUUCUGAGUUACCCCAACCUCUGAAUCAGGCAGAAUGGAAAAGCUACUCAUUCUAUGCUUUGGAUGGGAGGUGACAGAUACAUAGCUGCUUAAUUGCAAACAUUGUAUUUUUAUUACAAAAAACGAAGUUUAAAGAAUGUUUCAAGGCUAAUCCACAUUAUCUCUUUGAGGUUCCAUGUAACUUGGAAGUCACUUAUAUGAGCUGGCUCAAUCAAUUUGUCUCCUUGUGUUUUACAUCUGGUGGGAUCAACAGAGCAAAGCCCAUCUAUGCUUGGAAUACAAAGAGUGUGAGCUUCUGCUCGUGUAGCGAAGUUCUUUUCUAAUAUCAGCUCCCUCUGCUACCUAAUAAAAUACUACCAAAAAAGAAAAAGAAAUCUUUACAAGAAGUAGCUUUCAAUAUACUACAAGGACAUGAAACUAAGUAGAAAACUCUGUAUACUGAAGUACUUGGACAGACCUGUGUAUGUGUUUUGGCCUAAACCAAUAGUCAAGGAGUCCAUGCAAAGUCUCUUGGGAUUGAAGUUAUUUAUUUUGCUGUCGUUUACUUCUCUCUUUUAACUUCAUUCUGCUGUCUCUUCACUAUUCCCUUCCUUUAUUAGCACCAUUCACUAUAUGUUGUGUGUGCUUUGGUGGCAGCUAAUGUGGGCUGGAAAUCAUGACAAGUGACGUGAGAACAUUUAAAUAUUUUCCAUAUAUAAAUGUAAUUUAGCUGCUGGAAUCACUUCUUCUAUAUGUGAUGGGGCUAAAGGGGUGAACAGAGGAGGUUAACAGAUGCAUCCACAAGAGAAGAGACACACUAAAGGAACUCAGUGAAGCAGCCAUGAAAUAAUAAGCUCAGCAUUGCAGCUGAAAGUGGAAAAAAUGAGCUUUAAGCAGUGCAAUCCAGUGAAGCAACUGGAACAGAUAGGAUGCUACAAUAAAGCUUAAAUCAAUCUAUGGCCAUCAUGGGCUUUGUUGUUGUUUGUUUUAAAGUAUAUCAACAUAUAGUAUUGAUUGUAAUAUAUUGUACUAUACAGGACUGUCAUCCCUUUAGAAUCAUAGAGUUGCUCAUUUAUAUUUACUAUAAAUAUUUAUAUCACACCUUUCAAUGAAUCAUAAAACACCAAAAAGGAGUGUGUGUGUGUGUGUGUGUGCGCGCGUGCGUGCCUGCUUGGCUAUCUAUCUAGCUAGCUAGCUAGCAAGACCUGAGUGCCAGAGACAUAGCUAGGGUCCCUUGCACCCUUGGCAAGGAGCUAUAUUGGUGCCCCCCUCCGGGAGGGGGGAACACUUUUCCCCAAUAGUCAUACUAGAAAUUACUACAUUUUAUGUGACUCAUAGGGACGCAGGUGGCGUUGUGAGUUAAACCACAGAGCCUAGGACUUGUCAAUCAGAAGGUUGGCGGUUUGAAUCCCUACAACGGGGUGAGCUCCUGUUGCUCGGUCCCUGCUCCUGCCAACCUAGCAGUUCGAAAGCACAAAGUGCAAGUAGAUAAAUAGGUACUGCUCCAACGGGAAGGUAAACGGUGUUUCCGUCCGCUGCUCUGGUUUGCCAGAAGCGGCUUAGUCAUGCUGGCCACAUGACCCGGAAGCUGUCUGCGGACAAACGCCAGCUCCCUCGGCCAAUAAAGCGAGAUGAGCGCUGCAACCCCAGAGUCGGUCACGGCUGGACCUAAUGGUCAGGGGCCCCUUUACCAUAUGUGACUCAUGUACUUAAAAGUGUCUGGAAUGAGGGCAAGGCAAGGAGGAAGGAUGAAAAAUUUCACACACCUUUGUGCCAUGGUGUAAGUAGGAUGGGAAGCGUCUUCCAUAUUUGAUCUCAUGGUGACAGUGGUAGCACAUUGCCACACAUAUAUUUGUCAUACACUCAGUGUUUUUCUUCUAGAAAAAAAGGUACCGGCACUGCAUACCCUUGAGUACCCCUGUUGCUAAGAUGUUUGCAUCAGCUCUGAUAAGUCACUUGCUCAUUAUAAUGGCACAUAGCACAAAUAAUCAAUGGCUUCAUCUCCUCUCAGCAUUCUUAGGAAAAUAUGCUAGACGUCAGUUAUAAUCCACUUUCUUGAAAAUGUAUUUCAAAUAUUUGGGACCACUUCCAUGUAAGUGUUUAAGUUUAGGCUGUUAGUUUUUGUUGUUGCAUGUGGGGGAUUCAUAGAUACAGAUAUAGAUACAGUCAAGAAUAUGGCACUGAAGGCUAUAAAACCAAUUUUUCUUAAGGUCCAAAAAGGACUUCAGCUAGUGACAGGCAGUAGGAACAUUAUAGUGCCUCACUCUUUCAUUUCAUAAAUCAGUUUAUCUUAUUGCACACAUAUUUAGCAUUUUGCCUACGGAGCAUUAGAGUAGUCGGUAAUAAGAUAAAGGGAUGCUGGCACAGGCCUUGGCAAGAACUCCUGUCACCAGGCCUCUUGGGCCCUGAGAUCAGCAUUCUUAAAAUAUUAGGAUUUGAUAGAGUUAACACUAGUUCCCUUGAGCAGAUGGGUGAGAAGACUCUGUCAACAGUGCCUGUGAUUACUGGAAACAGAUCCUUGUUACAAUGAUAGCCCCUCUGGGACGCUAGUGAAGUGCUUGCUAACCUUGCCAUCUCAGAGGUGUAACAUAUGCUGUUUCUAGGACCUUUUUCUGGCUGACUGAUGCUUCUGAAACAGAACCAUAAAUAUUGAGAUAUUAGGAUCUCCAUAAUCCACAGUCAUUAAAAAUAGAUGGAAAUAGAGUUUAAUCCUUGUUCUUCACUCGGACCUUUCAUUUUAAGCAGCUCACUGUGGCUCCUUUAAUACAAGGUGCUUAAGUCUGCAGAUAUGGCUACGCAUAUUUCAUCUCUGUUGUCACUCUUACAUGCCGAUCCUAUGAACCACUAUGCUAGCAAAUAAGUUCAAAGUAUCAGGCAUGACACUAUUACAAGUAUGAUUUGUGGGGUUUUGUCAUCUCACUAACUCAGAAAGUUGAACUAGUGCUGGUAUAGACAGGAAGAUAAGGACAUAAGAUGAUUCUGCUGGAACAGAUCAAUGGCCCAUCUAGUCCAGCAUCCUGUUCUCAAGUAGCCAAUCAGAUGCCUGUGGAAAAUGUGUAAGGAAGACUGAACACAAGAGCACUCUCCCCUCCUGUGGUUUUCAGAAGCAUUACUACCGCCAGCUGUUAAGGCAGAGUAUAGCCAUCACGACUGGCAGCCAUUGAUAGGCUUAUCCUUUAUUCAUUUGCCUAACCCUCUCUUAAAGCCUCUAUUACUGCCCCACACAACAACAAUCUCUCUGGCACAGGGACAUGGCCCUCCAGAUGUUGCUGAACUGCAACUCCCAUCAGCUCCAGCCAGCAAGCUCAAUGGUCAGAUGUGAUGGGAGCUGUAAACCAGCAUCAUUUGAAGGCCUGGAGGUUUCCUACAUCUGCUCUAGCCUAACGCAGUACAAUGCUAAUCUACAUCAGACUUUGGUCCAACUCAUCUUUUACUAGAGUGGGAUGGCAGUUGCUUCUGUGUGGCGUGGUCCCAUUUAACUCCUGCAGUGUCUGUAGAAAGUAUUCAUUUGAUUCUGACAAACUACAUUUCCUCUUUAUAGGAAAUGAUACUUAUGUAAUGGAGUGUGUGAAAAGAAAAGCAGUGGAAGGUAAGAAGGCUGUGGCAGGGGGUUGGGGAAAUAAGAGAUAGAAGCCAAAGAAGAGACUGUUGAAGUGGAUAGGAAGGCGUACUUGGAUGUGAAGGGAUCAGGGUUCAACUCCUGGUAGCCUUGGGCACCUAGCUUUCUCCCCCAAGCUGAUUUAAGUGUUCCAAAAGUGUGAGUGUGGUACAUUUCUCAAAAUAUAUGCAAGAAAUUCCAUCAUCCAUCCCCUCUCUUGUCAAAUGCCCUCUUACGGUUCUCACAAUUCUUGGGCAGACAAGAAAUGACUUGGGCAAUUCUUGGGCAGACAAGAAAUGGUUGAGGUUCCUGCUUGAAAAACCGUCAAAUCUAGAACUGGGAAAUCACCACAGCUUGCAAUUUCAAGUGGGAAGUUGGGGAACCUACAUCAUAUAGUCUUGUGGGCAGACCCGUUCAGAAGUGAGCGGCAGCUGAAUACACUUGCCCCAGGCCUCAGAAGGCUAAGCCAUCCAGGGGGCCCACCAGUGACUGGCUGCUAUCUUGUUUGAGUUUAUAACUUUAUUCUAACAAAACUCCCACCCCAGGCCUCAGACAAGCUCUGCAUGGGCUUGCCUAUGGGAUUCGCAGAGUAGACAAUGAACAAUACAACACAAAGUUAUCCCAAAACAACAAUGGAAAAGAAGCAGUAAUAAAUUAGACUAGCAGUGAUAGUACAAAGCCAGCCUUAACAUUCAGAAUGUGUUUCGUUGGCAUCCAGCCUAAGUCUGUUUUCAUCCAAGUUGAGUCCAUUACUUCUUACCUUUCCUUCAAGGACACUGAGAUAUAUGGAGUUGCUGCUGCUCCAUGUUCAGCAUCUUACCACUUGAACUGAUGAAGUUUUUGGCAACUGAGACAUACAGCCUGAUGAUAGUCACAUCUUGUAUUAUUUGUGUUAAGACUUUACAAGGAGCAGAGGAAGUAGAGACACAGGCCGUGACAGUUCUUUGUUUCUCAUAAUCAAUAGUUAGCUCUUAGAUAUCUCAAAACAACUAUUCUGCCCAUUUUUCAUCUCUAUAUUAAAAUAUGCCUAGCCUGAUUACACUUUCUUCAUACAUCCUCUACUCUGGACAGGCAUUUAUUCCUGCCUGAAGAUCCACUGCCUGGUUGUCUACAGUGUCAUACAUGUCAAAAACAGAAUUGCUUGCAGGUGUAGUUUUAACAGUAUCAAACAAUUGCAGACUUAUAUAAUAAGAACUGAAGAGCCCACCAUCUGUAUGGGAGCAACUGGGUCAAGUUGCACAGUGACUGUGGCUGACUAAUCCAUAAAGUGGAACAUUUUCAAAUAGCCCCUGCGGGUAACAUAACCCACUAUCACAUGGUGCCUUGGUAAUCCAUGCACUCCAGUUCUGCACACUCCAUUUCCCAAGCAUAGUGCUUGCCACUGUGCAUAAGUUUUAAUACCGAGAUUGGAAAAGAAGAAAAACAUUAAAAUGAAAAGCAAGUGUUUCAUUGGUUCAAAAUGAUAAUGUUCAUUAAGUAUACCUGUUAGCGAAUAAAUUUUAGUGUUAAGCAAUUCUACAGCAUUUUUUUAGCAUGCAAAGUAUUUUAUAAGCCACGCUAACAGCAAUCCCAUAGGUUAACCACCAAUAUUUCUGUUUUACAGGAAGUGAAUAGAACUGAUCCCUUACCCACUUGUGAUUGGCCAAGCAGAUAGCCAACUAACCAGAAUAAAAAUAAAAUAAAAAUUAUUCACGUCUCACAUCCCUGUGUGGCCCUCUAGCCUCAUGCUGUGCCCCCCCUGGAAUAUCCUGGGGGCCCCAGGGGGUAAUAUGGGUCCCAGUUGGGAAACACUGCUCAAAGUGAUGAAACAGAGAUCAUAAAUCCCAAUCACACUCUCACACACAAAUAAUGUGUGAAUCAUUGGGAAAGAAAGGUAGGGGGGAUGAGUGUUCCUUCAGAUAUACUGACUCAAGGUCAACAGCAGAUCUUCAGAUGGUGUUUGGAGACAAACUGGUAAGAGAAACAGUCCUUGAGGACCAGUAUAAUAUUGCUCCCUUUAAAUCAUACUGUACCAUUCCUUUUCUUGCAUCCUAUAUACCUCUACGGGCUCAUCCACAUUUUUGCUUGACCCUUAUUUGUAUCAUAUUGUGCACCAGUUAAUUCACCCAGGUUUCAGAACUUUUCUUGUUCCAUGGCUGUGCCUUGCGAAAAUUCGAUCUUACCCACUGAAUUGAAGCUGGGUUAAACAAAACCUCUCUUUGGAUUUUCCACGCAUCUGAUAAGAACUGAUUCAGCAAACAAGAUUGGAUUUUCGCAAUGUAUGGCUGCGGAACAAGGAGUGAGGCUCUUGGACAUGAGCAAAUUAAUCAGUAAACAAUUUGAUCAAAAUAUGGGUCAAGCAAAAGUGUGGAUGAGACCUAGAUAUCCUUCACCUAUACCUCUAAGCCCCUUUAUUUCCCCCAGUUCCUCCAUGUCAAGCAUAUAACUAUUUUUUAUCUACCAGUAGCAUAAAAAUAAUCUGUCAGUGAAAUAUUUGAGCGACAGUAAUGACAAAAGGCUGGUAUAGAAAACCAGACAUAAAUAAAAUACAGUGAGAAAAUCCUGUUCUCUUGCACAAAUACUUCUCUGCUGUACCAUAUUUUUCGCUCUAUAACACGCACCAGACCAUAACACGCACGUAGUUUUUAGAGGAGGAAAACAAGAAAAAAAAUAUUCUAAAUGAAAUAGUGGAUAUAUGAUUUUUGUGGUUCAUGCUGUGGCCACAGACAUGUGAUCUGACAGUGAGUUUGGAGUAGCCCAAUGCAAAAAUCCUGAGGAUCCAUGUGGAUCCAUGCUUUGUAACCAUGGAGGAGGGAAGGAAGGGGAACCAUGGAUCCUCUGCUCAUGACUGCAGCAGAUCCUCCCCGCCACCCGCAGGCAUUCGCUCCAUAACACGCACAGACAUUUCCCCUUACUUUCUAGGAGGAAAAAAGUGAGUGUUAUGGUGCAAAAAAUACGGUAUUUCCCACACAUGGAUUUGCUGGAUUGCGCUACAGAAUUACUUAAAAUCUCAAGCCACAGGGAACUUUCCCUUCUGUGCCACUAGAUUAUGUUGUUGUGACGCCUGAAACACCUGCACUACUCAGCUCUUUUCUUGGAUUCCAGGAUUUCCCCCCUCCUUCCUUUUAAUAAGAAAAAAUUAACAAAGUAAAAUUUGUUGACAGUGCUCACAGUUGGCAUAGUGGGGGGCUCUACCUAUGUGCUGUCACAUUUUUUCAUGUUCAUUUCUGCAGGUGCUAAAUACAUGCUGACAGCAACAUAUGUUACCAGUUUUAAAUGUGUGUGUGCACGUAUGUGUGCGCAGUGUUGUUGUUUUUAACCUAGCAAUUAAAGAACGCUCACUGCUAAAAGGAAAAGGAAAAGAAAUGCAGGUGAAGCUGCUUGCUGCCCACUGAUAUCCUCUCUCGUUACCUUCCUCCCUGUCUGGUUAUUAUAAUGAAAUGAAAACAAAGUGUGCAAAAAAGAAAAUCGAUUAGCUUUCUUUGAUUUCAGUCCUUCCCCAGUGCUUCCUCCCCUCUUUUUUUUAUAAGUAGUCUCUUUCUGUUUGUUUUCAUCUCUUCUUCUAAUCUUCUUAUCCUUGCUAUGCAUGAUAGACAUGUUCUCUCCAAAGGCGUGCUUCCUACAGAUAUUAUUAUAUAGACUAUACUAAUUUAUUCAGCGCAUAAACAAAUUGAGUUUACAGUAAUGAUGACCACACAGUUUCUGGUUUCCUAUAUAAAGAUAGAUAUUAAGGCAAUAUUCAUCAGAAUAUAUAUAUCACACACACUUUUCAUUUCUUUACAGUACAAUAUUGAAAAGCAAGGAGUAAACACAAGUUGAUAGGCAGCAUACACUAUUUUUAAACUCUUAACUGUUUUUAUGUUUUUUAAUAUGGAUAUUUUUCUGUCUUCUUAAACAACGUUUGGUUAAAUAAAGCAUUAUUUAUUUAUUUAUUUAUUUAUACCCCACCCAUCUGGCUGGGUUUCCCCAGCCACUCUGGGCUGCUUCCAACAAAAUAUUAAAAUACAAUAGUGUGCCAAACAUUAAAAGCUUCCCUAAACAUAACAAGCCUACAGGGUAAAUUAAAAAAUCGCUAAGAGAAAAUAUAUAAUGGGCUUUAUCCAUUGCUCCAGAAUCCUCUGGAGCAGAUUUUGAGGGUGCAUGAGAGCUGCACCCUCAAAGGGGAAGAGAAGGUUUCAAUGUGCAAGUCUGUUAUGUGAACUGAACAGCAGUGUCAGAUACAACCCAACAUAACUUAUUUUGCAUUAAAUUUGGUUUGCAUUAAAGUGGUUCUUGGAAUUAAACUUAAUUCAUACCAACAAAAAAGUUAAAUGUUGUAUUUACAGCAUUUCAUUCCAAAAUAAAUUUACAUUGCAACCCUAGGCACCUAUACUCAAAGGUCAUUCCAACUCUGUCCACUUGGGCUUAUUUUUAAAUUAGUGUGCACAGGAUUGCUAGGUAAGCAUGUUAAAAGUAAAAAAGAAGCUUUUAUUUCAAGAUAAUUAUAUGUAUUCUCAUUUUCACAGUGUGCAUUUCACUUCCAGAUUUUGAAAAAUGAAAUUUGUUUUCAGAACAAAGAUGAAGAGGAAAGGUCAUAUGUAAAUUGUCAGCAUAAUCUAACUCUACUGUCUUGUAAAAAGUUGAUCCCAGUCUUGCUCUCUCUCUCUCUCUCUCUCUCUCUCUGUGUGUGUGUGUGUGUGUGUGAGUGUCUGUCUGUGUAUCUGCAUGCCUUGGCUACAGGUACUUCAAAAGGAUCUGUAUCAUCAUCUCUACAAACAAAAAAAUCACAGGGGUUUGGGGUUUGUUUGGUGGGGAAAUAGACUGAAUUACCGUAUUUUUUGCUCUAUAAGACUCACUUUUUCCCUCCUAAAAAGGAAGGGGAAAUGUGUGUGCGUCUUAUGGAGCGAAUGCAGGCUGCGCAGCUAUCACAGAAGCCAGAACAGCAAGAGGGAUUGCUGCUUUCACUGCGCAGCAAUCCCUCUUGCUGUUCUGGCUUCUGAGAUUCAGAAUAUUUUUUUUCUUGUUUUCCUCCUCCAAAAACUAGGUGAGUCUUGUGGUCUGGUGCGUCUUAUAGAGCGAAAAAUACGGUAAGUUCUCUUUACAGCUGAUCAACAGUGCUCAUGCUAAAACCACCAGCCAUCCAGUUGAGACUGCACUCACAGUUCAAGAUCUAAUGACAGGAACCACAUAUGUUGCCCCAGGAACUGGAUGCAGCCUGGAGCUACAUGCCUAACAUCAUGUGAUUAUGCAGGUCCCAGAGCAGUAGCAGAUUUGCUUUGCUAAUACUGUUACUUUCAUACUUUCUAUUUGUCAAUUCCAAUUUCAAAUUCCAAAGAAUUUCAGUAAGUAUCAUUCAGUGUUGCGGGACGCGGGUGGUGCUGUGAGUUAAACCACAGAGCCUAAGGCUUGCCAAUCAGAAGGUCGGCGGUUUGAAUCCCCACAAUGGGGUGUUCUCCCUUUGCUUGGUCCCUGCUCCUGCCAACCUAGCAGUUUGAAGGCACGCAGUGAAAGUAGAUAAAUAGGUACCGCUCCGGCAGAAAGGUAAAUGGCGUUUCCGUGCGCUGCUCUGGUUCACCAGAAGCAGGGCUUCGUCAUGCUGGCCACAUGACCCGGAAGCUGUACGCCGGCUCCCUCGGCCAGUAAAGCGAGAUGAGCACCGCAACCCCAGAGUCGGUCACUACUGGACCUAAUGGUCAGGGGUCCCUUUACCUUAUCAUUCAGUGUUAAUGAACUUUCUGUCCUUAACAGAUCUGACAUGAAUUGACCUGGUCUCUAAGGAUAAUUUUGAAGGCAUUGCUAUUAUUUAAUGAUUAGGAGAGUCUCCACCCCCAUCGUUCUACCCGGACACAGAGGUCCAGCACCAAGGGCCUUCUGGCAGUUCCCUCACUAUGAGAAGCCAAGUUACAGGGAACCAGGCAGAGGGCCUUCUCGGUAGUGGCACCCUCCCUGUGGAACGCCCUCCCGCCAGAUGUCAAAGAGAACAACUACCAGACUUUUAGAAGACAUCUGAAGGCAGCCCUGUUUAGGGAAGCUUUUAAUGUUUGAUGUAUUACAGUAUUUUAAUAUUUUUUUGGAAGCCGCCCAGAGUGGCUGGGGAAGCCCAGCCAGAUGGGUGGGGUAUAAAUAAAUUAUUAUUAUUAUUAUUAUUAUUAUUAUUAUUAUUAUUAUCAUCAUCAUCAUCAUUAUUAUGAAUAUCUUUAAUUUGCUACGCCAAAGGAUAAAGGUAAAGGGACCCGUGACCGUUAGGUCCAGGUUGUGGUGCUCAUCUCACUUUAUUGGCCGAGGGAGCCGGUGUACAGAUUCCGGGUCAUGUGGCCAGCAUGACUAAGCCCUGCUUCUGGUGAACCAGAGCAGCGCACAGAAACGCCGUUUACCUUCCCGCCAGAGCGGUACCUAUUUAUCUACUUGUAUUUUGAUGUGCUCUCGAACUGCUAGGUUAGCAGGAGCAGGGACCGAGCCACGGGAGCUCACCGCAUCGCAGGGAUUCAAACCGCGACCUUCUGAUUGGCAAGCCCUAGGCUCUGUGGUUUAGACCACAGCACCACCCGUGUCCCAUGCCAAAGGAUAAAUGGACAUAAAUCUGGCAUGAGGGAUCACGACAGGGAAGGCAGUAGGAGAACACUUCAGUCUCCCAGGAUAUUCAAUACAGGAUCUCAAAGCAGCUGUCUUAUUACAAAAGAAUUUCAGAAAUAGACUUUAAAGAGAAGUUGCUGAAUUACAAUUUAUUACUAAACUGAAAACUAUGGAGAGACCUGGUCUGAAUAAAAACAUUGGAUUCUUAUCUCAAUACAUAUGCUAAAGCUAUUUUUGGGUCAUCUGCAUACUAUCCCUUGCUUUUUCCUGCAGGACUAAUUGCAGUCGUUAACAGUCAUCAACAGGUUUACCAUACCCAUUGAGUCAAUCACCCAUCUCCUACUACCCUUCUUAGAAAAACCCCACCCCACCCUCCCACUAUAUAUAAGGGUCUGGUGACUUCUGUUUCAGUGUAUCUGAAGAAAUGUGCAUGCACACGAAAGCUUACACCCAGAACAAACUUAGUUGGUCUCUAAGGUGCUACUGGACAAUUUCAUAAUUUUUUUAUUUACGGCAUUCAAAAUCAUGGGCUCAAUCCACUGGAAAGUUUCCUUGGCACAAUUCCCAUUGAAAUUAAAGGAAUCUAUGCAAGAGCAUAGUGAACUGCAUCCUAAAUAAAUAAAUAUUUUAAAAGUAAACUUCGCUUAAUUCUCCCAAUACAAAGGUAAAAUCGCAAGUAGCUUCUAUCCAGUUCCUUUUGGAAUACCUUUUACCUUUCCCUAUUGUUUCCCUUUUCUUUAAAAUAGGUUUAAGAUUGUGGAUUUAAAUGUGAUUUUAUGUAAAUCUCACCAGGUAUCAAGUAAAAGGAUAAAUUUUAUUCAUUAAUUCACUCACUCACUCAAGCUUAGUCCAGAGUACUAAAGGUAAAGAAAGACAUUGUUGGGCUCUGUAUUCCCCCUUCCCCUAUCCAAUAUUUUUGAGAUGGGAACUGUUCCCCGCACUCAAAUUAGCUUAACCUCUUGGAACGUAAGCCUUCUACCUCAAGCCAGCCUCAGGGUGCAAACGAUGGUGGGUGGAGAAAUCUCUUAAUCACAAACCGUAUCUCCCAAGGCGCUAGGUGUUGGAAGAUCACAUCCAAAUGGAAACCAGAAGAAAAGUAUAAUAAUCCUAUGCUAUACAAACCAUCAUAUUCAGCUACCAGUAUAAAACUGGGCAUUUUAAUGCUGCUCAGUAUAAUGUUAGCAACUUAAAGAAACAACCAUUUAAACUAGCUAACAGAUUAACAUAUACAUGCACUGAAGUAAAGUGAAAGCACAUGUUUUUCGUUCCUCAGCACUAGGUAGUUUUUGUAAGACUCCAAGUCCUUUAAAAGGGUUAAAAAUGCAGAUGCUGUGAAUAGAGUCUAAUCCUUAAGGCCCUGAAGCAUUAAGACAUAUCUCCUCCUUAGGGUCCAUCUCUGUCCAUAAUCAAUUUCUUCCCUUGGAGAACAUUAAUUGUCUCUAAUGAUAGCUUUCCAUCAAUACAUCCUUGAUCUUAAAAGGCCUGUACAGCUCUUCCCUUUAUUCAAUCAAAUCAUCUGUACAAUUGCCCUCCCUUAGUAAGAUAAUACCUUUUAAGCCUUGUAUUUUAAUAUAAAAAAUAAGAGGUAGCAGGAAAUUCUAAUGGAAGUGCUAACAUUUGAGAACCAGGAUGAUGGCUUCCAUUAUCCUAAAUAAUGUUUGAAGAUUACAGAAAGCACUGCGUUUCAAAAGGUGGAAACUAAUCCACCACUUUCAAAUUAUUUCCUUCUUCAAAAACCUGUUCUAACAUUAGGAUGUUGUUUUUGUGAAUGGCUAGAGGAGUGUAUAUUUAAAUAUUUGAAUGUGAAAGAUCAUUUCCAGGUCGGGGCAAAGGGGUGGGGGAAGCAAAUAAUUACUAUUUAUAACUAAUAAAUGGUGAAUGAUUUGCAGAAUUGACAACUUUAAACACAGAAGCCCUUUAUUUUUCCAGUUAAGCUGGCGGUGUUCUGCUCACUCAAACCACUAUAACCCUAAUCAGAAGUUCCUACCAUUAGUUAAUUCCACAAUAGAACAAAAAUUCUGUCUCUGUGGCCUAUUAAUGUGUCUUGCUUUCCUUACCCCCCUCCUUUCCUUUUCUGUUACAUGCUUUUUCUAAAGGCAUGGAAUUUCAUUCCCCCCCCCCCGCGCUUUUAACCAUUCAGCUGUUUUGUUUCUAUUCAAAUACAGGAUUCCUCACACACUUUCCUCCCUCUCCCCCCUCUAUAGGUUUAAUCUAAAUUGCCUGGCAUCAAUCUGUGUUUUUACCUAUUGCAUAGUAGCCUGCCUUCGUUUGCAGAAACCGCUGUUUAUAAUAACUUAAGGAGCUAGAGAAGAAAUAUUGACGGGACAAAAGAUACAAGCCCUCCAGAAUUAUUUUCCUGGCAAUUUUUACAUCCAACAUGCAAACAACGUCUUUUCAAUGUUAUGACUACACAGUGUCAUUUCCCUCUACGAGAAUGAAGCAUUUUCUCUGUUGAGAGAGAAAAUGAGCAUUCACCAAUUUAUCUGCAAAUUUGAACACAUUCUUCUUAUUCAGAAAUAUCAGUCUCUCUUUUACUCUCUCUCCUAGACACACAUAUUAAGGUUGAAGACUCAAGGAACUCAAAGAACUGUAAUAAAGGGCAAGUGCAACUAGCUAAAAUAUUUCUUAUGUAUUUCAGCAACAGUAGCCUUUUGUUCUAAAACCUGCAGAUUUAUUUCAUAAACAUAAAAUUGCAUUCAUUUUCCUGUAUUGCAUAAACUGUUGUUGUUUUUUAAAGAAGAAAUAUAUUGAUUGUAAAAGCUGCAUAAAUAGCUGAAAUAUAUUUAUGUUGUGCCAGAAAUAUAAGGAGGAAAGAAAGUAGCACAGAGACAGGUAGAUACAAUCGACCUAAGAGUUAUCAAACAAAAAAGAAUGUGAGAGAGAGUGGGAGAGAGUGUGUGCAGUUAACAACCCUGAUAAGAGAUGAAAAUUGUCAGUGAGGCAGAUUGAGUUUAUUCAAUGCCCUGAUAAGCACCUAUUUGCUCUUCCACAUAAUGCUCUCUCAGUAUUUAUAAAUUAUCAUUUAAUUAUGCUGGCAAGUGGUAAUUGUCAAAUAAAGCUCCGAUAGGCAUAAGCCUUCAGGCUGCACAUGACAGAAAAAUAUCUGUUAAAGCUGGGCUGAUUCACACGCUUAGGAAAUCAUUUCCUUUCUUCUUCCUUUUUUAUCCUUGCUAACAAAUUAUAUGAACCAGCACACUUUUGUGCUUUGUGGGCAUUUUGAAGUCUAUUCAGAUUACAGGAGAGAGGAAAAAUUAGUUGUUUCAGUAUCUACCAUCCCAAAUUAUUGGGCUGAUUUAAGACACCAUGUUCUUGUUUUAACAAAAGAAUGGGAAACAUCAAGGAAUUUUAGCAUUCUACUGCUUCGAAUUUAUGCUCAGGGUCAUUUUUCAGUCAAGUAAAUCAAGAUUUGAGGAAUUAUUUAACAUUAGGCAUAGGAGACUUGAUACAGAGUAAUGGUAAAAUAAAAAGUGUCAUUUAUCCCAUUAGGAUAGAGACAUGAAACAUUGAAAAAUCUUGAAAAAACCCAGUCCAUUGCUACUUAUAUUCAAUUAUACUAAAUCCAUUAAACCUUCCAGUACUGCUUACUUUAAGUGUUUUUUGAAGUAUUUGCUGGUUUGUUGAAUAAAUGUCUAAGGACUACAAUGCCUGCUGCCCACAGAAGAGAUUUUAGUAUAAAGCCAACCCUAUGUUCAAUGAGGGGAAGGGUUUUUUGAAAAUAAAAAAAUCCCAUGAAUUAACCUAGACUAGCAUUGUGAGCAUCACAGAAAUGAGUUUUAUGGGGAAACAAAUAUGUUUUAAAGCAACCUUACACAUACAACUCAGUGAUGAAAACAUCUAGGGGCAAUAAAAAGAAAGCUUUUCAGGUUUGUUUUUCAUUUAACAAUUUUAAUGGCACCACAAGCAUUGACAACAACAGAUGGCACAAAUGUUGUACAGCUCUGCUUUUUAUCCAGCUAGUUACCCUAAAUUUCUCUACAACAGGGGCACUGCUGUAAGACAUUUCCCAGUAUUCUUCUCAGAAAAAAAGAGCCAUAGACAGGAGUGAGCCCCUACUAGGCAACCUAGGUAUAGCUGAGCAGUUAAACUGAUAUUAUUUACCAAACCAUGCAUAAUGAAAAUGGCUAUAAGAUUUUCUGAUAUGGAUCCACCCUCACAUCUACUCUGAUAUUGAAACAAAUGAGUUUUAAUUUUUAUAAUGUUUGCUUAUAAAUAUAUACAUAUCUAUAACGGGCCCACCCACAGUGCCCCCCUCCCAGAGGGUGAAACCCAAGCAUCAACAAGUGUAAACAAACCUGACGGGACAAUGUUACAGGAUUUAAAAUAGGCCACAAAUUUUAUUGAUUACAUAUAUAGGUAGGCUUUGGCUCAGGUACUGGGUAUAAAUCCAUCAUCAGCCUCCAGAUGGAGGGCUGAUGCUUAAGCAGGAUCAUGCCUGAGGUCAUUCAAGAUGUGGGUCUACUAAGGUGGCCCUCUUUAGGCUGCUGAGGGACACUCUACGGCCCGUCUGCCCCAUGAUUGUCUUCUGGACAGAGACUUCCACUUACCCCAGCUGGCCCCUGAUAGGGCAAUUUCAAACUUUAAGGCAGUGGCUGGCCAGGGAGGCAUUCCAACAGUCAUUUCACCCUCCAAGUGUGUGAGGGGCUGCUGCCCUGGACAACAACCUCCGUCCACCUCUGGACCAGGUAAGCAGUCAUUCUUUGCAUCAAAAGAAUGUUCUCAUUGGUGACAAAGUCCCACAAGAAUUAGAUGAUAAAUUUUAAAUUAUGUACAUACACAAUAAACACAAAAUAAUGGGUGUGCAUGUUCACAUAUAAAACUCUUAUAGUAUCAUUUAAAAUGAAUAUACAUAAAAGUAGUUCAUAGGAAAAUUAUAAACAAUGCAGAAUAUAGUCUCUGAAACAAUUAUUUUGCAUUCAUCGCUAACCUAAUAUUAACACAAAACUUUCAUAAGCCCAAAUGAACUAGGAAACAGAUUGUUUAUGUGUGCAAAUUGAUAUUGUGUAAUGGGACAUAAAUGUGAUUUAUUUCUUUUUAAUUUAAAAUAUUUUAAGACCACACUUCAGGGCCCAUCCAAAGCAGCUUACAUUUAAAAAAUAAAAAGAUAAAAAGAUAAAAAGAAUUCAAACUUUUUAAACUUUAAACUACCACUCAACAGUGCUACACAUAAAUAAUAAUAAUAAUAAUAAUAAUAAUAAUAAUAAUAAUAAUAACGGAAUUGGGGAAAAGCAGACCAUCACAGAUCUAAAACAGUUGUGCCUAGAAGGUUAUCUGAAAAACAAAUACAGUAAGUCUUGAGGGGCAUCCAAAAAUCCUGCAAUGCAGAAAGCUGAUGCAGGUCUAGUGAAUGGAAAUUCCAGGUAUAGGGCGGUAUAGAAAUUCAAAUAAUAAUAAUAAUAAUAAUAAUAAUAAUAAUACAUAGCCAUGAGGUCACCUCAAAAAAUGACUUCUCCAAUGAGACCACCUACGGAACUGACCAAGGGAUAGCCACACAAGGAGAUCUUUGAAAGCAGACCUUAAAGUGUUGACACAAUGGCAUGGGUGCAGGCAGUUCAAUAAGCAGCUUAGACCCAAACUGUUUAGGGCUUUAAAGGUCAAAAGUAGCACUUUAAUUUGAGUCCCAAAACGCACCAGUGUACAGGACAACUGACAUAAUUGAGAUGCUGCUCACCCUACCCACAACUGGACUCUGGGAAGCACGUUCUGGACCAGCUGAAGUUUCCAACCUGUCUUUAUAGCACAUUACAGCCAUCUAGUUUGUAGCCGGCAGAAGGCAUUCCUGUUAUUGCAUUUGUUCACACUGCUGAAGCAUAUUUGACCACAGUCAUUCAAGUUGACUGAUUCCUGAUAUAGUUUCCUUCAUGGUGGCAAAAAACAACAGUGCAAUUAUGUGUGGUCUUAUAGCACUUGUAGGUAGGCCUCCACAUGCCUUCUUACUAAAUUGCUCUUCAUCUGAAACCAGAGUUCACAAAAUACAAAUAUAAUAAAAUGUAUUUCAUAUUAAACAUUAAACCACUGUAAAACUCCACCCACCAUACCCAGCAAUAUAUUUUAUUCCAAGCUGAGAAUUAAUAGCCAGCAAAGGCCUGGGUAAACAGGUAGGUUUUAAGCAGGUGCAGAAAGCUAAUCACAGUCAGUGCCUGACUUAGUUCAGAGAGAGGGAGUUCCAAAGGGUAGACACUAACACAGAACUGAUUCAAAGUUACAGCGCCUCAUUUCAUAGCAUUUUUCAUAGCAUAACUUUCCCUUUCCCUACCCCUUUCUAAACCUUAAUUCACAGACACGGGGGAUGGAGGUUACUCACAGAGGCACAUACCAAGGACCUGGGUUAGGGAUCCUGUAACAAGCAAAAUUAGGAAAUUGUGAAAUUUUGCUGUUUCUCUGAAUUGUAAUCCUUGUUGUGAAUUGUAAUCCUUUCCCCAAUUCGUCUUCUUCAUUCCACUAGGCCUUCUCUGCCCCAAAUUGCUUUCUCUGAAUUGCUUCUCCACCUUGGCUUCUCUGCUCAAAGUGCCUUCUCUGAAUUGGCACUGAGACAGAACUGCUUGGAGACAGAACAUGGGAUGGGAAAGCACUGUCCUAUAUCAUAGGAUCUAGAAUGCCAUUGGCUUACAGGACCAGCAAUGCCAAAAUCCAAGUUGAUCUCUGUACUAUUCUUUUCGCAGUCAUAGGAAUAUUCUCCCUUUGCAUAGUCCCAAAGUUUCUGUAUAGUGAAGUAGAAAAGUUCGUGUUGCUGACAUUGCUCGUCAACUAGGCCACACCUACUUCUUAGCCUUCCUGUAAGAAGAAUCCAUUCACAUACAAACAAACACACAAAUGUAACUGCUCCAUCCUGGUUGCCAUGCAGUUGCUAAGGCUUGAACUAUUUCUUACCCAAGUAGAUACAUUGUGUUCUGCAAAGCUCACAACUUAUGUUUUCAGUCCAAUUGGGUUACAAACACAACUUUACUUAACUUUUAAAGGGAUAAAGGUAAAGGUAAAGGUCCCAGACAGUUAAGCCCAGUUGCGAACGACUCUGGGGUUGCAGCGCUCAUCUCGCUUUACUGGCCGAGGGAGCCGGUGUACAGCUCCCAGGUCAUGUGGCCAGCAUGACUAAGCCGCUUCUGGCGAACCAGAGAAGCACAUGGAAACGCCGUUUACCUUCCCGCCAGAGCGGUACCUAUUUAUCUACUUGCACUUUGACAUGCUUUCGAACUGCUAGGUUGGCAGGAGCAGGGACCAAGCAACGGGAGCUCACCCCGUCGCAGGGAUUCGAACCGCCGACCUUCCGAUCGGCAAACCCUACGCUCAGUGGUUUAGAACACAGUGCCACCCACGUCCGUUAGAGGGAUAAAGGGAUAGAAUAGAAUAAAUGGGUUUGAUACAUUUAUUUAAAAGCAUUAUAUAUGACUAUGUCAUAAGCAUAAAUGUCUCUAAACAACAUUAAGUUACUAGGUUUUCAGAUAUAUGAAUUAGCCCUAGUACUUUUGCUUAUUAGGGUUGCCAACUUACUAACAUGUUUAAAAAUGUACUGUCUUUAGCUGUGAGAAGUGCUGUCUAUGGGAUAGAAUGUUGGACUUGGACCAAAGAGACUGGACCAAAGAGACUGAAGAUUAAGUGUGAACUCCAUAAUUUGGUGGUGUAAGGUUCUCACACAAGUGAUUACUGUACUUAUUAACCUGAAAUAGCUAGAAUUGUCAUUCAGAACAAUCAGAUAUAACUUUGACAUAAAUGCAUUAAGAACAUAAGAAUACAGAUUCCUGAAUAUAUCUAGUUCAGUAUCCUGUUCUCAAGAUGGUCAACCAGAUGCUUAUGAGAAGCCCACAAAGGACAUGUGUAAGAGACCGCUCCCAUUUGCAAUUACCAGCAACUGGUUUUUAAAGGCAUACUGCUCUUGGAGGCAAUAUAGCCAUCAUGAUCACCAGUAGCCAUUGACAGCCUUAUGCUUUAUGCAAUUGUCUAUUCCCCUUUUAAAAGCGCCAAGCUGAUAACCAUCUCUGCAUUCUGUGGUAGUGUAUUCCUAUAUGCUGUGUGAAGAAAUACUUCAUUUUGUCUGUCUAAAACUCCCUCUAUUUAGCUUCAUUCAAUAAUGCCAGGUUCUAGUAUUAGGAGAGGGAGAAAACUUUCUCUCUCUCCAUUUUCUCCACACCAUGUAUAAUUUUAUACACCUCCAUCAUGUCCCCACUCACCUUUUUUCUAUACUACAAACCCCAUAGUCCUCAUAGUCGAGUUGCUCCAGCCCCUUGAUCAUUCUGGCUGAGCUUUUCUGUACCUUUUCCAGCUCUAUAACAACCUUUUUGAGGUGCAUUGACCCAAACUGUACACAGCAUUCUAAGUGUGAUCGCAGCACAGAUUUUAUACAUUAGCAUUAUGAUAUUAUUUUUUUUAUCUUCAAUCACUUUCCUAAUGAUCCUCAAUAUGGAGUUCAGCUUUUUCACAUCUACUGCACCCUGAGCUUCUUCACCGACCUAGUUUCUUGCAUUGAGCCAUUUGUGCCAUUUUAAUUCUCAUCCACACCAACUAGAGAGAUUAUUUUGAGCUUCUUGUAAUCUCUGUUUGUUUUAACUACUCGGAAUAAUUUGGUAUCAUCAGCAUACUUGGCAAUGUUACUGCUCACCUCUAACUCCUGGUCAUUUAUGAACAAAUUAAUUCGUCUUCAGCAGACUUGUUCUAUAUGCUUGGUAACUCUAUCUUCAGUGGAUACCACAAGGACCCGAAGAUAGGUGGAGAUAUUUGCUCAACUUGUCUGCAAUAUCAUUUUCCUCAAUAUUUUAGUUGUAUAUGUUAUGAUAUUUAAGAAUUGGGCAAAUUUAUAUGUAAUAUUAAUAUCUUAAAAGAGGCCAAUGUGUUUUUUUUGGGGGGGGGAAAUGUUUUCAAAUUAAGAACUCAUAUUGUUGUGAGGGAGGGUUGGGGGGGGGUCAGUCUGCAUGAUGCCCUGAGUUCAUUCCAAUUCUUGGGUUCAAGUAUCUGUGGGGUUCAACUUCCGCAAUAGGCAUUGGAAAAGUUAGCAGCGGGUGGGUGUAAAUUUGAGGCUGAUAGUAUUUAGUUGCCAUGAACAACUGUUCUAUGUAUACUGAGAUGAUUCCUUUCCCUGACCUUGCCCGCUGAAGUAAUGUAGAUUAACUGAAGAACACCUUCAUUUGUUUUGGUAUUCCAGAUGAGUAUCUGUCCAGCAAUGCAACUUAAUUUAUGGCAGCAGAACCCCCAUCAUUCCAGACAUUUUACAACUUUUGCCAUGUUACCACUAACCCUGACCAACCACAAGCAAAUAGGGAGGCGGAGGGAGCAGUACCAAUAGCAAAUAACGUUUUAUGAUAGAUUGACCCACAUACAGAUCUUCUACACUACAGGUCAACAUUACUGAUAGCUGCAGGAUAUAGCUCAACAGAAUUGCUACUGGCAAGAGAAAUCAGAACCACCCAAUCCAACUCUAGAGAAGAAUCUCAAUCCAAAUUAAAAUAAGUUAUGAGCAGCACAAUUUAGUGCAAGAUCUACCAUGUUUAACUCCAGGCAAGAGAGUUUAUCUCAAACUUGAUGUAGAAAAGACAUAGCAGACUCCACUUACUGUCCAAAGAAAAAACGAAACACUCAGAUCAUAUUUUACUCAGGGGUGGAAUACUUCACAGAAAGAAAUGCCAUCUUCCUAUUCCUAAGAAGGCACAAUCGCUGAAUGCACAAAUGGUGUUUGAAAACUCAAGUUCAUCUACUGAGACUCAGCUAGAGCCAUCGUGUAAGACUGACAGCAAUAUUACUACUCAGACUGUCAAUUGCUCUAGACAAGUUAUUUGGAAGCCUUCAAGAUUAGAGAUGAGUGACUGAAUACCUGAAUACAUACAGAUUUCAACAGCACUGAUUUAUUUAAUGGCUUCUUUAAACAAAAGAGGGAAAAUGUAUAGAUAAUGUCAUUACGUAGUUUAGUCACUAGGUAUCACUGACUUAAUUGUAUCUGGAUGGAAUCUUGGGUUUAUUAUGUUACUUACUUACUUACUUACUUACUUAUUUAUCACAUUUAUACCCCACCUUUCCUCCCAACGAGCUCUAUGUGGAAUACAGUGGUACCUCUAGUAGCAGACGUAAUCCAUUUUGGGGUGCCGUUCGCACCCCGAAAAGACCGCAACUAGAGUGCCUCUUCUGCGCAUGCGUGGGUGGUGAACCCGGAAGUAAACACUUCCGGGUUUGCCACGUUCGUAAGCUGAAAGUCCGUAAGAAGAGCGGAACGCAACAUGAGGUGUGACUGUACAUGGUUCCCCCCCCCUCAAUUAAUCCCCACAACCCUACUGUGUAGAGGAUUUGGCUGAGAGGCAGUGAGUGGCCCAAGGUCACCCAGUGAGCUUCAUGGGUGAGUGGGGAUUUGAACCCUGGUGUCCAAUGUUCUAUUCCAACACACUAACCACUGAUGGCAUGUUACUGCUGUGUUCUUGUUUUAAAAAAUGCAACAACGUUCUUGUCUAACUUCCUAUUUGGUGUAACCUCUAAGUUAUCCAUGAAUUGUAAACCCUUUGGACAGCUGUCCCUUUGUUUAAUAAUAAAAAGUGGUGUCUCAAGAAAAAUGUGACCAGUUUUCAUCAAUGCUGGAAUAGUGUGCAUUUAGAGUCCACUUGGCUGUAAGAGAUGACAGUAGUUGGCUAUUUCUUCCCCUUCACCAGCUGCCUUGUUGAGCUUCCUGAUGCGUCACUCAACUUCUGAUCCACAAUUCCAUUAGGACCUAUCACUUUUGCUCCAGUAGGUAAGCAGAAUGUAUAGCCCAAAGUCAGUUUUGAGAGCUGCCUAACCACUGACCUAUUAUGAACAAUGGGUCUUCUCUGAAGGAAGGCAUCAUCAGGAUUAGUGGUUUUUGAUGAGGUAAUCAAAUAUGCAUUUUUACAGCCAGAAUGCCAUGCUGGCAAAAUGAUCUUGUUGGGAGAGGCAAGCUGUAAGCUACAUUACCAGGAAAUGGACAAUGAUAGAUAGCCUGCAUUUACAUUUGCACAUAUAUUUAAUUGUUGCCUGAGAUAGAGACAUGUCAAAUACUGACACAACAGAUCCUUCAAAAUAAGUUAUGUAUUUGUGUUAAGCAUUAUUUGGCCAAGCUGUGAAGGAAAACAAAUACUGCUCUUUUUCUCCUCUUUUUCUAAUUAGCCAUUUGUUUCAGCAUGCUUUUCAUAUGUAUUUUGACAAUCAGUGUCCAUUUAGCUCAGUGUAAAGUCAGUUGAGUACAUUCCUAAUUUACAUUAUCUUAUCAUUUUUAUGAAGCUGUCCUUAAGGUACAUUUUUUAUUACCAUAUAUACCUACCCCAAAAACCUUGUGGAACACAUUAAAAUACUUAAGCACCUAAAAUGCAUUUUUUAAUAUAAAACUUGCUUAUUCUUCUUCAUAUAUUUAACUCCUUGCCUAUACACAUAUGGAUUACAACACUGUGUUUUUAGGUUGUAUACUGCCCUGCAAUAUUUCAUAUGGAAUUGCAGUCUAUAAAUAUUUAAAUAAAAUAAAUCUAAUUAUAUUAAUAAAGCUGCAUUCUAAAGAAAAAGUAACACGAGAAAAUAUUCUGUAUUAAAAUGUUGAAAACAACUACAAAAUCUGAUUUAAAAGGCUUCUAAAGAUAGCUUUUAAAAAGGUAAGCAAGUUUUUUAAAAAAACCAUACCACUAGAUACUCAAACCUUAGAAACAGCAAGGGAGAGCACCGCUGACUUUUUAUAAUUGGAUUAUAUAAGAUAGUCACAUUUGCAUGUUAGAGACUGCAAAUGGAACUGAAUUGUUGCAUAUUUAUUACUGAUUUACUGUCAAUGGGGACCCCCUCCCACUUUGUAAAUUAACCCCACUGUUGCCAGCUGACCAUUGAAGAGGGACUACGUAGCGGAGCAAAACUGAAAGCCUAGAAUCCUGCAUCACAAGCAGAUAAAUGCCCCAUAAAUGACACAUUUGCACAGGGACAGCCAUCAACAUAUUUUGAUAUCGUUACUGGUCUUUAUCUGUGUUCCUUUGAACUUUGACUAUUUGUGAUUUUCAUCUGAGAGGAAAAGCAUCAAGAGCUGUGUAAACUGUUAUUAGCUACCAUUUCCCCCCAAAAUCUGGCUCCUAUGUUUUAAUUGUACAGUACCUUAACAUGCAGAAAUUAAGCCAGUGAAGCUUUUCCUAUUAUUUAUUUUCAUUUAACUAAUUCAUGUCCCAGAUUUCCUUACAAAAGAUAACGAUAACAUAAAAAGCAAAAAUUGAAAUAAAAUAACACUGAAACAAAAAACAAUGGCAACAGAUAAAGCAGCAAAAAGAAAAUUCCCUCUGAACAGGAAAAUGUGCAGCAGCAACACGGCUCAUCGAUACUUCCAUAUGCCCCGUGAUUUCUAGACAUGGGUCCGAGAGGCUUUUCUUUUGUCCCACCACUUUCCCCAGGCAAACCCAUGGUUUACUGCUGAAUCAGAACAAACACCCAUUGGAUUUUCUAUAGACUGAAGUUUGUUCUGAUUCAGCAGUAAACAGGGAAAGUGGCAAGACAAAAUAGAAACCUCAGACCCAUGCUUAGAAAUAACAGCACAAAUGAAAGAAAUAAUAGGACAAAUAGAAGUGUGAAUGAGCCCAAACAGUAGUAAUCUAUUGUUCUGAUACACCAGCCUUCCUCCUGCCAUAGCCAAGAGUAGCUAACAACCUUAAAACAAAAUACAAAUAUCAUAGACCAAUAGUUAAAUUUAUGAACAGAAUAACAACCUUUAAAGGACAACACAAAGGGCAAUAAACCAUUCCCAUUAAAAAGAGUACCUAACUACCAAAAUGUAUUUUAACUACCAACAUUUUAAGUUGAAUACAACGUGGGUGAGAACCAAAAAUGAGGGCCUUCCAUAUCUGUUUUACCACCAAGAAAGCUCUGCCUAAUGUCAUUGCCUCAUGAUAGCACCAGAAGUAAGGCCUGCCUCAAAGCAUGGGCCAGAAGGUAUUGGGGGAGACAAUCCUUCAAGUACUUGUAGACCUUGUACACUAGUACCAACACUCUUCAGGAAUGGUCACUGUUGGUUUCUAUUUCCCUCACUGAGCAGCAUCUGCAGUCACAAUACAUUGUUUUGCAUUCCACAGUCCAAGUUACUGUUGGAUUCCCACGGGAAUGGGAGACUGGAUGUGACGUUCACUGGUUUCCUGUUUUUCACUCUUCUCUCUGUGUUCUUUGUUUCCGAGAGGAGUUGCUUCUCUGCUCUCACAGAGGCAAGAUGCAUGUUUGUAUUCUCUCAGCAUAGAGUGGAAAUAAAGUUAAGAAUGUGGCACAUACUGCUUAUCCUUCUGCUGUGUGGACUACUCUGCUUGGGCUCAAGAUAAGACGAGCCUGUAUCAGCUUCAGAUGGGCCGAAGCUGGUCAAAAUCUCACAGUCACAGCUGGCAAACCUGCCACAGCUGGGCAUAAACCCUCCUCAGCACUGAAGUCAUCUGGAACUCCAACAACAGCUUCAGAUCAAUAUGCCAAAGCUGCAUAUAUUUUCCUUCAGGGGGACUGCUACACCAUCCAGAACAGGUCAUCUCCGUAAUUCCUGGACCAAUAAUUUUCUAUCCAUACUGCCUACUGAUGAUGCUACAUUCCAAAUCCCCAGAUGACACCUCCCAGCAGUUUCAUAUAGAUAUAAAAUAGCAUGAUGGACAAGCUUUCAAUAGCAUAAAUGAGACUGAGUAGAAGUCCUCCAAUGCUAUUCUUGGGUAGUGGUAAUGUAGGUAGGAAUGAAACCACAGUAACAUGGUGUCCCUAGUCAUUACAGAGCCAUGACAGGAUGAAACUGUGGUCAAUGCUAUCAAAUGCUGCUGUGGGGUUGAGCAGGAGCAACAGGAUAGCACUCCCCUGUCUCUCUUUCAUUAAAGAUUAUCAACCAGGGUGACCAAGGCUAUUGAAGUGCAGUAUCCACAUCUGAACGUCUAAUAUCUUCAUCCAGGCAUGCCUGCAGUUGCCCAAGAAAGGAAUAUUUUCACUGGGAAGUAGUUAUCUAAAAUCUCAGUGUCCAGACGGGUCAAAAGAACACAAGAAGAGCCUGCUGGAUCAGGCCAAUGACCCAUCUCAUCCAGCAUCCUGUUCUUACUGUGGUCAACUAGAUGUCUGGAGGAAACCUGCAAGCAAAACCUGAGCACAAGAACAUUCUUCACAUAUACUCUCCUCUUCAGGAAAGAACAUACUACCACCUCCUCCAAUGAGGCAGGCAACAUUCCCUCCCUAAGUGAGGCAUUAGCUACUCUCUGUACCCACUCAGGCCAUCCCUCCCUACUAAAUCUUAAAAGCCACAAUGGACAAGGGAGCUAAAUGGAUCCCUGACUAGUUGAUGCUAUAAACACCUCUGCAGGAUCCACAUCAAUUGUGGCAUCAACUUUGAAGUGGGUACCAAUUUCGUUACCAAUGACUUUGGCUUGAAAUUGCUUCUUGAAAUUCUUAUAGUGAGCUUCUAAAUGAAUGGCUGUUUCUUCUCAAGGGCUGCUUUUCAGCAACCCCUUCUCCCAUUUCAGUUCACUGAGGAUGCAAUGGAGGUGGAGAAAUAAGUUUACUAGCCAUGAUGUUGUGCUACCACCUGUGUUUUGUCAAAUUCUCCCUCAGAUUUGCACAACUUGCAUUCCAGCCAUUGUCUGGCAUAGUUCUUCAUCAAUAUGUGCUUUGAAAACCAACCUUCUUGGCUCCCUGCAGAUGUCGAGGGCACCUAGGAGCAAUUGUGACUAUAGCCCUCACAAUCUUACCAUUCCAUAGUGAGACACGGGCUUCAACUGGAAUGUGAGCCAUGCUCUCCAUAAAGUGCCCAGAUCAUUCAGGAAUCCAUCCGGGAGCAGACUGGCUAAAUGAACCCAAAUGAAGCCAGUUCAAAGCUCACCAUCCAUAUGAUCCACUCACAACCCCAUGGUUGUCAUGGCAGUCAUGCAGUCCUGAGUUGGACCAAACUUCUCUACUUUCUUUCCAUUACUCUUUCUACUGCCAUCUAAUAUUGAGAAAUAUAAAUCACAAACUUUUUUUUAAAACUUCUGACUUUACUCCUGUGUGAUAACAUUAGCAUUAAUGACACUAGGCACCAAACUGAAACACACCCACUGUUACUUUUCUGCAGCCCUUUGCACACAAUGAAAAUUGUCUGGAUCAACUAUUGAAAGAAAAGAGUCGCAGCUCAAGAAGGAAGAAGUGGUACGGGAGCUCCAAAAGACUGUGGUUGAAAUAAAGUAUUUAGGACAUGAUGAAUUGUCUUGUAGGGCCCUAAAGGAAAUUGUAGUGUGAUCCCAGAGCCACUGUCUAUCACUCCUUAAAAUUCUUGGAGAACAGGUGAAGUACUAUGAAACUAGAGGUAAGCAGAUGUUUUCAUUAAGGAGUCAGUUCAUGAGCAUUUACAAAAAAAGCCCUGCCUAAGGUAAAUUCUUUUUUUAAAAAAUUAUAGAGUUUCCACCCUGGUAAUUCAGGGGACCGAUGCGGAUGUAGUAUAUUUUUAUUUCACCAUUGUUUUUAGUAACGCCCCCAUUAUAUUCUUGUAGGCAAGAUGGUAAAAUGUGAGCUAGACAAUACUAUUAUGUUGAUUUGUAGCUGGUUGAUGGACCAUACCUAACAGAUAUUCAUCAGCCUGGAGAGAGGUGAAAAAUGGAGUGAUGAAAGGUUGUUUGCCAGGCCAUGUGUUGUUAAACACUUUUAUAAGUGACUUGGGUGUAGGAAGAAAUGCUUAUCAAAUUUGCAGACAACACCAAACUGGUUGGGUUUGCUAAUGCCUUAGAAAACAGAAAUAAAAUAUAGGUGAUGGGCUGAAUUUAUUGCCUGUAUUCCAGAUGAAAGAAAAGAGAUUUAAACUAAAUAUUAGUAAGAAUCAGGUAGGUAGCCAUGAUAGUCUGAUGCAGCCAAAGUAUGUAUGUAUGUAUGUAUGUAUGUAUAAAUAAAUAAAUAAAUAAAUGUCCAGUAGCACCUUAUAGACCAACUAAGUUUGUUCUGGUAUAAGCUUUCGUGUGCUGAAUCUGAAGAAGUGUGCAUGCACACAAAAGCUUAUACCAGAACAAACUUAGCUGGUGUAUAAGGUGCUACUGGACAAAUUUUCAUUUUUUUUUAAUUAGUAAGAAUGUCUUGACAAUACAAGAUGUUCAACAGUGGGACAGACCGCCUUGUAAGACAGCAGAAUAUCAUUCAUUAGACAUUUUAGGAUAGAUGGCCACCUAUCAGGGAUGCUAUAGUAGUGGGCGUCCUACAUCAGCAGGGGGUUGGACAAGACAACCUCUGAAAUCCCAUCCAAACCUAUGAUUCUAUUAUUUUUCAUAAAAUAAUUGUUUAGAAGCUUCCUGACCAAUUUCUCACACUUAGAAAGUUUUGAUUUUUUAACUGUCUGUUUUAAUGGAAGGUUCCCAAGAGAAAGUCUAUACCAUGUUAGUCAUUCUUCACUUCUGAUGUGACAAAUGAUUUUUAUUUAUUUUGUACUUAAGGCAGUAUAUAAUAGUUCAGUAAUUGAUUCAAUAUAUAGAUUUCCUCAUUCAUGGUUCCCAACAUCUCUGGUAAUUCAUAAUUCUUUCCUUUGGUCCUCGUUUCUCUUAAGGCGGGGGGGACGGACGGGGGACUGAGUCGCUGUUGUUUAAUCUGAUAAUUAUGCAAACACUAAAUCUUACACUGAAGGAGAAAAUGUUAACAUACAUUGAAAAAUCCAAAUGUUUAGAACUAUAAUCUGUGUGAUAAAAUGCAUUACUCUGUUUAAAAGGAUUGUUUUACAGAAGCAAUUAACAAUCAGCAAUCAUAUAGUUCAGACCGGUGUUUUGAUGCCAUCUGUUGGAAUAAGUCUUCUUACUCCCUAGAAUGAAGCUAUAAUUUUCUGUUUAUGAUUUCACUGCCUACUGUAGAACAGUUACUAAAAAAGAAGAAAGAAAAUUUCAGUAUUGAUUUUCUUUUCUUUCUUUUUAAAGACUUCUUCAAUUAUUCAGCUUUUCACUGUUUAUUUUUAGAUUUAAAGGAACUGUGUUGGAAGAUUUACGAUGGAGGCUGCAAUAACUAUGAGUCAUAGUAGCUGUUUCCAUGCAGUCUCUAUUCAUCUCAGAGGAGUCUGAGGGGAGUGGGGAUCCCACACAAUCCAGUUAAAUGAAUACAGAUUACCCAGGAGCAGUGCAGUACUGGCUAGAAUGAAUUCUUAGAAUCGGAACCAGAGAAAUUUAUUUUUUGCUUGCCUGACUAUCACACACAAAUCUUAUUUAACCAAGUAGCUUAUAGCCAUGUAAAACAUUUGAAUCAGAAAUCCACAAAAAUCAGAUCUGAUCCUUAUAUUAGGAUGGCAUGGACAUGAAAUUACAUGAGAGACUUUUAGGGAAAGUUUAAUCAUUUUGUUAUUCCUAUAGCAACUCUCAUCACUCUGUCAUGUUUAACACAACUUGUCAUAUGAAUCCUCCUCAUCAUAUGGAGAGCCUCCUCUCAGCAAUGGAUACAUUUGGUAAAGUCCAUUACCGGUAUGAAAUCUCGCCACACAAGAAUGACAUGGAAAGCUAUGCUAGACGUUGCAGCUGACAAGAAGAAUCAACACAAGUAAAUGACUGUCUAGGAGUGCCAUAUUAGGGAGGUUGUCACAAUGAGAGUUUUCUCUUGAACAACAACAACAAAUUAAUAUCAUAUCAGUGCAGAAGAUAAAUCAUAUGGUGCCAAACCCCACCCCCAGUCACUGACUUAUCCAGUUUUCUGGAUGAGCUUCUUAAUAAUAAUUCCCACAGCAUUUCUUCAGCAUACAAUGGGGCUCUACAAUUUCAUCACACUGAUUCGCAUAACAACAGUAUGGUAGUUUGUUUUUUAGCUUCCUUUAUCAUCUUAGUUAAGCAGUGAUAUACAUAAUAGGGAAUUUGUGGGCAUUAAUGCAAUAGAGAGAGCAUAGCUUAUUGUUAAUGAAAAGUUCUACAUUAGUUAAUAGUUACAAUCACACAUUUUUUGAAAUUAUAAACUACACAUUUAAAUUUUAUAUGUCUGUGAAUAAAUACCACUUCAGUAAAGGUAUUUGAUUUGAUUUACCACUUCAUUGAGGACAUAUUUAUGAGUCAUGGUAGCUGAAACUCCAGGUUCAGAGACAGUAUCUUGAUUGCUAGAUGCUAAGAUCAAACAACCAGUGUAUGUGACAAGCUAAGCUUAUAGGUUUCCAGUGGUAGCUGUCUGGAUGCUACUGGGAACAGAAUGCUGGACAUGUGGCCUACAUCAGAUCCAGGAAGGUAAUGCAGUGAGGAAUCUACCCAUGAACGCUUCGUAAGGUAAUGACAGCCACAUCGCUUUAUUCUGAGCAUUUGUUUGCUACAAAGAUGUCUAAUCUAUUUAAAAUGAGAAUUUGAUUGUAUCUGGUUUCCAAUGGCAGUAUUUUUUCUGUACAUAUAAAAAACUCAACCACCUAAUGUGUACUAUUCUCCAAAUAAAAUGAAACAAUUUUGCAAUGCAUGCACAAACUAGUAGAGUUUUAUUUUUAUAAAUGCACUAAAUGCUAAAUUAGCCUUUUUGUUUUUAAUACACUAGAGGGAGCUAGAUCUCUAUAUUGCACAUGUACAAUUAAUUAGAAAAAAUGUUUAGCACCGUAAACAUCUUAAGCUAAAAGGCCAAUGCACUUUGUAGGAGUCAGAUUUCAUAGUUAUCAAUAUAGCAAUUUCUUAGUUAAUUUUUUUAUCUAUAUAGGUAAAGGUAAAGGAACCCUGGGCAGUUAAGUCCAGUCAAAGGCUAUGGGGUGUGGCACUCAUCCCCACUUUCAGGCCAAGAGAGCCAGCGUUUUCUCCACAGACAGCUUUCCGGGGCAUGUGCCAACAUGACUAAACCGCUUCUGGUGCAACGGGACACUGUGACAGAAGCCAGAGCACAGAGAAAUGCUGUUUACCUUCUCGCCACAGCGGUACCUAUUUAUCUACUUGUACUGUUGUGCUUUCGAACUGUUAGGUUGGCAGAAGCUGGGACAGAGCAAAGGGAGCUUCACCACCAUUACAUGUAUUUGAACCACCAACCUUCCAAUCGGCAAGCCCAAGAGGCUCAGUAGUUUAGACCACAGUACCACCCGUGUCCUUAUUAUGUAUGUAACAUAAUAUAACACACACAUUCAUUUACAAUUAUUUAUGGACUGAAAUGCAUUAUUCCUGAAUAUAAUAAAGUUUCUACCUUAUGUAGCAACAAAACAAACUUGAAAGGGUAUUUCUUCUUUGCAUAAGAAGUAUCCUCAAUUAUCUACAAGAGCCCUGACAGAGCUAUAAUCACAUGUGGCUGUGCAUUACUAAUUGCAACAGAUGUCUAUCCAGAUGCAUAUUCAAUUGACAGUACCACCCACUGAAGAUGGGUGGCAUCUGUAUUCAGGUGAGCAUUUGAAUAUGCAUCAGAUUUACAUUUGUGGUUACUCAUCCAGUAAGGGAUACUUAUGUAGAAGCCUGAUUCUGUGCACAGAUCUCCUUAUAUAUGCCAGGGCAAAGGAGUUACAUUUAUGGUGAGCCAAAAAAAACCCAGACCACCAGACCAAUGUCGUUUAAGACACACAGUGGCACCUCAGGUUACAGACACUUCAGGUUACAGAGGCUUCAGGUUACAGACUCCGCUAACCCAGAAAUAGUACCUCAGGUUAAGAACUUUGCUUCAGGGUGAGAACAGAAAUUGUGCGGUGGCGGCAUGGCGGCAGCGGGAGGCCUCAUUAGCUAAAGUGGCACCUCAUGUUAAGAACAGUUUCAGGUUAAGAACGGACCUCCAGAACGAAUUAAGUUCUUAACCCGAGGUACCACUGUACUGGCCAUAAAAUGAUAUUGCACAACAUACAAGCCAGUGAAGCAUGCCUGUAAUAAAUUUUUGUCAUACAAUGCCACAAUCACAAAUCCCUAUUGAAGUUCUAGUAAAUUCAGUUGUCCUAAUCCAAAAAGCUGUGGUUGUAUCUAAUGUUAGUCAAACUCAGAGACUCACUGAAAUUAAAUAAUGGAAUUAACUUAAAUGGUUCUUCUCUUAGUAGAAUUGAACAAUCCUAUAAGAGAGCAGUAGAAGGGCAAUAUGUCUGUACAUAAAUAGAUGCAGAAAAACAAUAAAAAAAUUCACUAUCACAAAAAGGAAGAAUCGAAGACCUUUGGGACAAUAACACAAUAUUCUCCAUGUUAAGCCCAGUAUUAAAAUCACAGAUAAUAAGUCUUCUCCACCAAACUACAAUAAAUGUAAAUAAAACCCAUUACAAAACUAAUUAGUCAAUGGAUAAAGAAGCAAUCUUCCAUCAGCAUUCCUGGAGAAAGUCCCUAACUUAGUAGUGGAUUACAUGCUUGCUUUGCAGGUACAAAGAGCUGUUCGAUAGUGGAACAGACUCCCUUGGGAAACUGGGAACUCUCCUUUAAAACAGAGGUUGGAUGGCCAUCUGUCAAUGAUGAUUUAGUUGAGAUUCCUGCACUGAAGGGGUUGGACUAGAUAAUCCUUGAGGGUCCCUUCUAACUCUAUGAUUUUGCAGGUAAAAUGGCCUAGCUUCAAUCCCUGGCAUCUCCAAAUAGUGCUCAGAAAGGCUCGUCUGAAAUCCUGCAGAGGUGCCCAUAAGGGUGCCCAUACUAAGAUGGACAAAUGUAGACAAUACUAGGUGACAUAACAGUUUGAUUUGCUGCAAGCCCUAUGUUCCUACUUCCUCAAAGUGUGCUUCAAUAAAAAUCCUUAUAUUUCUUCCCAAUUUGGUUUGAAUUAAGCUAGUCUUUCCUUGGCAACCUUUUCAUCAGAAGCAGCUAGGUUUUAAUGAGAAUGCCCAAUCCAUAAUGCCACUUUAAACAAAAUGCAAAUAACAAAGGUACGCAAGGUGUGUCCCAAGUAGUUAUGAAAACUUGACACAUGGAAAAUAAAGUAUCUCAUGGGCCCGAUGAUAUCUAUUGGACUCACAGGGAGAGACAUUAAUGCAGUGCUGGAUUUGCCAUUGCUUUCUACCCAAAGCUGAGCUUUGCACACCUAGUCCUGUAAACAGGCAGCAUUUACGAGAGAGAACAUAACAUUUGAUACUUUUUUUAAUUGACUUUUCACAACCUGCCCAGCCUAAUAGACAUGAAAUGCCUACAUUUUCAAGCACAACAUUUUUUCCACUUGUCAUCUGUAAUGCAGGACAGCACAAAUCUUUAAAAAGUUGGCAAAAUGGUAGUCUCUCUCCAUGCGCAUGCUUUCUGAAACAAGCCUUCUCCUGACUCCUGAAUUUGUGCUGAUUACACAUAAAAACACCCAUAGUAAUGAUUAGAUUAUGAAGAGGAUUUUGUGUUAUUGUUGUUGUUUAUUAAAUAUCUAUAUCACCCUUCAUCUGAGGAUCACAGCAUGGUUUACAAUAUAAAAACAAAGAAAUACAUACCAGUAAUAUAGUAGCAAUAAUAUAAUAAUAUUAUAGUAUACAAUAAUAUAGUAGCAAACAAUACCUUUUCCCGCCCCCUGCCCCAGUUUAAAAGACCAUAGAAUAGAUUGUUUAAUUAGCCAAAGGCUUGGGAGAUGAGAAAUGCACUCCAGAACUCUGGAUGACCCCACUCAGCAGUUUCAUGCUGAUGUUAAAGAGCAUGGGAGAUAAAAUCAAACCCUGAUGAACCCCACCUUGAAGGCUCCACAGAGCCCAGAGUAAUCCCAAACAUCCCCCUCUGGAAAUGAAAAUCCAAGUAGAAAUGGAACCACUGCAAAGCACCCUAACUCAGACAGCUAUUCCAGAAGGAUACUAUGUUCAAUGGUAUAGAAAAUCGCUUAGAGGUUAAGGAUAAUUAACAAGGACACUUUUCCCCCUCUCUCUCUCAAGAGAGGUCAUAAUACAGGGACACCAAAGAAGUUUCUGUGCCAAAACCAGGCCUAAACCAGGAUUGAAAUGGAUGUAGAAAAUCAGUUUCCUCAAAGAGCACCUGGAUCUGGUUCACAACCACCCGCUCAAGAACAGUGCCCAAGAAGGGAAAAUUGGAGUUAUAUAUGGAAAUUGCAGAAUGUACAAAAAAGUAUAUAUUUCCUACAAAAGGUACACAAAACUUUGAUUCUUGAGUAUGCUAAAGGCAGUAUUUUUUAAUCACAGGUUUUUAUGGGCAUUUCUUUCUAUAUAUUAUUUUACUUUCUAUACAUUAUUUUACUCCUCGCAUUCCCAAAGCCAAAACUGAGCCACCAAUCAAGGAACUAAACCUUCCUGGCGUGCUCUGGUCCAUGGGGUUACAAAGAGUCGGACACAACUAAACAACAACAACAACAACUGUUGUAUUGUUCACUAUCAACUUCAGUCUCAUACUCAGAGGAGUUUUCUGAGGCAGUUCCCUUCUGGCCAGUAAUUACUUAGAUUUUCUGAAUCAGGAAGGGUUUCCUGAGCAGUGGUUGCACCACUGCCUCCUUCAAGCAAGCAAGGACCACUCCAUUUUGCAAGGAGGAAUGAACCACCUCCCUGGCCUAGCUAGUUGUUUCCUCCCUGCUAGUUUUUAUCAGUCAAGAGGGGCAAGCACAAGCUGUUGCCAUGACCAAUCCAAGCACCUUGUCCACAUUCUCAUGCCUUGCAAACUGAAACACAUGCAACAUAACAGGACUAGACAAUGCUCUAGAUACUUCUCAAGAUUCAUCUACUCUAACAGUGGAGUCAAGGUCCCAGCAAAUGAAUGCAAGCAAUUCUAUCCUCAAAAUGCUUUGCAAACAAGUCACAGUGAACUACUGUCAGUUCUGUCACCUCUUUCGAACCAGAAUGUAAACUGUCCUGCACCACCUGGAAAAGCUCAAUGAGGAUGCAAUGGGGGCCGCAAAGUGUUGGCAAGCAACCCAAGCCUAUGCAUAUUUAAUCUGAAGUCUCACUAAGCUAUCGGGAGUAAACCCCACUGAAUAUAGUGGAAUCUACCUCCACAGAACUGGUCUGUAAAAGCAGCAGUGACUGCAGUAUGGCUUUCUUUCCCUCUCUCCCUUGUAUAUGUUCCUAGCAUCAGCCAUCCAGAUUUCCCAAUUAUUCAGAGCCUCAGCCUGGGCAAGAGCAAAGUCUCUCACCCAGCCAGAGGGUCUGAGGAAGAACCAGGAAUUCUGGAUGAUUCUAGAAAGUGAGACUUCUUAAGAAAGUGGAUGGGAAGAUAGAAAGACAAUCAUAGCAAGGUGGUGAAGAGGCAGAGGGAGAACCUGCCAGCGUGGAGGGUGACUAUGGUGUGGGGAGAAAAAUCCUGCUGCCCCUGGAAUGGGGCAGCUGCAUGGUCAGCAACAAGGAAUGCAAUUUGCUGUCGUUUGGGAGCUUUCCCUACCCCCCCCCCCCGCCCCGGCCUUUCCUGAUAGGCUGCUGGGGUGUUCAGUGGAAUUGUACCAAAUUAAAAUAAAAGUAAAAACAAAGCAAAUGUCCCCCAUUUCAUUUCUAAGGAUGUAUGACCCUGCUUUACAGUGUGGAUGAGUACUGUGGGGUUUAAUGUGAAAAACAGUGCUCUCUUUGGUGCCAUGUGGAAAUAUUAUUUUAACACCAACAAAUAAUGGAAAAGCAAUGUUUCAGCAGCAUUAAAUUGUUCUUAAUUCUUUUGGUUUUAACUUGGUUUUAACUUUCUAUUAUUUUACUGGAUGGUUUGUUUUAAUAUUGCUGUAAACCGCUAAUGUGUAUUUUUAUGAUGCAGCGGUAUAUGCCACAAAUAUUUUUAUACAAAAAUAAUUACAUAAAAACGUCCUAGUGUGGAAACAGCCUAUGUUCCAUUGCUUCUCCUGCUCUUGCAGGGCCCAGUCACAGUCAAUACAUUUUGGUCCUCCAAGCAAAGAUUCCAAAGGCACUGAAAACACAAAUUAAUUAAAAUGUUACUACUCUUUAAAGGCAUCCAAAUUUACCAUUUGGGGCGUACUGUACUUUUCCAUCCAUAAGAUGCCCCCUUGUAUAAGACACCCCUCCCCAUUUUGGGGGACUAAAUUUUAAGAAAAUGAGGGGAGAUGGCCCAAAGUUGUUGAGCCUCUCCCCCCACGUAGCUGCGGACAGGAAACACUCCCUAGAUUGUUUCCCCACACGCAGUGGCAUCAGGUGAAUUUGCACUUCCUCCAGCCAUCCAGUUUGCAGGAGUGCAACCUCCCCCGAUGCCGCCGUGCACGGGAAACGAUCCAGGGAGUGCUUCUCACACGCAACAACAUUGGGUGAAUUUGCACUCCCGUCAGGAGUGGCAGGCAGGAAACACCCCCCAGAUCACUCCCUGCGGCAUCAGGGGAAGCUGGACUCCCACCAACCAAAAGGCUGGUGGCAUGCCGCUCCCCCCCCCCACCCGCCAUGCCAUUAUCCGUAUUGGACGACCCGUAUUUUGACGUGAUUUUUGAGUCAAAAAACCUCGUCCAACACACAGAAAAAUACCGUAUUUUAAUGUGAUAUUAGGCUUAUGACAAACUUUAUCUGUAUAAGGUGCAAUCCUCUUGAUGUCAUGCAUGAAAUAAAAUGAGUCACUGAAAGAAUACCCUAUUGGCACACUAGUGCCAAAUACACCCAGCUACUUAGACCCGUGGCACGCUAAUAUUACAGACAAAUGCACAUCAGUGCAGUUUAAAUGUGAUGUCAAGGACAUUUGGUCCCACAUACAUGUGCUUAAGUUAGGUUUCUAUUGGUAGGUCUAUCUUGUCUCAUGGUAGGACCAUCCUAGAUUAUAAUUCAUGUCCACCCUCACACCUUAUCAGCAGAGCCUGUGUCUAGAGUGGAGUUCCAGCACCAUCUGAAAUGAGGCAAGGCAGAGUUGGGAGCUCCUUUGCAGUAUGCAGGAGAGAAGCCAGUGCAACCCCUGAGAUACUCAACCCCCAGUUGCUGAGCCACUGGCAGGUCAAGGAUUCUGGGGGAGUCACUCAGUCACAGAGAGGUGAGCAGUCAGAUCAAUGACAACAUGUUCUAAAGUUGGCACCCCAUCAUACUGAUGGGCACUCUAGUAGUAAUACAAUACAAUAAAAUAAAAAAAUCAAAUGCAAAGCCAAGUAAGCAUAAUCUUAUUCAAGCAUUUAAUUUCUACUGCUAAAAAUGGGCAAGAAUCCAAAAUCACAUUUAUUUGCCUUUUCCAAAAUAUCCUAAAAUAUGAUACUGGGGGAAGGAUGGGGAAGAGGAGAUUUGCUUUUCUAUUUUCCUGCAGAUCAAAUGCAUAAUAUCAGAGCCUGCCAAUGCAUCCUUAGAUUCAAAAGAGAAAUGACAUGUUCUUUCAAAAUAAUUUAUUUAGAAAAUGAUCUUAUUUUACACUCUUGAAAUACUCACUUGAUGUAUACACUCUUAAAACAUGAAAAAAUAACUUUGAAAGAAUUGGUUUAUGCUUGUAUAGUUCAUAGGAUAAACGAAAAGAUGUUAUUUAGUACCAUUUUCUGUUAUGUCAUCAAAACCUUCCUGGAGUAGGAAAUGCUCAGGGGUGGCAUGUCAACUGUCAAAUACUAAUACCACUGCAUAUUAACUAUCAAAUGCUGCAUUAGGUCUCUCGUGACCACUGCUAUUUUUAUAGAAAAAGAGGUGCCAGAACACACCAUGAAUGUCUCCCUUGCUCUCUUAUAAUGGCAAAAGCGCCCACCUGAAAGAUGCCGGAACUGAGCUCUGGUGAGUUCCGGCUGGGGAAAAAACAACUCUGGUUAAUGGCUAUUGAACAUCUGUGUCAAAUAUUGAAGCCCAAAGUCAAACAUUAUUAAUGCUGUGCAUCACAUUUUGAAUUUUGGCAUAAUAUUGAAUGAAAACUGCUGCCAGAGCCUUCUAGGAGGUAAAUUUCACUGCUCAGUUUGUUUUUGUUUCUGAAAGGAAAGCCUUUCAUCAUCCAUAGAGCCCAGCAGGUUGCAUCCACCAGUGGGGAUGAGAGAGAUGAACUAUCUUUUAAGCAUUCCAGGAUCAGCACAAACAACUAUAACACUGGGACUGAAUAUUUCAGAAUCUGACUCUUAAUUUUGAACAUAUUUAAAUUACAUUUUUGGCAUUUUACUCUGAGUGAUACUUUUAAAAAACACUCAUCUGAACUGUCAGUAAUUACUUUUAUGUACUGAAUAUACUUUCAUACCAAAUUCUCCCCUCCCAAAAUCCCUGCAUCCAAAAUAUAAAAAAUGGUCAAUGGGGUGUGUGUUCUUAAAUCAGGAUAAUAUUACUUGAGUUCUACUAACACUGGUUGAACUGUGGCAUGCCAACACACAACUGAGAGAACACCAUUUUGGAACAGAUGUGCUGUCGUGUCAGAAACAGAGUACCAUGCGUUGAAUGAACUGAUCCUAAGAUCCUGUCAUAUGACUAUUCUAGUUCACUGGUAUAAAUAGAGAUGCAAGAACAUAAAAGCCAAUCUUGACUCCCACAAAUUCACCAAGGGCUGCUGCUACACAGUCUCCAUUCAGUCUCAUUGGGACCUGUACAGAGAAGCUGCAACUCUAAAUUGAGAUGUUUGUUUUUUGAAGCGUGAAUUCUAGAAAAAGAAUUUAUACACUUUCGAAUUAUACUUUCAUUUAUACACUACUGCAGGUGCCUCCCAUAAAAUUUAUAGCAAUGAAUGCCUUAAAAGAAAAAGUUAUCUGGUAUCCUAUUUUGUAAACUACUAAAAAAAAAGUCCCAUUUUCUCAAUCUUUUAACAAUAACUUUAUCAUUAUUGUGCCAUUCACCAAGCACAUUUGGGAGGAGGCUCUAAACGAAUGAAUGAUUUCCCCCUCUCCGUCCUCGUGAGCAAACUGAAGUCAUGUUGCAGGAGACUGUGACUAAUCCAGUAUAUCAACAUUUUAUUCACUCUUUACAUGAAUAUUUAAACAGCAGACAUUUUCCCCCCUCCAUGCUGAAGACUAAAUAGAAAAGCUCUUAUCUGCAAUAGUAAAAGCUUCUGUUUCUCUCUCCUCCCACUCUUCUCCCAGAGAGGUUUUAAGAGACUGCACAGAUAGUUACACACACAUACUCAAAUGAGAGGGCACAGCAUAUACAUGUAAUUGGUUGCUUUUUCUUUGCCUCUGCAGUCUGUAAAAAAUGUGAAAAUGGUUCUUGUUUCAGACUAGCCAUUAAAAGACAGUAGUUGCCCCAUACUGUGAAUUGGGGAGCGGGAGGUGACAGAGAAGUGAAGAAAAUAGCCAGAACUGACUGAUAUCUGAUAAACAGUAACAGGAGUCAGUUUAUUGCACCAAUCGUUAAAUAAUGGUGUUGAUUAUAAGGCUGCUAACUACAGAUGCUGUAAUUGUCUGUCAUAUAUCUUAGUCAUUUGUGACAGGAGCACAAUGAAAGAGAGCAUCUGCUUGGGGGCAAAUGACUUUUGAUAAAUAUCAGCUCUGCUAAAAUGUACUUGGAUGUGUCUCAAUAUUUUGGAGAGCCAUUCAGGGUGCUUCUACAAAUGUGAAGUUAUUAUUGGUUUGUAUUGGUUUUGCCACUUCUCCCCCACCCUUUUUUUAAAGAGACAGUGUCAGAACGAGAGCAAGAGAGUGUAUGUAUCUCAAGACUGUAUAAUUUCUCAGCUCUUUAUCUGAUCUACUCAUUCUUCUUAAAUGCAUGUUUGAGGAAAGGAAAAGAACAAUAGCUGCCCUUCUUCCCCCACUUCCAGAAGACGGCUGUGGCACCUGGAACAACCAAUAUUCCAAUUUUACGACUAAAAAUGUUACAUACCUUGGUUUUCGAACAGCUUAGUUCUCGAACAUUUUGGCUCCUGAGCACUGCAAACCCAGAAGUGACUGUUUCAGUUUGUGAACUAUUUUUGGAAGCUGAACGUCCAACGGGGCUUCCACGGCUUCCAAUUGGCUAUAGGAGCUUCCUGCAGCCAAUCAGAAGCCAUGCUUUGGUCUCCGAUUUGGAAGUAAUUUGAAGUAAGAGCUAAGGUUAGAUUAUUUCACUAUGAGAAUCAAGUAGAAUUCCAAGAUGCAAAGCCCUGAUUUACAAAGGAGUAUUCACUUUCCCACAUGUUGCAAGAGCCCAACCAUAUAGGCAACUUACUCCCUCUCACAUAUUGCACACUUCUGAACAAUAAAUAGAAAAACAGUUAUGUUUCUUCGACACUAUGCUUACCGAUGAAUGCUUACUGACACUAUGCUUACCCAUAGAAUGUACAAAAUGCAGUUGAAACAUGCAGAUUCCCCAUGGCCUGCUGGAUAUUAUGUAUAUUGAUCAGGAAUUGUACACAAUUCCCUCUUCAUGCCAAGAGUGCAUGGAGACCAGAUGGCUUCAUGGUUAUCCCUGAAGCUGAGGGUGCUGAAACAAUCACUGAGACAGCUAGAGUGCCGGUGGUGAAAAACUCAUUCCAAAUUUGACCAAACACGGGUUAGAACUCAGCAUCAAGCCUAGCAAGUGGCAAUAGCGACAGUGAAAAUAACUUUCUUCACCACGUCUAUUGCAUCUGCAGAAAACUACUAGGAGACUCUUUCAGGUGGUUCAUAGUCUAACAGAACCACCUUAACUAUUGGGGACUGAUGAGGACCCCAAUAUAUCCUGAUUUAUUUAUUUAUUCAGCCAGUGCAUAGAUGGUCACUCUAUAUGUUAAAGCUAUUAUUGUCAUUGUCACUCAAAAGAAACUGGACCAUUUCUGCCAUGGUGUACCUUGCUUACUUGUGUGAACAAAGAUGUCAGAAAGUGAUCUCUUGCACCUCUAUGUAAGGAGCAGGCUAACAGAUAAUGAGCAAUGUCUCUUGUUGUUGUUGUUGUUUAGUCGUUUAGUCGUGUCCGACUCUUCGUGACCCCAUGGACCAGAGCACGCCAGGCACUUCUGUCCUCCACUGCCUCCCGCAGUUUGAUCAAACUCAUGCCGGUAGCUUCAAGAACACCAUCCAACCAUCUCAUUCUCUGUCGUCCCCUUCUCCUUGCGCCCUCUAUCUUUCCCAACAUCAGGGUUUUUUCCAGGGAAUCUUCUCUUCUCAUGAGGUGGCCAAAGUAUUGGAGCCUCAGCUUCAGGAUCUGUCCUUCCAGUGAGCACUCAGGGCUGAUUUCCUUCAGAAUGGAGAGGUUUGAUCUUCUUGCAGUCCAUGGGACUCUCAAGAGUCUCCUCCAGCACCAUAAUUCAAAAGCAUCAAUUCUUCGGCGAUCAGCCUUCUUUAUGGUCCAGCUCUCACUUCCAUACAUCACUACUGGGAAAACCAUGGCUUUUACUAUACGGACCUUUGUUGGCAAGGUGAUGUCUCUGCUUUUUAAGAUGUUGUCUAGGUUUGCCAUCGCCUUUCUCCCAAGGAGCAGGCGUCUUUUAAUUUCGUGACUGCUGUCACCAUCCGCAGUGAUCAUGGAGCCCAAGAAAGUAAAAUCUCUCACUGCCUCCAUUUCUUCCCCUUCUAUUUGCCAGGAGGUGAU